GACUGCGUUAUCCCGUCUUUUUCAAUUCCGACCGAGUGCUGAAAAUGACAGCGUUAUCCCCUGUCUUUUUCAAUUCAAAAGUGUGUGGCAUCUCUGUAGCUCAAUUCAUGUACCCCUAGAUGUACAUGUAAGAAGAAAUGCUCUUCCAAAUAACAUAUUGAUACUAGAUCUACUGUUGUUUCUUCAGAACUUGUUAGGAAAGGUUACUAGCAGGUAAAUUAGAUGCAUAUACAUACUGCUAUAGGAAAUUGAACAGCUCCUUACAUAAUUGGUGUAACUUCUUAUACAAACAAGAUCCCUUCCCGGCAAUAGAUAGACAUCAAUAUUCAGAUACUCAAGAAAUUAUAAGGGUGUUGAAUGUUAGAAACUUUACUUCCCCCCAACAUAAGCUCCCAGUUUAGACAGAUCAGGAUUCCAAAAUGAUAGCUCAGAUGAUCCGAUACAAACAUGAGACUUCCAGGGGCCCAUUUUAUGACAGGAGGCUCUGUAUGAAAACUCAUCCAACUUGCAACCCUGACAAGAAAAAUAAACAACAACAAACAAUGUUUAUAUAAUAACAAUACCAACGUCAAAAGAGUAUAGUAUUUGGAUAUAGAACUCAUUACGCAAACUGGUGCUCAAGGUACUUGCUCAAAUGUAGAAUCAAAAGCAUUGUUGGUUUGCCCAGAAGACUGUGAAUACUAUGACUGGGUCAGUGUAGGGGAAAUAACAUCCCUUUGAAUUCUAAGCAUUCAAAAGGCACGAGAAUCAAGGAAUUUUGCUUAUCAAACCUCUUUCCCGCUCCUUGCACUCCAAGCAUAUACACUACCAUCACCAGAACCUUCCAAAACCCAAGAAAGUAAAAUUAGCACAGAGAGUGCAACUAAUGAGAGGUGCUUGGCCACACUAGGUAGGUUGCUUCCGCAUGUGUGGGUGCACUCACUAUGUCAGCAUUUCAUUGAUUUAUUUUCAUUAACAAGCAGGUCAAUGGAAAAAGAGAACAUAAAUUCAUUGCAAAGAACUCUGUGGAAACAAGCUUGAUGCCCAACAUUUCAAGUCGUGUAUUUCAAAUACCAACAAGGUGGUAACAAAAUUGAGAAUUAUAUACAGCACAAGUGCAAGAACCUUAAUAAACAGCCAAAAGCAAAUAUUAAUAAAUUAUCCAAGUCACUGUGCCCUAAGAACUGAAAGGAGAAACUCUACCUAGCUGAAAGAUGCCUCCAAUGUGGAAUUGCGAGAAACUGGCAUCGCAUUAUAAAUGGAUAAAUAAAAACAACAGCAAACAGAAGCUCAUUAACAGAGAUUCCAAUGUAUAGAGGGAUAUAUAUGUACAAUAUGUUACAUUUGGGAGAUGAAGAAAGAAAAAGUAAACUCACAAGUGUGCCUUGGAAUGAGUGGAGCACAUGAAUAUGUCCUUCCAUAGUGGUCAGAAGCAUGUCUCCCAUCAUUGCUGAGCUUUACCUCAUUAGCAUCUGAUACAUCUCCACCAUCAGAGAAGAUGUCGAAAGGACCCUAAGAGUAUUCAAAUUUAACCAAAUUAGUGCAUGAUAAAAGGACUACGACAUAUAAACUUCCAAGAUAUUCUUAAAUAUUAAUUUUAACCUCAUACUUGCGAGCAUCAAACAAUCUUAUGUAUCCUCCAAAGGCAACUGCAAAGACAUGCCCUUGAUCAUUGUAUGCUGUAGCAGGCCUUCCUUGAACAUGCAAAAGACCCUGAUUUGCCAACAGAGAUCAUAAAUACAAUUGAAAAUGGGGGAAAAAACGGUUUGGAUGUGACCAUGCAUGGCAUGAUAUCCACCUGGCAUUUCUCAGCCUGUUGAUCCCAGAGCAGAACAGUUCGAUGAAGAGAACCAUAGAUAAAGCAAUCUUUGGAGGAGCACAGGCUAAGUGAAACAACCCUAGAAGCAGUAAAACAUAUAUAAAGAUAAUAAUGAUUACAAAACAUUUACAAGAAUCAGCAAAUUACAAACCUUUCAUGAUGACCUUUGAAGCAAUGCAUGAACUUGUUGUCGUGGAAGGAAAGAAGCCUUAGAGAUUCUGAAUAAAUGAACAUAUCAAAUAAGUGCCUAGUAAAGCAAUCCACCAACAUGCAAAACACAAAUAUUCCGAUAAACAUACCAUCCCAACCAUUCUUGAGGAAUAUAUGAAAUGUAAGUUAGGGAUUGCCAAGAAAAAAACUUUGAUCAAUUUCCAGCUGAGAAUAUUUAUGCCAACUCUUGCCGCAAUCACAUCUGCAAUAGUUCCCACUGUUGGAUACACUAACUUAUAAACAGCAAUUCUGACAGAAAAAAAAACGGGGGUUAAAGUUAUAAGUACAAUCAAUUAGGUGGUAGCCAUGCAAUAUGAAUGUACUUGGUUUGCUGCCUAAUAGCUAGGCAUACAUAUAUAUAGGCAUUCAUUAAUAUCGAAUUAUUUUUAACAUUCAAAUAAGUUAGAAAAAACAUAGAAAAACUUACGGGGCACAUAUCGCCAUCCCACUGGCUAGCCCAUAAAAGAAGCCAUCGACGACCUCCGGAACACCAGCAUUUCCAGCAGCAGCUGAUGCUACAUGGCUAAUGUGUACACACACAUGUUCAUCUCUCAAUAUCAGUGUGUGCAAUAAGUGAAAAGAUAUAUAAAUUAGAUUGAAAGCACAAGUAAAUAAACAUGAAUGAAUACCUGCCAUGUCCAACAGCAUGAAAGGGCGAAAGAAAGUCCACAGAAGUGUUAAGAAUAUAUGAAAUGUAUAUUCUUGAGGAAAUUACAACAAUUUCCUCUCAAUUUCACAAUUAUUUGCGCUUGAAUGACAGAAUGAGCUUUGAUCAUUAAUUUAUCCAUGCAUGAAGUUAUAGUAGAUAUGAAAUUACGUGGACAAAAAAUUAUUAUUUUUUACCUUUUUUUACCAACACCGAUAUGCUCACACCAAACUUCUUUUACAGUUAGCACAAAACGGUUCGUUUUGUGCUAACUAUAAAAGAAGUUACUGUAGCUUCAAAACACACGCACUCGUCUUGCUCAGACGCAAGCGCAGACCACACGCACACUCGUCUUACUGAAACGCAAACGCUGAGGAGGCAGAGACUCGCCGUGGAAAGUUUGUUUGACAUAAGUUGUCUGACGAUUUUGCCCUUGAAAUGAAGAUUACGCCUCAUGACUUAAAAUCGCUUGGGUUGUGUUUCUGUUUCUGCGUUUGUUCUUCCUCUUCGCUUUCGGCAAGUGAAAUAAAUGAAUAAACAUUAGAUGGAGUUUUAUUCAAUAUUUAAAAUUUUGUUAAUUUGUAACGUGAUUGGAAUUUUAAUUAUUAUAAGAAAUAAGUUCUGGAUCGGAUUUUAAAAUACUUUAUUUGAAUACUCUAAAAAAUGCAGUAUGUUCACAAACUGUAAUUGCCGAUAUAAUUCCCCAGAACCCCAAUUCCAGAUUACUUAAAUCACGGCGGGGGCUGCGGUAUGUUCACAAGGUAAAAAAUGCAGUACGUUCACCAUUCCAAGUAUAACCCUUUUGACACAGUUCGCCUUCUAUUUCAAAGUUCAUACAUUUUCAAAAUUAUUAAACUAAAAUCAGCCAGAACCAAUUUUUUUUCCUUUUCAACUUCUAUUAAAAUUUCACUAUAAUUUAAAUAAAAUAAAUUAAAAAUCCAGCCCAAAAAACGAUUGCUGCAAUACUGAGUGGCAAAACUUAAUUGCUAUCGUUACCGCAAAAUUCAACACCCAACAACCAAAAUUUCAAUUUCAAAUCUAACCUUAAAUCCACCAACUGAAAACAAAUCCACACGAAAUGCGACAUCAAAUGAAAGGAACAAGAAGUCAAAAUCAAAACCGAUGAAACCUUUAUUAGAGAGAAGAAAGAAAGCUUCGUUGUAUAAAGAGAAUGCGCGCGAUCGAAGGCUGUGCUGUAUAGAAAUAAAACAGCGAUCGAAGAAAGCGUCUUCGCUAUCGUUGUAUAGAGAGAACAGAGCGAUCGAAGACUGUGUCUUCACGAUGGGAGGCUGUGUUGAACAGAACGAUCAAAGACAGCGUCUUCAAGAGAGAGCAUAGAGCGAUCGAAGACUGCGUAUUCACGAUCAGAGGCUGUGUUGAACAGAAGGAUUGAAUGCUGUGCUGUAUAGAGAGAUCGAGGAGUAGAGAGAAGAUACCGGCGAUGACGCAAGAGCAAAGGCUCUGAAUUUAUAGGGGAGGGAUUAGCGCAACUUGACGGCCGUUAUGACCGUAAACGCCUCUGUUAGAUUUAACGGAGAAGUCACGGGGUUACCCGAUGGUCAUCAGCAUCUGGGAAUCUCAUCAGUUUAAUUAGUUAAAAAGAAUUAACCUUUUGCUUCAGAUCAAACGAUUCACAGUUAACCUUGAACAUCAAACAUGCAGGCUAAACUAUCAACUCAUACACAUUGAUUUUUUUUUUUCCGGUGACAUUAACGUCAAUGGUUAAAUAUAUAAGUCUAAAUUCAUAAAAUAUUAAUAUAGUUUAGGGGUCUAUCAAACCAACAGCAUGGUUGAUGUGUUUACUGAAUAAACAUUUAACACCAAAACAAGCUAGACCUACCCCAAACUAUAUGGCGGAUUGGAAGUUUUUGAAUUACCAGUUUCACUGAAAAAAAAGAUGGUGAUAAGUUAGGAUUCUAACGCUCUUUUAUACUAAUGCUGCGUUUACUUUUUGGAUUGGAGUGGAAAUCCUGAGGAGUGGGAAUCCUUGGAUUAGGAGUGUGGAGUGGGAGUGGGAGUAGGGUGUUUACUUAGACUAAAUGAAAGUAUGGAUUGUCAAUCAGAAUCCUAAUUAUUUGUUUACUUUGUCUUGGAUUGGGAGUAAAUUGUUUUAAAUUACCAUUUUAUCCUUAUGUACAGAAUUAUAAUUUGUAAUUAAAAAAUUAAUAAAAAAUAUAUUUAGAAAAUAAAAUAAAUAUUUUAUUAUAUUUAUAAAUUAAUAAUAAUUACUAAUAUUCUUAAUUAUGUAAAUCAUAAUUUUUUUAUUAAUUUAAAUUUAAAUUAUGUGAAUAAAAAUUAUUAAUAAUAGCAACACAAAUGAAAUAUUAUUAUUGAUAAUAUAGUACAAAAUUAAUAUUUUUUUAGAAUAAAAUAUUUAUUAUUAUUAAUUAAAUAAAUAAUUAAUAUUUAUUAAAAUUAAUUUUUAAUAUUAUUAAUUUAAAUAUAAUAUUUAUUUAUUUUUAUUUUAUUAAAUUUAAUAAAAUAAAUAUGAUAUAAUUAUUAUUUUUAAUAAAUAUGAUAUUAUUUAUUUUAUUAAAUAUGAUAUUAUUUAUUUUAUUAAAUAUGAUAUUAUUUAUUUAUUUAUUUUUAUAAGGAUAAAAUGGGAAGAGGGGGGAGUGGGUUCCCACUCCCACCUCCCCCCAUGGGAGUGGGAAUCCCACUCCCCACUCCAAAAUUGGGUGGGACCCACGGAUUCCCACUCCCACUCCCCCCCUUUUUAAGGUAAGUAAAUACUGGAGUGGAAGGAAUCCACACUCCACACUCCCACUCCAGAAAGUAAACACUACCUAAAUCAUAAAACAUAAAUUUACCGAAUUAGGUAACCCGAAUUAUGAUGUCUUAAUAAAGUUGUAAUUGCAAAACAAGCCAAAACUUAAAUCCAAGUCUAAAGAAAAAACCAAAGAUCUGAAAAGAAUUUUAAAAAUUAGAAAUGAAAACUUCAAAUAAUGAAAUGAUACCCAGAGCAAAUGAAAUUGGAGAUGAUAACCAUAGCGUUAGUAACGCGUCGUUAAAUUGUCAUAACUCGAAACCACGUUAUUCGUUCAUGCACGAUACCUCUGGACUGAAGACCCAAAAUAAUAUAUUUUUUUUAAAAGUAAUGAAAACCGAAAUUACAAGUAUUCUACUAUUUUUUUUAAUUUAAAGGGACCAAUGAAAACCGAAUGAUCAAAACUGCGUUAUUUGUUCAUACACGAUACCUUCAGGAUUAUAACUCAUAUCACAUGAGACUAUUUACUAAUAUAUUUAUAAUCAGAUAAUUAUUAGAACAAUAGACCAUAUUUUUUAGGUUUUCAAAUAUUUAAAAAAUGUCUACUCCACUCUCAUUUCGAAAGAGAAAAAAUUACUUUUACAUAAUUAUUUUUAUAAUUGAGAAGAAAAUUUUAGCUUCCACAAAAUGGAUGGAGGGCAGCAGCUCAAGGCAAGUAUUCUCUAUUGUUAAAUUGUCAUUAAUUGGAAAGCGAGUUAUUCGUUUAUACGCGAUACUUUUGGACUCAAGACCCAAAAUGGAUAAUAAAAAAUUGAAAAAAAUUCAAAGAAAGAAGUAAAAAGUAAUAAAACCGAUAUUACGGGUAGUCUACUAUUCUUCUUGUCAUGAGUCGACUUUUUCCAAAAAAAAACCAACAGUAAAGUAAAAAAAAAGAAAAAAUAGUUAAUGGAUAUUUCUACGUAAAUGGUGUCAAAUAACAAGUUUAUUUAUUUAUUUUUUGGGGAUGAAAUAACAAGUUUAAUUAAAUAAUAUGCAUAUGUCUUAUACACAUUUUUGCUUCUUUACCCUCUGUGUUGAAUGAGAAUGAAAUUGACCCGGACAAGGACAGUAUGGCGUAACUCUUAUUUACUACUUGAAUUCCUCUCUCUUUAUUCUUUCCCAAUAACCCCAUUUAUAACACUAUUUCUUUGAUAUUUUUGUAAUAUUUUAUCACAAUAUAUAUUUAUUGCAGUGCACAAUUAAGAUUUAACAAUAGGGUUAUAAAUUUGAUAAGCAUAAUAUUGUUAACUGUUAAGCAUCCCACUUAUAUAUAUAUAUAUAUAUAUAUAUAUAUAUAUGAUAAUUACAACACCUUUAAGUAGCAUAGUUCUACUUACAAAUUUAAAUACAGUGUUAAGUUGAGCUGUGUUAAUUGAUAAAUCUUGAUUUUAAAAAAAAAAUUAGAGAAGAAAAGAGUAAAGAAGGAACUAAGAAGAAAUAACUUUAAUAUAUUAAAAAUUAUAUAAACUUAAAAGGGGGCUUUUAGGACAAUAAAUGAUAUAUACAUUUUUUAACAAAAGAAAUUUAAAUUUAUUUUUAAAGUCACCAGGAGCUUCAAUUCUUAGUGGGCACCAUAUGGCAUGUGGAAUCAUUCAAGGGUCUUAUAGUAAGUAAAUCGCUUUCCUUUUUAUAUGUGAAUAGAGAUAGUAUGAAUGAGCAUAUGAUUUUUUUUUUCAAAUAUUGAAAAAGAAAUAAAUAUAUUUUAUAAAAAAAAUAAAAUAAAUAUGUCAUUCCGAAAUUUACAUUAAAAACUGCAUACUUAAGAUUUUAAUUAAAUCAUGCUUAUUCAAAUUUCAAACAAAAAUAAAAAUAAACAUCACCAUUGACCUUUAAUUAAAAAGUGUAGGGGGUAAUAGUGAAGACGAACUUUUUUAUAAUAGCGAUUAAAACAUGACCCUAACUCUAAUUGUAGGGUCAAAUUUAUAAAAAGUAGUAACUUUUUUUAACGCAGGACGGACUGAUUUUAUUGUUGUAGGUAAUCUCGUGUCAUACGCAAAGUGAAAAAGAGUGUGAAACGACGAUAUUAUUCCAAGCACAUGCUUGGGCGCGGCGGGCCCUCGCAAACCCAUUUUAACACCGCGUUAGCCUUGUUUGGCUAAAUAAUAUGCAUAUGUCUUAUGAACGUCUUUACUUCUGACCCCAUGCGUUGAAUGAGAAUGAAACUGACACAAAAAAAGACAGUAUGGCUUAUCUUUUAUUUAUGACUUUGAAUUCCCCUUUCUUUAUUCUCUCUUAAUGACCCCAUUAACAACGCUAUUUCUUUGAUAUUUUUAUAAUCUAACUCGCUUGGUUCACUUAGUGAGGUGAGCUUCAAAAUAUUGGUCUUGUACCCUUCAGGAUUUAAAAUCUCUGUUAACUAUGUGACACGUCCAUCUUGUUUCCUCCUAAUUUGCUCCCCUAUGGCAUUAAGGUGAAUCUUCUUCAUUCACAGAGAUGUUAAGUAACUCAGCAUUAUCAGCAAGACCUAUUCAAAUUGUGUUUGUGUAUGUAUGUUGUAGCUUUCUCUCCUACGCCUAGCCUUUAUGCCUCUUAUGCCUCAGUUUGACAAGGCCAUUGGUAACAAUCAGCAAUAGCAAUACUGCCUUUCUUCAAUCAUAGCAGUGUUUAUCGGGUACAUAAGAUCAAUUAUCUUCUUAUUAAUUAAAAAAAUAAUAAAAUAAUAUAUAUUUAUAAAUGUAUAAAUUAAUUUUAUUUGAUAUUUAUAUUCUUACAAUAGUUUAACAGUAAGAUUUACCGAACAUAUACGAUUGCUUUUAAAACGCACAAUACUUUUAAAAAUAAAUUUUAGUAAACGUUUAACUGAUUCUCUUUACAAUGAUUAUUUCUAUAGCAUAGCUAACAUCAAUUAUUUUUUAAAAGUCCUAAUAGCAAUUCAUUACCAACUUUUUUUUUGCCACAACAGCUAUAGCUUAAAAGUCGUAUCAUCUUAAUACCAAAUAGGGCUAUAGUAAUUUAGUGCCCAUUUUUUUUCUUUUUUCUUUUUCUUUAGCAACUUAAAAAAAAUCUAAAACAAAAAAGGAAAAUUGAGUAUGAAAUCAAGCAUUAGUCAAGUAUAAAGUUGAGUAAGUCGAGUAUAAAAUUAGGUACUUUUUAUAUGAUUUUAAAUAAAGGGGAUUUUAGUUUUUUUCUUUGUGAUUUUGGAUAUAUUUCUAUAAUACCAGUAGAGUAAACUAUGUAAUAAGCAUAUAUUUUUCAUUUUGCUGUGAAUGGGACAUAUCCAACGCUAUUUGCUCCCGUGACCGAUCUUUAUAACAAAUCCAAUCGCCCUCGUUAUAGUCACUAGAUAGAAAGUUACCAUAGUACAGUUCUUAUAUGUAAUGUGAGUGAUGGCAGUGUUACGAACCUUUGUAUAAGUUUAUUUUGUAUAAAUUAAUUAGUAUAAACUUAUUGAUUGUAUGAAAAUAUAAAAUAAAAAAUAUAAAUAAUGUAGACUAAUGUGUAUUUAAUAUAACUAAUAAAAUUUUGCUACAUCAGUUUAUAUAAGAAUUUAUAGUUUUAUUAUUACUCAUAUUAAGUAAACAGUGCGUGAUUGGUCAGACGGCGGCAUAAGUGGCAAUGACCAAAUUGUUGAGUCGCUGACGUGGGUUCUCAAAAUGAGUCGAUAGUCAAGAAAUAAGCUAUCAAGUUAUGACAAUAUAUUGUAAACAUGUCUUUAAGAUGAUACAUUAUCAUCAUCAAUAUCAUAUCCUAAUUGAAAAAGGUUUGCAAGGGUCCGCCGUGUCCGAGCAUGUGCUUUCAUUUUCACUUGAAAUAAAGCGCGAUGGAAAGAUCUUAUUUUAUCACAUGCCGUCCAUGUUGGGGAAAAAUCAGAUUUUUAAAUUUUUAUAAAACCUUUCGAAGAUUGCUCUCAUAUAAUAUAUAAGAAUACGUAAUCUAGAAAUCAUACCUUGAAAAUCUGAUUGGACUUUUUCUGUUGAAGUGAUUUAGGCUCCUAGAUCACGAUCCGCCACCACCACUCCUGUUAGAUCACGAUCUGUCACCACCACGCUUGUUAGAUCACGAACUGUCACCAAUGAUCUUCCAGGUUAUGACUCAGGUUCGAUUUGCACUUGACGUGUGAACGCCUUUAUCACUACCAAAACAACUAGCACGAGAAAAUUUUUCUCUCAACAACAGAGAGAAAAUUUUUUUUCUCUGAUCUGUAUAAAGUGGCUUCUCCUUUUUCUUUUUAGAAAAUAAGCCUUAUAUAUCUCCCUUUAGUGAAAAUCCUAGGCUCCAAAUAAUACCCCAAAAUAAAACUCACCGUUACUUUUUAUUUUAUAAGGGACCCACCAUGUAAAAUAACAUAAGGCCCCUUACACAUAAGCUAAUUAAAUGGAGCCUCCCACUAAAUGAUAUAUUUAGGCUUUUGACCCAAAUAGAUAGUUAUCUUACUUAUUAGUCCAGUAGUGGUGCAGUCAAUUAAAUGAGCUAACCCGGGGAUCAUUUGGGAACAUACAAUAGUGGCUACAAUAAUUAGGCCUAUAAUUAAACUAGCCCAAUUAUUUAAUUCCAAAUCUACUCCACUAAAAGAUUGGAACUGACUUCCAUAAUUGUAUGCUCGAAUAAUAAUUCGUCCCAAGCCACAUUGAUUUCUUUACUGCACAAUCCUUUGUACCACAUCGUUAAUUAAAUUGAUAUCUCAACUGUCCAAUCAAUUUAAUAACAUCUUAUUCCUUGAUCCUUACUGGUUUUCUCUAAUGAUCAUUUUCAACAUACUAAAUAUGUUGACACACUCUGGCCAGAGAAUUCUAUGAUCAAGUGCCGAAAACCCAUCAAGAGAUGUGUUGUACAAAUUCUAUAUUGUUAAUCUAUAACUCCAAUACUCAUAAAUGCUCCCACCAAGAUACCGGGUAAUCUAGACUACAUGUAUGUGUCAUGCCCAUUGGUAACUCAAAUGAAAUAACAAUUACAAUCAUGAAAUCAUAAUUAACUCAAGAUUAAGAUUACAGUAAAAUCAAUGCCUAUGAGAUUUAAUAAGUCUGACAGUUAUUACAAAGUUAAUUAAAUCUCAUAUGUGAUCCUGUUCAAUGUAGUCGUACUACAUCAAUAAAUCCAUACAUGAUUAAGACAAAUCAUUCAAUGAAUUUAUUACAGUCUAUACCUAAAUAAAGUGCCCCACUUUAUUUAUCAACUGCGAACUAAAUUUAUUUAAUCAUAAGAUAACUUGUAUUUAUGUCUUCUGUGAAUCCACAUGGUGAUCACAUAAAUAUAAUAUGAUUAAAUGGACUUUAAUAAAAAUAUUAAUGCAAUUAAGAUAUUUGCAUAAAAUACCUCAUUAUUUUUAUUAAUCAGAAAAAAUAUUUAUUACAAUUAAAUAAACACAUAUGUUUUUAAAGAGCAUAUUUUCCCAACAGUCCAUUCGACGCAUAUUUCCACCCCCAUUACCCUUACAUAAGAAAAGAUUUCUGGUGCUUGGAACAUUACUCCAUAUCUUUUCAAGUCUAUUCAAGUCUGUUAAUAAUUAAGCUAAACCUAUGAGUCUCCAAUAUUGGGCGAAUUAAAUUUUGAAAGCAGGCCAACCUAUUGUCAGAUCUGCCUUUCAAAUUAUUGACUUAAUUUUGCCAAAGGUGAAACAUUUGAAGAAGAAUCCUUCUAAACAGGUAGUGUUGGUCGUUGUUGUCCUCCUGAGAAAGUGUCAUUAGCUUGAAACCUAUUGCAAAUGUUGAUCCAAAAUGGCUUCAAGGUUUCGUUGUAGAGCUGACGACAAGCUUUUGUAAAGGACUUCCAAUUUUGAUGCACAACAAUGAUAAUAGGAGCGCAAAUCCAUGUAGUGUACAAAAUGAUAUGACGAAUGUCCGAGCGUGGAACAAAUGUGGAGACCAAAAAGAUUGCAGAAAUAGAUCCGGAGACAACUGCUACAAGGGCCCAAGAUUGGGAAGAAUUUUCUGAAUGAAGUCGAGACUUGAGGUCAGCUGAAUGUGCAUAACAAUAUAUGGCUGUGGCUAUUAAGAAAGACCAUAUGUUUAUUGAGUGUGUUUCAAGCAAGGACUUUGUUUGGCCUUGAACAUUCGCACCCACAAUGCCUAUGAGAGCCGCAGUAAGAUACCCAAAAAUGUGGGGAUAGGACAUUGAGGAGAAGUGAUUUCGCCCGCUGCAACAUUGUCAAAACGAUUCAUCAAUCUUCUGUAUAUUCCAUUUCCUUUGAAAAAAAAUAAAAUUAAAAAGACCAUGUAUUAAUUUCCUCUCAAUUUGUGUGUCAAUGAUUUGCUUUUGACCAAACCAAUUCUCCUUUAAAAAUUUGAGGGGGCAUCUUUUCAUUUGCACGAAAAUUUCACCCAAAUGUUUCAUCAAAAUUUUGGUGUAUACACAUUGUUUUAACAGCUUUCAUGACUCACCCCCUUUUCUGUUAAAUAUUGUUUCAUCAAAAUUUUAUUAUAUACAUACUUUUUUGAAUAGUUAAAUAUUGUUUUUGCCGUUAUUUUUGACAUCUUUGACAUUAAAAGACAAUUUUGCCCUUAUUUAAAAUUUUUAAGUGUAAAAUUACUAGAAAACCACAACACUAGUCUCAAAUUUCAGUUGACCUAUGUGGAUAUUAAAAUUUGUUAAAGGUUAAAAAAAAAAGUAAAAAUGUUUGGUUAUGGGAAUCGAAAUAUCCCCUACACCAUCAUCCAUAAUCAUCUAUUCACGAUAGCAAUUUAAUAAACUUGAAAAAGCAAGAAAUCCAAUCCCAGUCAAUCAAACAGCCAAUUUUCUUCAUAGAGUUCAGCUUUCGCCUAUAAAAACUCUAACCCUUGAGACCCUAAAUAAACCCAUAUUCAAAGUUACAUGUUUCUAUAACGAAAACCUUCAAUUUACCCCUUUAAAAUUUUGAAAGCAUUAAUUUACUUCUAUUUAUCAGUCAAAAGAUUAGAAUACAUGGAGACACGCUAAUAACAAACUUUUUUACUCCUUAAUGAAAUUUGAUAAAUAUAAAUAAAUUAAAGAUUAUAAUUUUAAGUGGGGGUAAAUUAAAGAUCGUACUCUUUUUUUUAUUGUGUCUUAAUAAGAGAAAGAAAGAAAACAGAAAACAAAUCACUUCUAUAGGAGGCGUAACAAAAUUUUCAGCUAGGACUUCACCAAUUUUUUCACGGAAAUUAAAUUAGGAGGAAAAAAAAAACACUUUGAAGAGGACUGCAUAUAUAUAUAUAUAUAUAUAUAUAUAUAUAAUAAAUACAACUUGAGUCAAUAAUGGUAAAGAAAAUGACCAUACACUGAAGGGUUUGGAUUUGGAUGAUGCAGAAUGCAGUGGCAGCUUUGCAUUUGCAUAUAUGUAUCUCAGCAAACCCUGGAUUGAGUUUUCUUUUUCUCGGCAAAUAAGGUAGGGAACAGCAAAUGUGAUCGAUUUGAAAAAAAAAACAAAAACAAAAGCUUAGCUUGAAACUUGGAAGGAAAAAGGGGGGAAAAAUCUCACUUUAAGAACAUCUAAAUUAUCUCUGCUGAACUAAAUUAUCUCGUGGCUUGAGCUUUCAUAGCUUAUAAUUUAUAGAUGUCAAAUGUGUGGACUAAGGGAGGCCCAUGCGCCAUGCGGGGGUUUCCUAGAAGGCUAGAAAGUAAAGAGUGUUCCGAAGAAAUAUCUCUGCUUAACAUGUUAAGUAAUUAAAUCAGAGCCUCUCACAAGGUUGUGCGCCCAAAUAGAAUCCACAACAGGCUGUGGCUUACGUGAAUAGAGUGAUGCAAUUGUAAACCAGAUAGUGGCAUUUUUUUAAAGGUUCGGUCAAAGGCGGUUAAAUAUAAUAAUAAAAUAUUAUAAGAUACAUAUUUUCUUUGUAAUAAAUUGAAUAAACGUAUGACCUUAAAACUAAUUAUUAAUGCUUUAUUGGAAAAUUAUAUAGUUUAUAUGUAGAUAAUAUAUAUUAUACUUAAUUGUUGGGGUUUGAAAAGGAUUCGGGGGCAUAAAGAGGGGCGAAGUCAGAAAACAAAAUUUUGGGUGGGCUAAAAUUUUUUCCCAGUCCAUAUGUGAUCUCAAUUAAAAAUAUAAAUUUUAAAAGAAAGUUUCAUUAACACAUAAGAAAAUACAUCAUAUCCAAGAAGCAAUCAAAUUACAAGUAAACACUAUUUAAGUUGUGCCUUACCAUUCUUUAAAAAAUUAAAGUUAUGUUUUAUUAUGCUUUCGAGAAUUAAACUCAUCCAUUAUCGGUUUUGAAUUUAUGGUGUCUACAAAUUCUUUUUCAAUGUAGAUAAUAAAGGCAAUGCAACUGUCAAUCCAUCAUUAUGACACAUUGAUAAUAUUCAGAAGUCAGACAAUAAGUUUAAUUAACAAAUUAACAUUAUACAUAAUAUACUGGAUCAAAUCUAUGAUCUAUCUCUAUCAAAAAUCAAUUUAAAAAAUUGAAUGCUAGAAUUCAAUGGCUAAAUUAUCUUCAUUUGAUCUUUACAAUGAAAUUGGAACAAGAAUUAAAGAGCAUGAUUUUUAGUCUUUAUUACCCUAUAAUCAAUAAAUAUUUUGUAAAUGAUUGAAUAAAAAAUAAAUCUAUUAUUUGUUCUUACCAAGAAGAAGGCGAAGAACUGAAGAAGCAAAGAAAAAAAAAUCAUGUUUGAAAUCUCGAAUGAAGUAAAUGCUGCUCACUUUUUAAAUUUAUUUAUAUGAAUGACAAAGUUGUAGAUUAACAUAGUGGUGCAAUUGUAAAUAAGAUAGUGGCGUCUUUGUAAACUUUGCAUAAUGGCAAUUUUGUAAAAUUCAGACAGGCGGUAGCCCGUCUCAAUCCACGCGGAGCCUUGCCACCGAGUGUAAACAUAGAGAAUAAUUUAUAAAUCCAAUAAGCUUAGUUAAAGUAAAAUACUUGACUUUAAGAAAUUUCUAAUAAUCUUCUUCAUCUUAACCAAAUUUUUGAAGUGAAAAAGAUUCAUGGCACCUUGUGUUGUACUUUAGCAAGAGAAAGGAGAAAAAAGAAAACAAAUCGCUUUCAUAAUCAUAGGGGCUUCACCAGUUUUUUCACAACGCAAAAUUGACGGCCGUUAUGACCGUAAAUGCCUAUGUUAGAUUUGACGGAGAAGUCACGGGAUUACGCGAUGAUCAUCAGCGUCUCCAAAUUUUAAUGCCUCUGUUCAAAAAGAAUUGAGAAAUGCUAAAGGUCGGGAACGCUGAGAGAACACUGAGAGAAACGGCAGGUUGUGCUGUCGUUUCGUGUUCUCUCAGCUCCACCCCCCCCCCCCCCCCCAACAUGACUAAGAAAGCGAACCCUCACAUGAAAAAAUACUUCAGCUCAAGUCACUUUUACCAAAAGCUGCCGUUUGGCCCCACACUCAAGUCACUUUUGCCAAGUGAAUUCUGCCCCCCACGUGAAAGUUUGAGUUCUCUCCUUGCUCAUGACCAAGCAAAGCUAAGUUUGAAUUCUCUCCUUACUCCUUCACUCGUUCACUUCUUCUUCGUUUCUCGUUCACGCUCAUCACAAACCAAGAUAACUUGCUCCCAUUAAUUUCAAAUAUUAAACUGCUUUGUUGAGUUCUACAACCUGAAAGUACAAUUCUUUCAACAUUCUAACAGCAUCCUAGUUCACAGUUAGAUAUCAGAAACAAAUGUUAACAUAUUUAAUGCCAAUCUUUAUUCCAUGAGAACUUUUUUUUUUUUAAUACUGAUUAAUCAUCAUAUUACUGCAUUACACAGAUAUUUACAACUGCUAUUAUAGCAGAUAUAUUACACUGAUAUUUACAAUCAGAAAUAUAUGAUUGGGACUUAUAUUAUUACAUUGAAUUCUGUGAAGUACAUGCCCAGACAAAUAAUCCCUUACAGAAGAGGGAUGUCCAUACUCCACUCGUAUUGCACGAGGGAGAGGAAAUUUUUGAAAUAUUAAACAAAUAAGCACGUUAGCCCCACAAAUGCUUUUAUGGGGGCUUGAACCGCUGUCCUCACAAGCAUUGUGAGGGCAGCAGCCCAGCACUCCGACCAAGGCCGAAGUGUAUUCCAUGAGAACUUAAAAUAUCCAAAAAGAGAUGCAUCUACCCUACAUAUCUAUUUACACAACAAGUGUCCCUUCAAUUCCAACAGAAUAUACAUGCCUCCAUCUUAAGAUUUCAUAUGGCAUGGAAAUUAAAAAUUUCGUCAACUGAUAGAAGCCACCACACAAUGGCAAAAUAUAUAUGUUUAUUAUCAAAGAACAGAAGGCAUCAUUUGAGCAAAUUAAAGAGACAACUAUUCUCAGCCAUUCUUCUCAAUAUGGGAUAGACUUCUUGUAUCGUCAUAUCCACUCUCAGCACCAUAGGCUGGUUGUUCCUUAUGCAAUCGGCGCCCUUUACAAUCACCCACUUGAGGGACUUUUGCUCGACACUUUGGGUGGAGCCCUCUCUUUUCUUGUCUCGGGAAUGACUGCACGAACAGCCGUGAUAUUUUUCUACUUUGCUGUGAUUAAAACUGUUGAUGAUCACUCUGGGCUUUGGUUGCCUGGCAAUAUCUUCCACUUGUUCUUCCAGAACAACACCGCUUAUCACGAUGUCCACCAUCAACUUCAGGGCUUGAAGUACAACUAUUCUCAGCCAUUCUUCUCAAUAUGGGAUAGACUUCUUGGAACUCACAUGCCUUACCAUCUAGUCAAGCUACCUGAAGGAGGUUUUGAGGCUCGGCUAAAGAAAGACUAGAUGCUAUUAAGACAAUUUGACUGUAUCAUAAAUUAAUUAUUAAAAUAAUUAUCAACAAUACAAUUACCAAAAUAAUUGUGGGAGUUGGAGUUCAUGUGGGAGUGCUGGAGAAGGAAUUGAAAAUAGAAAGGAAAAGGAGUUGAGAGGGAGUGAAGGAGUGCUGGAACAGAUCUGUUGAAAGCGAAGAAGGAAGAAGGAGUGCUGGAACGGAUCUGUUGAAAGCAAAGAAGGAAGAAGGAGUGCUGGAACGGAUCUGUUGAAAGCAAAGAAGGAAGUGGAAGAAGGAAAAUGAUUUGAAAGUCACAUGGGGGACAGAUAUCUGUUACUCACGUGGGGGGAGGGGGGGGAGGUGAGAGAACGAAACGGCAGCACAAGCUGCCGUUUCUCUCAGCGUUCUCUCAGGGUUCCCGAUGUUUAGCAGCACUCGAAAGAAUUAACCUCCGCUUCAGAUCGAACGACUCACGAAGUAACUUCGAAAAUGUAUAUAAGACACAUGCAUGUUGUUUAAUUGUUAAAUUGUUCCCUUUGUAGGUGCUUGUGGACUCCAAAUUAAUUGUACGCCUUUUAAAUAGAAAUAAGUGCAUUAAAUAUUUUUUCCUUUUUACUUUAUUUUCGGAAUUUUUGGGAAAAAGCGAUGACUCAUGAGAAGAAGAAGAAGAAGAAGGAUAGUAGAAUACAUAUAAUAUCGGGUUUUUUUUUUUCACUUUUUACUUCUUUCUUUGAUUUUUUUUUUUUAAUUUUUUAUUAUCCCUUUUGUGUCAUUGGAGUCCAAAAAUAUUGUGUAUAAAAAAAUAACCCGCCUUCUGAGUUUAUGACAAUUUACCAUGCGUUAAUAACGCUUGAUGAAAAUGUUGCAAUCAGGUAGUGUAGAAUCAAUAAUUAAUGAAAUAUAAAAUAAGAAGAGUAAAUCUUAAUAACGCACCAAUAUUACAAAUCAAUAGCUAAGGAUCAAGCGAAAUUUCACCAGCAAAUUAGGACAGCAGAGGCAGCAUCCAUAAGCGUAAGAGUAAUUAUGUCACUCUGAAAUUUCAUAAGAGUAAAUUAGGACAGCAGGGAAAGGAAUAAACAAAGCAAUUUGCAAAGGACAGAGGCAUAAACAUAAUAGUAAUUAUAAAAUGUCAGACUGUAAGAAACAAGUAAAAAAUGUAUAAUAUUUUUCACAGUAGUCCGACGAUUCGUCAAUGUCUUUGUAAAAAGCGAAUAUUUUCAAAGGUAAAUAACACUCACACAAAUGUUUAAUCAAUAAUACAGUUGUUUUUUUGAAGUGAUAACUACUGAUUAUAUAUUGAUUCUUCAAAAUAAUUACACAUUUAUCAUAAUAUUAUUUAUUUAUUUUAUAAUUAAUAUAAUACUUUAAAGAUAUUUAAAAAAUUUUCAACUUGACAAUGUUCAAUAAAGGGUAAAGUUUAAAUUAUGUUACAAAAAGUCUUUGAACAAUAUAGAGCAAAGCUUUUACUUGUAUAACAAAAGAAAGCAUAUGAGGGGAUAAAAAGACUGAAGGUAUGAGUUUGAUUAUUAUCACAAUAAUUAUUUCUAUUUCAAAGAUUGAAAUCUGAACAUUAUUAUAUUUUGUGGAAUUUUCUCCAUUACUUUUUCAAAGUACUACAUGUACAUGGAUGAUUGUUUGUUACUGCGAACGGCAAAACAUUUAAUUUGGAGAAAAUUCCUUCUAGACUGGUAGUGUUGGUCGUAGGUUCCCUGUCGAGGAAGUGUUAUUAGCUCGAAACCUAUUGCAAAUGUCAAUCCAAAAUGGCUUCAAGGUUUCGUUGGAGAGCUGACGACAAGCUUCUGAAAACAACGUGCCAUAUUGAAACACAACAACAAUAAUGACAGUGCCAACCCACGCAGUGUACAAAAUGAUAUGGCCAAUAUUAGAACGUGGAAUAAAGGUGGAGAUCAAAGAUAUUGCAGAAGUAGAUCCUGAGACAACAGCAAUAAGGGCCCAGAAUUGGGAAGGAUUUUCGCGAUGAAGUCGAGACUUGAGGUCUUCUGAAUGUGCAUAACAAUAUAUGGCUGUGGCAAUGAGAAAAGACCAUAUAUUUAUUGAGUGUGUUUCAAGUAAGGGCUUAGUUUUACCUUGCACAUUUGCACCCACAAUACCUAUGAGAGUCGGAAUUAGAUAUCUAAAAAUGUUGGGAUAUGACAUUGAGAAGAAGAGAUUCCGCCCACUGUAAAAUUGUUAAAAUGAUUAAUCAUCUUAUGUAUAUUCCAUUUCCUUCAAAAAAAAAUUAAAAUUAAAAAACACUGUGUUAAUUUCCUCUGAAAUUGUCUAUCAAUUAUUUGCUUUGACCAACGCAAUUCUCCUCAAAAAAUUUGAGGGAGCACUUUCAUUUGCACCCAAAUGUUUCAUUAAAAUUUUAUUGUAUACACACUUGUUUCAACAGUUACUAUGGCUCAGGCUGCUCACCCUGUUAUGUUAAGUAUUGUUUUUACUGUUAAUUUUGACAUCUUUGAGAUUAAAAGACAAUUUUGACCCUCCUUAAAAUUUGUAAGUGUAAAAUUAUCAGAAAACCACAACACUAAUUUCAAAUUUCAAUUGACCUGUGUGGAUAUUAAAAUUUCUUAAAGGUUAAAAAAAACAGUUAAAAUAUCUCCUAUACUAUCAUCCACGAUCGUCUAUUCAUGAUAACAAUUUAAUAAACUCGAAAAAGCAAGAAAUCCAAUCCCAGUCAAUCAAACAGCCAAUUUUCUUCAUAAAGUUUAGCUUUUGCUAUUAAAAAUUCUAACUCUUGAGACCCUAAAUAAACCCAUAUUCAAAGUUAUGUGUUUCUAUUACGAAAAUAUUCAAUUUACCCCUUUAAAAUUUUGAAAACAUUAAUUUACUUCUAUUUAUCAGUCAAAAGAUAAAAAUAAAUGAAGACACCUUGACCAUAAACUUUUUAACUUUUUAGUGGCAUUUGAUAAAUAUAAAUAAGUUGAAAAUUAUCAUUUUAAGUGGGGAUAAGUUAAAAAUUUUACUCUAUAUUUAUUGUGCUUUGAUAAGAGAAAGAAAGAAAACAGAAAACAAAUCUCUUCCAUAGCAGUCUUAACAAAAUUUUCAGCAGGGACUUAACCAAUUUUUUCACGGAAAUUAAAUUCCAAUUUUUUUCACGGAAAUUAAAUUAGGAGAACAAAAACACUUUGAAGUGGACUGCAUAUAAAAACUCAAAAAUAACAUACAACUUGAGUCAAUAAUGGUAAAGAAAAUGAACGUACACAGAAGGGUUUGGAUUUGGAUGAUGAUCGAGAAUGCACUAAAAGCUUUGCAUUUGCAUAUACAUAUCUAUAUAUAUAUAUAUAUAUAUCUCUCAUAUACAUACACACACACACACAUAUAUAUAUAUAUCUCAGCAAACCCUGGAUUGAGUUCUCUUUUUCAGGGUAAAUAAGGUAGGGAACAGCAAAGCCGAUCAAUUUGAAAAGAAAAAAAAAAAAAACUAAAACUAAAAUGUAAACUCAGAUGGAAACUUGGCAGAGAAAACGUGAAAAAGAAAAAAAAAAUCUGUCACUUUAAGAACAUCUCAAUUAUCACUUUAAGAACACCUCAAUUUAUAUGUUCAAGUGCGGUGAUGCUGGUAGAGGGUUUAGUAGAAAGUUAACGGUUUCGUAGAACAGAGUCCUUUGUUGCAACUUGCAAGAGAGGACUCUGUUAACUUUGCGAAAAUCUGACUCGGCAAAAUCCACUCAUACAUCUUGUAAUGUUGAUGUAGUUUCUUUAUUUUUGUUUUUUUUUUUUUUUUUUGAGCUCCCAGACAAAAAACUUGUGUUGAAAAUUAAAAAUGAUCGAUUAAUGGGCUCCCCUCUCAAUUUCAAGGCCGAAAGGGCCGCUGUGCCCCAUGUGAAAAUUUCUUACAAUUAGAAUCAAAUCCACGUCAUACAUAUGAUGACAUGAUGUAUAUUUAGUAUGGUUUAUUCAAUGAUUAUAAGUAUUUAUUUAAUUUUUUAAAUUCUUGAUCAAACAAACGCCAAGAGAGACAUCUGUAAUUACGUUUAACGAGCAUUUUCGAGGAAUUGUUUCUAAAAAUAACUAAAACGGGAAAAGCCAAAUGGGAAAAUUUGGGUUGGAUGGAACUUGGAAAAGGACAAACAUGAAAGUUCAAAGUUUGCUUGGUUGGGCUAUUUUCUGCAAGUGGGAGAGACAGAGUGAUACAGCAUUACCAAUCUCUUUGGAGUGGCCCAAUCCAUAUCUUGGGGAAUCAUUUGAAGAACGGGCUGAACCACACCAGGAGGAAGAUACAACUAGGCCCAACACAGAACCAGUUGCAGGCCCCUCACGAAUGAGAAAACCACCCAGCUGGCUGAAGGAUUAUGUUGUUUGAGAGCAAGGAAGUUGUGGAUUCCUUUCUAGAAUCUUUUAUUCGUUUGAUAUUUUCUUUUGGCUUGACCAUUGCUAUUUUUUGUAACCACCUUCUGUUAGAGGUUGCUAGAGGAAAAAGCAUAUAAGUAUUGUAAUGUUUAAAAAGGCAAUGGAAUAUUUGGUUCUCUUUCUUCUAUGGAAUUUCCUUUCUUCUUAAUCAUUGUUCUGUUCUUAAUUCUUUUUCUUGGAGCUGGCACUCGCUCGAAGAGUGUUUUGUUGAGUGGAUUUGCUUGUGUUGCAGGACAAGCGUAUCAUUGGUGCUUUCAUCGACUUUUCCAUGGCUGAUUCAGAGGUGUUGGCAGCAGUGAAGGCACUCCAAACACAAUUUGAAGGCCAAACAAUUGCGAUUCAUCAAACCUUGCAGCAGUACAUGUCUACAGUGGAUUCUCGUCUUGAGGAUCUACAUUCUCAGAUCCAAGGGUCUUCAAGUGUUUUGGCUGCAUCAUCCGGUUCCGCACAUCGCUCUUCUCUAGUUGCGGAGGGGCAUUCCAGACACAUCGAUCUCUCGCCGGUAUUACGAUCAAUGAAAAUGGAGGUUCCCAAGUUUGAUGGCUCUGACCCGAAUGGGUGGGUGUUUCGUAUUGAAGAGUUUUUCGAUUUCCAUGAAACUCCAGAGCACUUGCGCUUUCGCAUCGUCGCGUUUCACAUGGAGGGGAGAGCGGCAGCCUGGUACCAAUGGAUGAAGGCGAACAAACUGAUAACAACAUGGAAAGCUUUUUUAAUUAGUCUGAAGCAUCGGUUUGGCGCUUCAAUGUAUGACGAUCCUCAAGGUACACUUUCCAAACUCACACAAACCACCACAGUCGCAGAGUUUCAGUCCGCCUUUGAAGAUUUGAUGAAUAAGGUCACUGGGAUUUCUGAACCUUUGUGGAUCAGUUUCUUUAUCACUGGUUUGAGAACGGAUAUUCGCAGGGAGUUGAUGUUUUCCCGCCCCACAUCUCUGAUGGAAACAUUUGCUCUCGCAAAAGCUUAUGAAGCUCGUUCAGAGAAGGCCAAAAUGAGUAGUCGCCCUUGGACUAAAUGGCCCCCACCGUCAGCCCCAACUAUGACUAUUCCAUCCGUCAACAAAAUUCCUCCACCCUCACAUGUGCCUGUUCCCCACCACACCACAAACAGUUUCCAUGCAGGUCCCACAACACACCAACAUCCUAAACAAACAAACCUUCCAGCCCUCUUACCUACACCAAAUUUACCAGUUCGCCGCCUCACUCCAGCUGAAUUACGAGACAAACGAGAAAAAGGAUUGUGUUAUAACUGUGACCAAAAGUACACCGCUAUUAUGUUAGCUCCCACUCCUCCUUGAAGUCAAUCUUGCUCCACGAAUUUCAUGCUACCCAUGGGCUGGACAUACGGGCAUAAAACGGACCUUGGUUCGCUUGGCUUCGACAUUUUAUUGGUAUAAAAUGAGAACUGAUGUUGAAAACUUUAUAACUGCUUGCCUAACCUGCCAACAAGUCAAGCAUUCAACUCAAGCCCCAGCAGGGUUGUUACAGCCGCUACCUAUUCCAUCAUUAGUAUGGGAUGAGGUCACUAUGGAUUUCAUUACGGGCUUGCCACCAUCACGAGGGCUCACUAUUAUCCUUGUCGUUGUGGACCGUUUGACUAAAUCAGCACAUUUUGGAGCUCUACCUUCUCAAUUUUCAGCUGUGACAGCAGCGGACUUAUUUGCUAACAUGGUCGUUAAACUCCAUGGUUUUCCUAGUUCCAUUGUGUCAGAUCGCGAUCCAAUUUUUAUGAGCAAGUUUUGGAAGAAGCUUUUUGAACUAAGUGGCACUUCCCUACGGCAUAGCACAGCCUAUCAUCCGCAGACAGAUGGGCAAUCCGAAGUUGUGAACCGCGGGCUUGAACAAUAUUUACGAGCUUUCACUCAAGAAAAACCACAAUCGUGGGUCUCUUUACUUUGCUGGGCAGAGUUCAGUUACAACUCCAGCUAUCACAGUGGUCUCAAGAUGACACCAUUUCAAGCAUUGUAUGGGCGUAUUCCACCUACUAUCCCAGCUUACUCUAAGGGCUCUACUUCAAUCCAAGCUCUCGAUGAUGCGCUGAUAGAGCGCGAUGCUAUCUUGCGCUCCUUGAAGGAAAAUUUGCGCCAAGCUCAGCAUCGAAUGACACAAAAGGCUAAUGCCCAUCGGCGUGAACUCCAGCUCAAUAUAGGAGAUCGCGUGCUUUUCCGCCUUCAACCAUACCGACAGACAUCUUUAGCUCAACGAGCAUCCCAUAAGUUAGCAAAGAGGUAUUACGGGCCAUUUACAAUAUUAGAACGUGUGGGACCAGUGGCAUACAAGCUGAACCUACCGUUAGAUUGCAAAAUUCAUCUUGUCUUCCAUAUUUCAAUGCUCAAACCCUUUAGCGGUUCCAGCCCCAUCACUGGGUUACCCUUACCUCAUGACAGCAUCAACAAUCGACCAUUCUCAUACCCGGCUGGCUGAAGGAUUAUGUUGUUUGAGAGCAAGGAAGUUGUGGAUUCCUUUCUAGAAUCUUUUAUUCGUUUGAUAUUUUCUUUUGGCUUGACCAUUGCUAUUUUUUGUAACCACCUUCUGUUAGAGGUUGCUAGAGGAAAAAGCAUAUAAGUAUUGUAAUGUUUAAAAAGGCAAUGGAAUAUUUGGUUCUCUUUCUUCUCUGGAAUUUCCUUUCUUCUUAAUCUUUGUUCUGUUCUUAAUUCUUUUUCUUGGAGCUGGCACUCGCUCGAAGAGUGUUUUGUUGAGUGGAUUUGCUUGUGUUGCAGGACAAGCGUAUCACAGAGUCUGGAAAGGGUUUCUUUUCUUUUUCUUUUUCUUUUUUUCAAAUACACAUAUAGCCACGUGUUGUCCCAUAUAAAAAAAUAAUACUUUAUAUAAGUCCGAGGUCAAUUGGGCUGGAAAACAUUUAAAAUCGAACAUAUCAGGCAUGUUGUAAGUUCGCAUUUGGAGAAUCAUGUUGUCAGCCCCACAACCCCCAAAUGGGAACUUUAGAUAGAAAUAUAUAGCAUCCCAACAAUAAUAUUUAUUAAUAAUAAAUUUACUUAUUACAAUUGUUUUUGUCAAAGACUCCUUGAUGGUAUUUCAUGUGUUGAAAAAAAUGUAAAAUAAUUUUAUUAUCGAUACAAUUAAAAACAUAUUUUUCAAUAUAUAUAAUUAAAUUAUCACUUGAUUUGUUCUUAAAAUGUUUUAAUAAUAGCAAAAAUAUGGAUAUAAUGAAACAUGAAGAAAAAAUAUGAUUACAGACACAUUAGGGAACGGCAAUGAGGAGGGUAGGGGAGGGGACUGACAUCUCCAUAUCCAUCCUCGAUAUUCUACAUAUGUUCUCAUCCCCUUCCCAUCCCCGUCAGAAUUACUUGAGAAAAUAUUCAUCCCCUCCCUAAAUAAUAACAGGGGAUCUCUAAGAGUCUCCGAUCCCCACGUAAUUGAUACAUUUUUUAUUUUAAUUUUAAUUAAUUAUAUUAAAAUAAUUUUUUUAAUAAAAGUACAGUUAAGGCGGCAGCUAGCUGCCAUAGAAAAUUAGAAAUUAGGUUUUAUGAUUUUGCCUUAACUUUUGUUUUAUUGGAUAAACGUUUAAAAUAUUUAAUGAAUAUUAUAAAUUAAAAAAAAAAAUUGGGCCAACAAGAUCCUGUCUGGCUUUUUUUAUGUCCUAAAUAGAUAUUUAAGAUUAUAAAUAGUUAAGUAGGCUCAUUAAAGCAUCUGACAAAUUGUUACAUAAAACCAGGAUAAUUAGAGUGCUAAUCAAAUAACCCAAAUUAUAGAUUCCCUAAUCAAACAAACAUAACAAAAAAAUUUUGAAAUACAAUUUUUUUUUCAGAAAUGCGAAUUGGCACCAAAUAAAAUUGAGCAAAAGCUAAUGCUGUCCUACAAGUUGACAUGGUCCUCCUUUAGCAAGGUUCAAAUAGGGAAGACCAUAGUAAAAAUAAGAGGAAAUAAUUUAACUUUAUCUAUAAAUCCUACAAUUUAGAUGCUAGUAAAAUAACUCCAAUCUGAAGCAUCAAAUGUACAAGAUUCAUAAGCAAAAACAGGUUACACGAUUAGUUAUUACCUGGAUUACGUUGUACAUAUUACAUGGUAUACCUAAUCAGACAAAUAACAGGUUACAAUCCAAGUUUUGUUGAUCAUGAAAGGUUUGAGCGUGAUAGUCCAUUUAGGUCAUUAGGUCAGCCAAAUGGGAGACCAGUGGAUUUGGAGGGUUUGUAUACAGUGCAAACUGAGCUAAUAAUGCAUGUUCAUGGUUUUAUACGUGCCAGGUAUUUUUAUCCUGUAAUUGUGAAAUUGAUGACAGAAAAUUUUAUAUCGUAAUUUCUUGGAAUUCUGACUGCAUGCUUUUCUUCUAAUUGUUAUGUUUCUGUUAAUGAUGGGAUGACCAUCUUUCAGUGCAAUAAAGGUUGGAAUCAUAUGGUAUACCUAAAAUAAAUUGUCACGCUAGAUUGAUAUACUCAUUCUCUAAUCAACUGAGAGUAUCUUCUAGUUCAGCUAUUUCUUUUCUGGGUAUAAAAGAUAAAUGUUCUUUGAACUUGCCUCGUACGUUAACCUGCUACCAAUACGGUCUACCGUAUGUAUGUCUAGCAGUCAAGUGAAGAUAAAUUUGAAAUGUAACUAUUACGUUCGUUUGCAAUGUGGAAUAGUUACCUAGGAUGAUCAUGAGUAGAUACUUUCUGGAUGUCAUAAUUUGGGAUGUAGGUGUCCGUUUUUGGUGCAUAAUACAUUGUUUUGAAGGUUACGAUGAGAUGAAUCAAACCUAGAAUGCUCACACUAUUCUGCCCAAUCAUUUUGCAGUUUUAUGUUGUUUUCCUAUGUUUCUGUUAAUGAUGGGAUGACCAUCUUUUAGCAUAGUAAAGGUUGGAAUCAUAUGGUAUGCCUAAAAUAAAUUGUCACACUAGAUUUAUAUACUCAUUCUCUAAUCCACUGAGAGUAUCUUCUAGUUCAGCUAUUUCUUUUUGCGGUACAAAAGAGAAAUGUUGUUUGAACUUGCCUCGUAUGUUAACCUUGUACCAAUAAGUAUGAUUUAACUAAAGUCUUGAGCACACGAGCAGUUUUGCUUUUAAAAGAAAAACAACUAUUUACCCUGGCUGCUCUCUAUCUCUCCUCACCAACUGAGUCACCGGUUGGUUGCAUUUUACUAACGAUGCCGACUGAGAGAUCACAAUCCCUGUACGCGUCCACCCUAACUGAUUUUUACGGCAAUUAAUGAUAUAAAAUUAUUUAAAUGAAAGUAAUUUAAAUUUAUUUUUCAAGUCACCAGGAGCUUCAAUUCCUACUGGGCACCAUAUGGCACUGCCUAUGGAAUCAUUCAAUGGUCUUAUAGUACAUAAAUCACUUUCUUUUUCAUGUGUGGAUAGAGAUAAUAUGAAUAAACAUACGACUCUUUUCAAAUAUUAAAAGAAAAUAAAUACAUCAUUAUGAUAUUUACAAUAAAAAUCACACACUCAAGAUUUUAGUUAAAUCAUACUUAUUCAAAUUUCAGACAAAAAGAAAAAGAAAUGUCACCUUUAGCCUUUAAUUAAAAAGUGUAUGGGGUAAAUAUAUUAGUAAAUGAGAACUAGUAGUGGUCAAAACAUAAUAACUCUAAUUGUAGGGUCAAUUUUGUAAACAUAGUAAACUUUUUGAAUGUACGAUGGACUGGUUUUAUUGUUGUAGUUAAUUUUGUGUGAUACAAAAAGUGAGAGAGUGUGAAACGACGAUGAUGAGUCACAAAAUAGAGGAAUCUUUAUAUUUUCAACCCACUUAAACUGUCACAGAGAGAAAACGACAUGGAAUCUUUAAACUGUCACAGACAGAAAACGACAUGGAAUCGCGUUAUAAUUGCAAAAUCCACAAACUUUCUGCGAAACCGACUUACCAGCAAGUCGCGGACUCGCGGCCUCAGUUUCAACUCCCGGCAUCAGCGCACUUGAAAAUAUAAAUACCCCAGCGACGAGAUAAUUCUUUUAAGCAGAGAUAAUUGAGAUGUUCUUAAAGUGACAGUUUUUUUUCUUUUUCACCUUUUCCCUUCCAAGUUUCCAGCUGAGUUUACAUUUUUAAGCAGAGUCCUCUCUUUCUCUUCUAUAAAGGGAACUUGAUUUAUAGAAGAGAUAAGGCCGUGUCCCUUUGCUCAUUUGCUGCUGCAGCUCUCCUCUUCUUCCUUUUUCCUCUCUUAUCUCUUCUACUCUUCGAUUGCUCUGGUCGACACGGCCUUUGAUUGCUCUGUCAAUCUAUACAAGACAUAUACAACACGACUUCAGAUCUUUUAGGAUCGGGCUUCUCUCUUCGUACUUGCGGCUUUCUCUCUUAUAAAGGUUUCAUUUCGAUUUUGAUUUGGAGUAAUAGUCCUUCAGGAUCGUGCUUGUCUCUUCAUACUUGCGGCUGUCUCUCUGAUAAGGUUUCGUUUCGAUUUUGAUUUGGAGUUGCUUUUUCUUUUAUUUUCAAGUAGAUUUGUUUCAAUUGAAAUGUUGGUUGUUAAUUUGGUGUUGUGUUAAGUUUUGCAGGUAAUGAUUGCUCUGAUCAAGCUAUUACAAAAUGGCUGACGGGAAAAGAAAGUCAACCCAGCAAUCUUGACCGUCUCCCUUCUCUCUCUGACCUGAGCCACAACGUGUAUUUAAAAAUAAAACUUUACCCUAUAUAUAUACAGACAAUGUUCAAAAGAAAACAAAAAAAAAUCCCAAAUUUCUUUUUUAAAUUCUUACCAAUCAAUAAAAGUAUUUGAUAAUUUUUUUUUUCACAAUAACUAUGACUUGAAAAAAUUAAACUAAUAUUAAAUGAGACUAAAUACAUAAUGAUCUCUUAAAUUCCUGUUUUUCUAAAGGAAUGGAUCUAAUACUUUCCUUAAUAUAGUAUUUUAAUGGGUCUGCAGGAACAAAUUUUAUUUGUCCGCGAUGUCAAACGCAUACCAUAACGUGUUUGGAUACCUCAUUCCAAUUCUCAUCGGCAUCGUGGGAGCAAAUAUGCAAGGCACAACUGAGCGCUUGCUUGAAACACACACAACAAAUAUAUGGUCUUUUCUCAUAACCACAGCCAUUUAUUGUUAUGCAUAUUUAGCUCAUCAAGAGAAUUUUUCCCAAUCUUGGGCCCUUGUAGCACGAGUCUCCGGAUCUGUUUCUGCAGUCUCCCUAGCCUCCACAUUUGUUCCACGCUCUGAUAUUGGUCAUAUCAUAUUGUGCACUGCAUGGCUUUGCUCGUCCAUUAUCAUUGUUGUGCAUCAAUAUGGGGCGCUGUUUGCAGAAGCUUGUCGUCGGCUCUACAACGAAACCUUGAAACCAUUUUGCAGUCAGCUCUAUAACGAAACCUUGAAGCCAUUUUGUAUCAAUAUUUGCAGUAGGUUUCAAUCUAAUGACACUUCCUCGGCAGGACAACAACGACCAACACUACCAGUUUAGAAGGGGGCUUCUUCAAAUGUUUCACCUUACACAGUACUACAGUAGCAAGCAAUCAUCUCAUGUACACGCAGUAAUUUUGAAAAGUAACAGAGAAAACAUAUUAGUGUCCAGAUUUCUUUGCUUGAAAUAGUGCUAAUUACUGUCGUCAAAUUUCAUCUUAUUCUUUUUAUUCCCUCACAUGCAUUGUUUUAUUGAUAUUAUACAAGAAAAUGCGUUGUUCAAUAUUAUGCAAAUAUUUUUUUUUUCUCAAAUAAUUUAAAUUUCAAAGAUUGCAAUGAAAUUUAAUUUAAGGAUUGCCCUUGAGCACUGUCAGCUACGACUCCAGUUUCCUGCAACAAUGAAAAAUUCUGUAAUAGUAAAAAGUCUCUCUUUUUUCGCAAUAUUAAGUCAAUAAUUUGAAAGGCAGAUUUAACAACAGGUUGGCCUAAUUUCAAAAUUUAAUCCAUGUAAUAUAGAAAGAAGACUAGUUCAAUGUAUAUGAGUCCACCAAAAAGUUAUUAAAAAUUUAGGAUUAAACACUUGGAAAUGGCAAUUAGGUACUACCUCAAGAGAUUUUACUGCUUGAACCAACCAAGGGGGUAUGUUUGCAAUUGUUGUGACUAAGUAUAAAUAGAUGGUUGGUCAGUGGUAAGAACCAGCCUUCUAGCAUCUUUGGGCACAAAGAACUCAAGAAAAAAGCCCACAUGAGACACAAGACCCAAUGCUCAGCAUGCAGCAAGCUUAUCUAGAUUCAGGUGCUUUAUGGAUCAAAUUCACAUUACAUGAAAAGUUCACUAUUCAGAAUGGCACUCUGUAUGACAGCAAAGAGAUAAGUGGAAGAAAAAAAUCUGAAAAUCAACAUACCUUUUUCUUUGUGAUUAGGUAGUCGAACCCCACUAGCUCGCUUAUUUCAAGCAGCCAGGUCAGCUCAACACGGUCGUCUUGUAUCCUUCAAGAUGCACAACCCCUGUGAAAUUUCCAUCCUGGUUCCUACUAAUUUGCUCCACAAUUGCAUUCCCAAUCUAUUUAUGUGAAUCUUAUUUCCAGAGAUCAACUCGGCAUUGGCAAGGUCCAUCCAUAUUGUUUUUGCACAUGUUGUAGCUUUCACUCCUACACCUUUACGCGUCUUAUGCCUCAGUUUGAUGCGAACUCAUGGUUUGUCAAGGCCAUUGGUAAGAGUCAGUCAGUCAGCAAUAGUAAUAUCUGCCUUUCUUCAAUCACAGCAGCGAGUAUAGGGCACGCAGGAUUAAUAAUCUUCUUAUUAAUAUAGUAGUUCAAAGUUUGUCACGUUCCAAAUGGUUGAGACUGUUUGAAGCCGCCAGAAAAAGUAGAGAUACAAAAGUUAUUCUUCCACUUAAGUGAUAACAAAUACUAUAUGAACUAUGACAAAUUACUUCAGCUACAUUGUCUUAGCAGUUCAAGGAUAAACUGCAUCAGAGACUCAAUUUUCAGUCCCCUACGAAUAAUUCUUUGAAUGGCAAAAAAAAAAAAGAGGAUUAUCUAAUCCAUUCUGUACAAACCACAAAAGUUUGCUAAGAGGCAUGUUACAGCAUUUUCAACCGGCUAAACUCAAAAAUUUGAACCUUUAUAUUCCAUAUCCUCUUGAACCAAAUGGUAUCAAGCAUUACGAGCAUUGUACUCACUAGAUCUCAAACUAAAAGACGUGAGAAUUAGUCCAUAAGUUAGGUAUAUCUUGUAAUUUGACCUGAUUUGAUGGUGGGUCUGGGUUGCAACGACUGGACGGGAUCUCAGACGGACUUGCUGGAAUGUUGCAUGUCAACUUCCUGCUACGACAACACUCCUAACAAUUAACAUCCCAAUUUUGCUUAUGAAAAAACAGGGAGAUAUUAGAAUGAUAUCUCAAUACUUCAAGCCAUUCACAAACAUUUUCCAUGUAAUUGGUUGCAAUACCAGACGAGCUUAAGCCUGCCACCAAUAAUCUGCUUCACCUUAAAUCACGAAUAAGGCAAAAAUGCUAUCCUCCGCUCAUCAUUCGGCCUCAACAGAUCACAGGUGGAAGGUUAAGUGUGUGAGUAGUUAAAGGGGAAAUACCCUUUUUGAUAAAUGUGCCAAGAUGAAAGUCACUAUAGUCAAAAGGGUAUAAAUAUCCCAACACAAGUCUAUAUGGUCAUUUCCGAAACCACGCAAAGACGUCGGUGUCGUUUCCCCACAACAAUAAAUAGAAAUCACCAUACUUCCACAAUUAUCCAAAGAGCGCGAACCCUGACACAUCAUAAAAACUAUUAUAAAUCUAUUUACAGAAUAAACUUGACUGAACGGAGGCAUCGUGUGAUAUUUGCAUCCCCACAAUUUCUUAUCAGAUUCAAUUCAUAAAACAAAUAGGAACACGUAUAAAAUUUAAAUAAAAUUCUUUCAAAUUUUUUUUUUGUUUGGUGCGCGCGCGCCAAAAAUUGAAAUUUUGCAGAUUAAAUUACUACCAGAUGAUGAAGUACAAAACAAAAAUCAUCAUAUUCUGACAAUGACACAUAAUAGAAAACAAAACAAAAAAAAAAUCGAGACUUACGUUGUCAUUCAAAGCUUUGAUCCAAUUUGAGCAUCCUGAAACAGGGUUUUUCUUAAUCAUUCUUAGCGUUUUCUUCGUGAAGUUUGACUUUAUAUGCAAAGGAAAGUAGGUCACUAAUUAUUAAAUUAUCAAAAUACCCUUGACAUUUAAGUGUACAGGAGCUGACGCUUAAGGGUAUCGUAGUCAUUGUAUGGGUUUAGGCACCCAUUUGGGACGAAUAGAAAACUACCGUCCUUAUUUGAGAAAUAAUGCUAUUUGACACAGAAGUAUAAAUAAAUUCUCAACUUCCUCCCGUUUCCGUGAAAAUUUUGUUUUCAGUGCAGUGGAAUUGAAUUAAUCUGAAGGAAAAAAAAAAUUGUUGGUAUGUGGAAAUUAUACUUGAAACGUUGUCGUUUUUGGCAUAAUUGCUGUGAUAUACUUAUUUGCUUUGUGUUUUUAUUUCUUUUUUCUGGGUUUUAGGGUCACAAUCGGAGAGAGAAGACAAUGUCUCGUUGGAACUCUCUGAAGAAGUUCUUCAGAGCAUGGAAGUGGGCAUUUCUUUUAGAGAUUAUGUAAGAGAAUCUUCUAAUAAGUUUCUGUUUGAGGAACAUACUUGAUUUGCGUUUUAAAUGUAUCUGUUUGUUAAUUCAGUGUCGUUUUGUAUUGAUUCGUGUUUUAACAGAAUGGGAGAAUUAGUUCCUUGGAUUUUCAUAAAUCAUCGAGUUAUUUGGUGACGGCUAGUGAUGAUGAAUCUAUACGGCUGUACGAUGUCUCUGCUGCCACUUAAGUUGAUCCUCUGUUUCUUAGGAUUUUAUGUUGUCUCUUGGGAAGUGCUUUUAACUAAGAAAUGGCUUUUGAAUAAGUAUAAAAAGCUGGUUUCAAUCUUGCAAUGUUUGUUUGAAAUUGCAGGAAUAAUAAAGUGUCUCUUUUGAAAUCAAAGGAACCCUUGAAGUGUUUUUCUGGGGAAGUGCUUGAUAUCUGCUUUCAUGGAUAGAACUUUUUGGAUUAGGAAACCACUUGUAGUGCUGUUUGAAGAAGUGCUUCAUAUAUGUUUCAAAGUGAUUUUACUCGAGGGUACUUUCCAUUAAAGCAUUGCUGAACGUAUCAUCUGCGUGUUUGAUGAGCUCAUGAAAGCUACUGUCUUUCUAAGAUGGAGAAAAAUGCUUUUUAGAUGAAACAGAAAAAAAAAAAAAAAAAUAGAACCUUGGAGUGGUUUUCGGGGAAGUGCUUAAGGGAAAUGUAAUUGAUAUAUUUUUCAAGAACUUUUGUAAAAAGGCCUUUUCUUUUCUUUCUUUUUUUUUGUUUGCAUAAGCUCUUUCUAUAAGAUCACUGCCAAAUGCACUUCAGUUGUCUUAGCUGAGCAUGAUAGUUGGUAUUGCAAUUGUUGCUGAGAGCCUUAAUUGAAAUUUCAGAUGUUUGAAGACAAUUAACAGCAAAAAAUAUGGGAAUAUUUGUAUUUUGUUUGUUGGUGGAUUGCUUUACUAGGCACUUAUUUGAUACGUUCAUUUAUUCAGAAUCUCUACGGCUUCUUUCCUCGCACGAUAACAAGUACUUGCGUUACUUCAAAGGUCAUCAUAACAGGUUUGUAAUUCACUUAUUCUUGUAAAUAUUUCGUAAUUAUUAUUAUCUGUAUAUAUGUUUUACUGCUUCUAGGGUUGUUUCACUUAGCCUGUGCUCCUCCAAAGAUUGCUUUAUCUCUGGUUCUCUUGGUCAAUCUGUUCUGCUCUGGGAUCAACGGGCUGAGAAAUGCUAGGUGGAUAUCAUGCCAUCCACCAUUUUCAAUUGUAUUUAUGAUCUCUGUUGGCAAAUACGGGUCUUUUGCAUGUUCAAGGAAGGCCUGCUACAGCAUAUGAUGAUCAAGGGCCUGUCUUUGCAGUUGCCUUUGGAGGAUACAUAAGAAUGUUUGAUGCUCGUAAGUAGGAGAAAGUUAAAAUUAAUAUUUAAAAACAUCUUGGAAGUUUAUAUGUCGUACUUUUAUCAUGCACUAAUUUGGUUAAAUUUGGAUACAUCUUCUCUGAUGGUGGAGAUGUAUCAGAUUCUGAUGCUGGAAAGUUCAGCAAUGAUGGGAGACUUAUGCUUCCGACCUCUAUGGAAGGACAUAUUCAUGUGCUUGACUCAUUCCAAGGCACACUUGUGAGUUGACUUUUUCUUUCUUCAUCUCCCAAAUGUAACAUAUCGUACGUAUAUACCCCUCUAUACACUGGAAUCUCUGUGAAUGAGCUUCUGUUUACUCUUGUUUUUAUUUAUCCACUUAUGAUGCCAAGCCAGUUUCUCGCAAUUCCACAUUGGAGGCAUCUUUCAGCCCGGUAGAGUUUCUCCUUUCAGUUCUUAGGGCACAGUGACUUGGAUAUUUUGUUAAUAUUUGCUUUUGGCUGUUUUGAUAAUUUAUAUUAAAGUUCUUGCACUUGUGCUGUAUAUAAUUCUCAAAUUUGUUACCACCUUGUUGGUAUAUUGAAAUACACGACUUGAAAUGCUGGGCAUCAAGCUUGUUUCCGCAGAAUUCUUUGAAAUAAAUUCAUUUUCUCUUCUUCAUUGACUUGGUUUGAAACCCACUCCCAUCCAUGCAAAUCCAAAUGCGUACGUAUUUUCAUCUGGUUGUGCUUAUUAAUAAAAAUAAAUCAAUGAAAUGCUCAAACAGCAAGUGCACCCACACAUGUGGAAGCAGCCUAGUGUGGCCAAGCACCUCUCAUUUGUUUUAUGUGAUACAAUUGGUUUGUUGCACUCUUUGUGCUAAUUUUACUUUCUCGGUUUGGAAGGUUCUGAUGAUGGUAGUGGAUAUGCUUGGAGUGUACGGAGCGGGAAAGGGGUAUGAUAAGCAAAAUUCCUGGAUUCUCAUGCCUUUUGAAUGCUUAGAAUUCAAAGGGAUGUUAUUUCCCUUACAUUGACCCCAGUCAUAGCAUUCAUUGUCUUCUAGCCAAACCAACAAUGCUUUUGAAUCUACAUUUGAGCUUUGUAUAAGAAGUUGCACCAAUUAUGUAAGGAGAUGUUCAAUUUCCUAUAGUAGUAUGUAAAUGCAUCUGACUUACCUGCUAGUAACCUUUCCUAACAAGUUCUGAAGAAACAACAGUAGAUCUGGUAUCAGUACUUUAUUCAGAAGAGCAUUUCUUCUUACAUGCACAGCUAAGAGUACAUGAAUUGAGCUACUGAAGCCCUUCCUGACCAACCUGGCUAAGGCUCCGUUCAGUUUGUCCUCUUCAUGGUUCUUUGGCAGGCAACAGCGUAAGCAAUUACCUGGACUAUGAGGCCUUUUGUAGCGGGGUGGGCACUGCCUAGGCAGUUUUUGAAAAAAUUAGGAGCUUUAUUUGUCAUUGACAUUUGUAGCACGAUUAGUUGUUACCUGGAUUAAGUUGUAUAUAUUACAUCGUAUACCUAAUCUGACAAAUAACAGGUUGCAAUCCAAGUUUUGUUGAUCAUGAAGGGUUUGAGCAUGAUAGUCCAUUUAGGUCAUUAGGUCUCCCUCGAAUUGCCACGUACACACUUCAAUCCUCUCAACGAGCGUCCCCGCAACGUCACACUCCACAAUAAUCUCAAAUAAUUUAGAACAAUUAUUUACUUCUGGCUGCUCUUAUCUCCCUUCUCACCAACCGAGUCACUGGUUGGUUACAUUUUACUAACACCGCCGAAUGAGAGAUCAUAAUCCCUAUUACGUGUCCACCCUAACUGACCACAACAUUGUCAUUUUUGAUCUAGCGUUAGUAACGCGUUGUUAAAUUGUCAUAGCUUCGAAACCGCUUUAUUUUUGGACUCAAGGCACAAAAAGGAUAAUAAACAAUUUUAAAAGAAAUUAAAGAAAGAAGUAAAAAGUAAUAAAAACUGGUAUUACAGGUAUUCUACUAUUCUUCUUCUCAUGAGCCGACUUUUUUCCCCAAAAAAUAAUAAAUAAAUAAAUAAAAUAAAGUAAAAAGGAAAGAAUAGUUAAUGCACUUCUCUACGUAAACGGUGUACAAUCAUUCUGGAGUCUGCAAGGGCCUUCAAGGGACCAAUUUAACGAGUUUCAAAUAACAAGUUUAUUUAUUUAUUUAUUUAUUUCUUUGGAUGAAAUAACAAUUUUAAUUAAAUAAUACAAAUAUAACUUAUGUACAUUUUUGCUUCUUGACCCUCUGUGUUGAAUGAGAACGAAACUGACAGAUAAGGACAGUAUGGCGUAUCUCUUGUUUAUUUCUUUGAAUUCCCCUCUCUUUAUUCUCUCUCAAUAGCCCUAUCUACAACCCUAUUCCUUUUUAUAAUCCUUUAUCACGCUACAUAUAUCGUAGCGUACUAUUAAAAUUUAACAGUGGGAUUACUUAGAAAUUUGAUAAGCACUCCGCUUCUCCCCCACCCCACCCAAAAAAAUAUUAUAGGUUAAGUGGAUGUAAAUUCUAAUGAUUAACAUGUUGGGAUUAUAUGCUCUUUUAAAGUAUAGUAAUUUAUUUUCUGAUUAAUAAAAUAUUUGAGAUAUUUUCAAUUGCAUAAAUAUAUAUUGAAUAAUGUCCGUUUAAUCAUAUUAUAUGUAUUUUUGUGAUUAUCAUAUAGAUUCACAGAAAACAUAAAUACAAGUUAUCUUAUUAUUAAAUAAAUUCAGUUCGCAGUUGAUAAAUAGAGUUGGACGCUCUAUUUAUGUUUAGACUGUAGUAAAUUUAUUGCAUGAUUUGUCUUAAUCAUAUAUGAAUUUAUUGAUGUAGUACGAUUACAUUGAACAUGAACACAUAUGAGAUUUAAUUAACCUUGAAAUGACUGUCAGACUUAUUAAAUCUCAUAGGCAUUGAUUUUACUGUAAUCUUAAUAUUGAGUUAAUUAUGAUUUCAUGAUUGUAAUUGUUAUUCCAUUUGAGUUACCAAUGGGCACAACACACAAUUGUGGUCAAGAUUACCUAGUAUCUUGGUGGGAGCAUUUAUGAGUAUUGGAGUUAUACAUUAACAAUAUAGAAUUUGUACAACACAUCCUUGAUGAGUUUUUGGCACUUGAUCAUAGAAUUCUCUGGCCAGAGUGUGUCAACAUAUUUAGUAUGUUGAAAAUGAUCAUUAGAGAAAACAAGUAAGCAUCAAGGAAUAAGAUGUAAUUAAAUUGAUUAGACAGUUGAGAUAUCGAUUUAAUUAAUGAUGUGGUACAAAGGAUUAUGCAGUAAAAAAAUUGAUGUGGCCUGCGACGAAUUAUUAUUCGAGCAUACAAUUAUGGAAGUUAGUUCCAAUCUUUUAAUGGAGUAUAUUUGGAAUUAAAUAAUUAGGCUAGUUUAAUUAUAGGCCUAAUUAUUAUAGCCACUAUUGUAUGUUCCCAAAUGAUUCCCGGGUUAGCUCAUUUAAUUGACUACGCCACUACUAGAUUAAUAAACAAGAUAACUAGUUAUUUGGGUUAAAAGCCUAAAUAUAUUAUUUAGUGGGAGGCUUCAAGUAAUGUACUUGUGUCUAAGGGGCAUUGUGUUAUUUUACAAAGUGGGCCCCUAUGACAAGAAAGAAGUAACGUUACUUUUAGUUUAUUAUUUUUAUUUAAAUCAAACUUGAUUUAAUAGAAUUAAAUAAUAUAAAAAAUGGAGUCUAGGGUUUCCACUAGAGAAAAAUAUAAAAGGGCUUAUUUUCUCCCAAAAGAAACAAGCAGCCACUUUAUACAGAUCAGAGAAAAAGAUUUUUCUCUCCGUUGUUGAGAGAAAAAUUUUCUCGUGCUAGUUACUUUGGUAGUGAUAAAGGCGUUCACACGUCAAAUGCAGAUCAAACCUGAGUCAUAACAUAGAAGAUCAUUGGUGACAGUUCGUGAUCUAACAAGUGUUGUGGUCACGGAUCGUGAUCUAACAAGCGUGGUGGUGACAGAUCGUGAUCUAGGAGCCUAAAUCACUUCAAUGGAAAAAGCCAAAUCGGAUUUUCAAUGUACGAUUUCUAGAUUACGUAUUCAUAUAUAUUGUAUGAAAUCAGUCCUAAAACAUUUUAUAAAAAUUUAAAAUAUAGAUUUUUCUCCAACAAUUGGUAUCAGAGCCAUCUUAUAUUAAUAUAUAAUAAUAUUGUAUGAAAUCAAUCUUGAUAUUUAUGUAUUAGAGUGGCACAACUUAUUCAGAUAUAUAUUAUUUAUUUAAUAUAUGAAUAAAAUAUGUUUUUGGUUUGUCUUAAUUCAUGAUUAGAUUCUUUACUGUUUUUUUUUUUUAUCUGUAACAAGAGGAGUGGUUUAUUAUCACCAUAUUUCCCUCUUAAUUUAGUUUAUUGUUAUAGAAAUUUUGUAAGCCUAAAUUGGUGUAGGAAAUUUGUAAGUCACUAGAGUAUAAUCAUGGAUGUCAGAUCAAAGCAACGAAUGCCGGAAAUUUCAGCGUCAGCCAGCGGUGCAUGAUGCACGCGCAGUGGCCAGCAGCACACGCUGCCAGCAGCUGCAGCGCGCGCAAGUUUAGUGCAUUUCCGACGACGCGGCAACGGGUGGCUCGGCGUCGGAGGUCGGCUGGUGUCUGAACAAUGGCAGAGGUUUUUGGAGAUGGCGGCUGGGGAGAAGGAAAAGAAAAAUAAGGAUUUUAGGGUUUCAUGGUUUCUAUCAUUGAGGUCCCUAUAGUUUAAUAAUUAUUUCUUUUGGGCAGUUAAGUUUUAAGCAUUUAAGUCUAAAAAUAGUUUUGGGCUUAAAGAAUCUUAGUUUUAGGCCCAAUUGAAAUUUGGGCUUAAUAGAUUAAAAUACAUAGAUAAAAUUGAACACAUUAAAUUUAUUUUUUGUCCAAAAAUUUUAUUUUAAUAAAAAAUUUAAUUAUUUAUUUAUUUCCUUCUAAAAAAUUAAAAUUGGACCAAUAAUAAAUUUAAAAGCUCAAUUUCCCCUAGUCCAUUAACAAAGAUAAGCCUAUGGAAGGUGGAUAUUGACAAAAAGCCCAAUGAAGAUUAAGCUUAUGGUUAAUGUAUUUUUUUAGGAAAGCCAUGAAUUAAGAUUAUUUAAUUGUAUUUCUAUAUGUUCUGUUUUGGAUGAUAAUAUGCCAUGAUAACAUGUCAUAUAGAAUAGGUAGUGUCACUCUAUGCAUAAUAUUACAUGUCAUUAAUUAAUUAUGAAUCUUAUUAUAUUGUUUGUAAUUUGCAAAUGCUUAAAUAAUAUUGGAUAUCAUAUAGAUAAUAUUAUAGGAAGCAUGAAACAAUAUGUAUGUUUUAAAAAAAGAAAAAACCAAUUUUAAAAUAUUGAGUGGGAGAGGGAAAAUUCAAAAUAAUUUUUCCCACGGGCUCCAUUGUUAGUUCAAUAAUAAAAUUAUAUAUAUACCUCGACUUCAUGAUACGGUGAUGCUCCUUAUGGAGGGUAUAUAUACUAGAUAUUUUAUUUGCUGAACUUUUUCAAAGAUAAAAUUGAAUAUUUUUCAAUCAAUUGUUCACUCCAACGGUGACUAUUGAUAUGAAAAAUACGUAGAUUGAAACAAUGGUUAUACCCUCAACUAAAAGUUGUUUUUAACCUUCCCAACAAAGCUCUGUUAACAACUUUAGGCCCAAAGGGAUAACGAUAAUUAUUUAUCAUGUCUUUACAUGAAAGUAAAUAAUUCAAUGGAUAAUUGGGUCUAGUAAGCAUAUAUUUGUUAUUUUGUUGUGAAUGGGACAUAUAUGGCACCAUUUGCUCCCGUGACCGAUCUUUAUAACAGAUCCAAUUACCCUCGUUAUAGUCACUAGAUAGAAAGCUAACAUAGCACAAUUAUAAUAUGUAAUGUAAGUGAUAGUAGAGUCACAAAUUAUUGUAUAAAUUUAUUUUAUAUAAAUUGAUGAUAAUAUAAAAUAAUAAAAAUAUAAAUCAUGUAGACCAAGAUGUAUUUAAUAUAACUAAUAAAAUUUUACUAGAUUAGUUUAUAUAAGAAUUUGUAAUUUUAUUAUUACUCAUGGUACUUGAACAGUGGCUGAUUGGUUAGCUAGUGGUAUAAGUGGCAACGACCAAAUUGUUGAGUCUCUGACGUGGGUUCUCAAAAUGAGUCAAGAGUCCAGAAAUUAGCUAUCAAGUUAUGACAAUAUUUGUAAACAUGUCUUUGAGAUGAUACAUUGUCAUCAUCAGCAUCAUAUCCUAAUUGAAAAAGAAGGAUUGCGAGGGAAACUAAGCAUGUGCCUUCAUUUUCACUUGAAAUAAAGCGCGAUGGAAAGAUCUCAUGUUAUCACAUAAUGCCGUGUGAUCACCUAAAAGCCCUUCCACACACAUUUCUUCUCAAAUUGUCUUAUUCUAAUUUCUUGGACCACCGCGGAACCACAAUGUCAAUGCGAGGAUGAGCGAGUGCUGUUCAGCUCGCAGCAUUUGGAGCCGGAGCUCGGCUUCCUUUAUUUUUUCGUCUUCUGCUGGUAGACAUUGCCAAAAGGCAAAGAGGAUCCUCUGGCGUUCGUGGAGUUGGUCCUCGAUGCGAUUGAUUUCUUCUCCAAGUUGAGCAAGCCUUUGUGCCAUAGCCAUAUAAUUAUUUGCUUUCGACCGACAUAAUUCUUCUCUAAAAAUUUCAGGGAGCACUUUUCAUCUACACCCAAAUAUUUCAUCAGAAUUUUGUUGUAUGCACACUUACUUCAACAACUAUCACGACUCACUCUUUUUGUUAAAUAUUGUUAUUGCCAUUAAUUUUGAUAUCUUUGACGUUAAAAGACAAUUUUGCCCUUAUUUAUAUUUUUUAAUGCAAAAUUACUAGAAAACCACAACACCAAUUUCAAAUUUCAAUUCACCUGUGUGGAUAUUAAAUUUAAUUUUGACAUCUUUGAUAUUAAAAGAUAAUUUUGCUCUUAUUUAUAAUUUGUUAAUACAAAAUUACCAGAAAACCCAACAUGAAUUUCGAAUUCCAAUUUACCUGUGUGGAUAUUAAAAUUUCGUAAAGGUUAGAAAAAAAGUAAAAAGUUUUUGUUAUGAAGAUCAAAAUAUCCCCUCUGCCAUCAUCCAUAAACGUCCAUUCUUCAUAACAAUCUAGUAAACUUGAAAAAGCAAGAAAUCCAAUCCCAGUCAAUCAAAAAGCCAAAAUUCUUCAUAAAGUUUAGCUUUUCUUGAAAAAUUUUAAUUCUUGAGACCCUAAAUUAACCGAUAUUCAACCCUAAAUUAACCGAUAUUCAAAGUCACAUGUUUCUAUAACGAAAAUCUUCAAAAAUAACACUCAAAUGAAAAUCUUCCAAGUAAAUAAAAAUCUAUAUUCAUAAUAUUUAUGAAUAAAUUGUAAAUAAUAUAAAAUGGUCUAAUUGAAUAUAGAGUGAUUUACAAUUUUAUAGUGCAUUCACUAAAUAGGAAUCAAAAUUAAUUGGAAACAUAAUGAGUUAGAAUCGAAAUAACUAGAAUCGAAAUAAGGAAUUAGAAUCAGAAUAAUUUAUUUACUUGAACUGCAUGAAUCGUAAUUAGAAUGAGCUAUUUAUAUGUUUAUUUUAUCUUAAAAUCAAAAUCGGAGUGAGUUAAAUUGUAUCAAAUUACUAUAAGACCCUUAAUUAUUUUUUAUCAUAAAAUAGUUAAUUAAUGUUUAUCAUAAUUAUUAAUUUUAAUUUUAAUUAUCUUGAUUAUUAUUAUUAUUAAAAAAUUAAUUAUUAUUGUUAAUUAUUAUUAUUAUUAACAAUUUAACUAAAAAAUUAUUAUUAAUUAUUGUUAAUAGAUUAAUUAAUUAUAAUACUUUUUAUCCUUGUUAUUAAUAAUAAUAAUAAUAAUAAUAAUAAUAAUAAUCCAUUUAAAAAUUAUAAUUAUAAUAAAAUCAUUAUUAUAAUUAUAAUCCAUUUAAUAAUAAUUAUAUUUUUAAUUAAAUGGAGGGUAUUUUAGAAAUUUAAAAAUUAUAGGGGCGAAUUGAUACUGUAAGGGUUUUAAUGCAAUAAAACAAAGUAUAAGGGGCUCAAUGAAAAUUUACAAUACAAAAAGUUUCACAAUAUUUAGGAAUAAAUUAUAAAUAAUAUAAAGUGUAAGGGCUACGUGAGCAGUAACUUAGGUGGCCCCUUUGCAAAUAACUAUUGUGAUUAGUGAGGCGCACCCAUCAAGUUCAUUGUAGCUGAAUGUAGAGGGCCUCGUGGAAGUUUAAGUUGUAGGGUCCCAAUCAAAAUGUGGCACUGACACAUUUAUCAAACAAUAUGAUUUUUUGAUAAGGACAUUAGUUUUGUAUUCAUAUCAAGCAGGUCCCUAACUUGUUGGGUUGGCAACGACACGGGAUUUGUCAAUCCCAGUCCCAUUCCGUAUAAAGUGCCGUAUAUGCAAAUGAGAUAAAAAAAAAAUCUUAUUCCUAUUCUUUUAUUUUCUUUUGCGACAAAAAUUUGUCAUGAUCUCGUCUCAUUAAAUAUCUUAUCCCAUCUCAUUAUCUUGAACAGUUUUAAAGGUAAAUAAAUAAAUAGACUUUUUUUUAAAGAUCAUCACAAUUCAAUAUAGCAAAAUUUUUUAAAUAAAUACAAAGUAAAAUAAUCAAAUAAUAGUUUUAUUUUGACUAAGUGCAUGUUCAAAUAUAAUUUUAUAUUAACAUUUUUAAUAGUCUAUUUGCUUCCAUUGCACAUUAAUAUUAAGACUUACACUUCAAAAACUAUAGAUUUAAAUAGUAAUCACUUCAACAAUGUUAAAAUAUCUAAUAAUUGAAUAAUAUAAUAAUAAACAAAACCAACAAGGUUGGUAAUGGAAUGGGAUGAGACGAGAUUUGUCCAUUCCAGUCUUAUUCCGUUUAUACAAGUGAGAUAAAAAAAAAUCUUUCAUUCCUAUCCUUUUAUUUUUUUGGGAUAAAAAUAUAUCUUAACUCUAUCCCAAAUGAAAUAGGAAAAAUUACCAUCCCUACUAACUUGGUGUAAUGACUAAAAGUUGAUUGAAAAAUAUAUAGUUUAAUUUUACAUUUAAUUUUUUUCAUUUUUUUAUUAAGAAUUAAUUGAAAAAUUAUUUUAUUCCCUUAAUUUUACCAGAAUCCCAUUGACUUAACCCCUAGUCUCUUGAUUAAGGCUCCGUUUGGUGCAGCUUUUCAAGCAAAACUUAUUUAAGUAGAGCUUUUGAUAAUAGAGCUUUAAGAAUUUAGUUGUUUGGUUGUCAAUAAGAACUUUUAUUAAAAAUCUAUGAAAUUGCUUUAAUAGAUAAGUUUUCUUAAGUUAUGUUAUGAAAAGAAUAAAAUAAGAUUGUUAAAUAAGUAAAGGAUAUUUUAGAUAUUUUAACAUUUAAAAAAAGUUUUUCAACCUCUACUCCCAAAAGCUCAAACUUUGAGUUUUUGUCAAUAGAGACGAACUAGCUUAUUUAAGCUCUAAAAGCUCUACAAAAAAAAAAAAAAAAAAAAAAAAACAACCAAGCAACAACAAAAAUUAUGAUAAGAGCUUAUGAGAUUAAAUAAAUACGUAUGACCAUUAGACAAGCCAUAUCAAAUAGGCAGUAAAGCGUUUUUAAGUUCAAAAGAUUCAGAUAACUCACUCGAUUACAGGGCGUCUACACCUUAUGCUCGCAUUUGUUGUGAUGCCAGUAGAUGUUGUGACUGUGGUUGUCGUUGUCGAUUGUACUUGAAUUUUGCAGGAGAGCUUAAUAUCCUCCUUAGUAAUUAAGCGUUGCAUCAGUUAUUUUUAAAAAAAAUUAUAUUAGAGUUAUUAUUAAAAAAUUGUAUUAUAAAAUAAAAAUUAAUAAUAUGUAAUAAAUAUGAUUUUUAAAAAUUCAUUUUAUUAAAAUUAAUUAUUUUUAUUUUUAUUAAAUAAAUAUAAAAUUAAAUCAACUUAAUUAUUAAAUUAUAGUGAUUAGUAUUUAUUAAACACUUUAAUAUAGUAACUUUUAAAAUUAUAAUCGACUAACCUUAAUCCAAGAGCCUGAAAUGAUUGUGCAGUUCGGGAUUUUCAAUUUCCUUUCUUUUUGGAACUGGCUUGGGAUUGUCCAAACACGUUAUUGACUGCCUUUGACAGGGAGUAUGGGGACAAAUCAAUUUUGUUUCCUGCAAAACCCUUGAAAUAUUAGUCAACUUACGUAUACCACUUUUGGACCCAUUUUGUCAGCAAAAAGAAAGAGUGGAGCAUUUGUACUCUAAAUUUAACUUUAGACAGUCGCAUUUUAACAAAUUUUUAUAUUACUAAAUUAACCUUAAUAUAAUUUACUAUAAAAGACAAUUUAGUAAUAUAAUAACUUUUAAAAUUAUUAAAUAAAUAUAAAAUUAAAUCAACUUAAUUAUUAAAUUAUAGUGAUUAGUAUUUAUUAAACACUUUAAUAUAGUAACUUUUAAAAUUAUAAUCGACUAACCUUAAUCCAAGAGCCUGAAAUGAUUGUGCAGUUCGGGAUUUUCAAUUUCCUUUCUUUUUGGAACUGGCUUGGGAUUGUCCAAACACGUUAUUGACUGCCUUUGACAGGGAGUAUGGGGACAAAUCAAUUUUGUUUCCUGCAAAACCCUUGAAAUAUUAGUCAACUUACGUAUACCACUUUUGGACCCAUUUUGUCAGCAAAAAGAAAGAGUGGAGCAUUUGUACUCUAAAUUUAACUUUAGACAGUCGCAUUUUAACAAAUUUUUAUAUUACUAAAUUAACCUUAAUAUAAUUUACUAUAAAAGACAAUUUAGUAAUAUAAUAACUUUUAAAAUUAUUAAAUAAAUAUAAAAUUAAAUCAACUUAAUUAUUAAAUUAUAGUGAUUAGUAUUUAUUAAACACUUUAAUAUAGUAACUUUUAAAAUUAUAAUCGACUAACCUUAAUCCAAGAGCCUGAAAUGAUUGUGCAGUUCGGGAUUUUCAAUUUCCUUUCUUUUUGGAACUGGCUUGGGAUUGUCCAAACACGUUAUUGACUGCCUUUGACAGGGAGUAUGGGGACAAAUCAAUUUUGUUUCCUGCAAAACCCUUGAAAUAUUAGUCAACUUACGUAUACCACUUUUGGACCCAUUUUGUCAGCAAAAAGAAAGAGUGGAGCAUUUGUACUCUAAAUUUAACUUUAGACAGUCGCAUUUUAACAAAUUUUUAUAUUACUAAAUUAACCUUAAUAUAAUUUACUAUAAAAGACAAUUUAAUAAAUUUUUAUCAUAUGAACUUUUAUCUACUAUAAACCACAUCAACAAUGAAAUAUUGAACCAAUGUUCACGUCGGAACUUUAUCUAUACUUAUAGACUAGAUUUUUUUUUUUUUUUGGUUAAUAGAAUGGCUAGAAAAACAUCAAGUUGCAUGUUCUAUCUCUUAUAACUGAAACAAAAGGAAUUACAAGCGGAGGUGCAGAACGAACAAUAAGUCUAUAAAUAUGAAAUAAAAUCGACAUAACUUCUAACAACUGCUAACUAUAAUCUUGAGCAAGACCUUAAUUUCCUCUCAGUUUUACAAUUAUUUGCUUUUGAGUGAGCUCUGAUUAUAAAUUUAUCCAUACAUGAAGUUACACUAGAUACGAAAUUACGUGGGCAUAAUUAUUCUUAGAGAAUUAUUUUUUCCUUUAGGAAUUCGUGCAAAUUAUCACUUUCUUUUUCCACUUUCCUUGAGAUAUUAUAUUUGACCUUUUUUAAAUAGUGCUCAUUUGUUUACGGAGUUUUUUUUUUAAUAACCAUUUCUAACCGUUUCAAACAAUUUGGUUCUAAAUAUAAAAUUUAGACCAUCUAUAAAUGCAGCCCUCUCACAUAAAUAGUAUCCAGUCCUAAGUCCACAGCCAGGUUUGUGAGAGAGCUCUCUACAUUAUAGAUGCUGUAAGGCAGUAGGGGUGUAAAAAAAACCCGCUCGGACCGGACCUGGCCCGGACCCGGCCAAUUCGGUCCGGGCAAAACCCGGACCACAUGCACUGAAAAUGCGGGUUCGGGUUUAAGAUUCCAAACCCUACCAUUUUCGAGCACGGGUUCGGGUUCAACACCAAAAAUCUGGAACCCGGAACCGGACCCGGUUUCUAAAUUAAAAAAAUAUAUAUAUAAAAACAAAAAUGUCAAAACCCAAAUCCCUAAUUGGCUAAUUCCCGAUUGAAAGAGGCAUAAGCAGCAAGCCAACAACGUUGUCACCGGCAUCAUCUCUUCUCGUCACCGUCGGCAUUCGGCAUUAACCACCACCCACUGUCACCGUCGCUCGUCGGCAUCAUCUCUUCUCGUUUGCUGACUCGGCUUGGCACGCGGCUUUACUCGGUUGCUCCAUCUCCAGUGGCAGUGUGGCUGUGACUCAGUGACAGUGAGUCGUUCGUGCAGGUGAGGCCUGCUUCUGGGAUAUUUUUCUGGAAUUUGGCCUCUUCGAGUUGCUUGUCCUGCUUCCUGACAUGUUCGGCAGCUGCGAUUGCAGAUUCCUUGGAGUCCUUAACAACUUUGAGCUUGGUGGUCAACUCGAGCAUGGUUCUUUUAGCCCUCUCAAGAUCGCCAAGUGCUCGAGCUCUUGUGCUUUCAGAGCUCUCUAACAGUUUCUUAGUUCUUUCGAUUUCUUUCCGGGCCAAGAGAAGCUGCGUCGUCAGCGCCAUCGUCUCCAACUCUCCAUUGCCACUUUCUCAACCACCAUCUCCAACUCUGCUUCUCAGCUUCUGCAAGAGAGAAUUGCAUGCCAUAUUGCCAUUAUUAUUAAGUUACUAUAUGCGGGUUUCUAAGCCCGGACCAAAAACCCGGACCCAGGUGGUGCCGGGUUUGCGCCUGGCCCGCACCCGGAAAAUCGGGUUUUAACCCGGGUCCGGAUUUUUUGUCCACUCAUCCGGUCCGGUCCCGGGCAACACCAAAACCCGGAUCGAACCCGGAUUUUGCCAAGCCUAUAAGGCAGCCCUCGCCAAACCUAAAUAUAAGAUUGAAUCAAACUCUUUUCGAAUUCGAAUUUCUUUCAAGCUCAAAUACGUCGCUUGGCUUUUCUUAUAUUUUAAGGUACAAUUGGGUUUGAUUUCUAUCCACUCUUAAGGUGCAGUAAAUCUCAACAUUCCAAAUAUAACCCUUUUGACACAAUUCACUUUCUAUUUGGGAAUGGCAAAAAACCCCAUGAGAUGGGGUUGGGGAUUUUUCCCAUUUAAGAAGGGAAAAAUAACAAUUUUAUGUUUAGGGUCUGAUAGGAAUGAUUUUUUGCCCAAUUUUUUUUGGGGAAGGUACAAAGAUGAGCUUGAAUCCUGAUUCUCUUCCCAAUUCGCCAUUUUCUCAAUUUAAUUUUUAAUUCUAAUUUUAUUUUUUAAAAAUAGUAAUGAAUCAAUAAUAAAAUCUAAAUUAUAAAAUAUUAAAUAUUAGUAUAAAUAACAAAUAUCAAUAUAUUUAUACAAAUAUAUUUUGAAAUUUUUGGGCCCAACUAAAUAGAAAUUCUAUUUUAACAUUCAUACAUUUUCAAAAUUAUUAAACUAAAAGAAUCCAGAAUCAAUUUUUCCUUGUGAACUUCUAUUAAAAUUUCACUGCGGUUUAAAAAAAAAUUAAAAAUUAAAAAUCCAUCCCAAAACCGAUUGCUACAAUACUGAGCCGCAAAAGUCAACGCCCGACACCCCACAUUUCAAUUUCAAAUCCAAACUUAAAUCCACCAACAGACACUACGCAAAACAAAUCUACUUGAAAUGAACAGCAAGUCUAAAUCGAAAUCGAAAUGAAAACCUUUAUGAGAGAGAAGUAAGAAGGCUUCGUUGUAUAAAGAGAAUAGCGAUUGAAGACAGUGUCUUCACGAUCGUCGUACGUAAAGCAUACGGAGAUCGGAGACUGUGUACUAACGAUCGAGGGCUGUGUCAAGACUGUCUUCACGAUCGUCGUAUGUGAAGCAUACGGAGAUCGGAGACUGUCUUAACGAUCGACGACAAACUGUCUUCACGAUCGUCCUAUGUUAAGCAUACGGAGAUCGGAGACUGUGUCUUAACGAUCGAGGGCAAACUAUCUUCACGCUCGUCGUAUGUGAAGCAUACGGAGAUCGGAGACUGUGUCUUAACGAUCGAGGGCAAACUGUGUUCACGAUCGUCGUAUGUGAAGUAUACGGAGAUCGUAGACUGUGUCUUAACGAUCGAGGGCUGUGUCGAAACUGUCUUUACGAUCGUCCCAUGUGAAGUAUACGGAGAUCGGAGACUGUGUCUUAACGAUCGAGGGCAAACUGUCUUCACGCUCGUUGUAUGUGAAGCAUACGGAGGUCGGAGACUGUGUCUUAACGAUCGAGGGCAAACUAUCUUCAAGAUCGUCGUAUGUGAAGCAUACGGAGAUCGGAGACUGUGUCUUAACGAUCGAGGGCUGUGUCGAAACUGUCUUCACGAUCGUGGUAUAGAGUGAAUAGAGAGAGAGGGGGCUGUGUUAAACAGAAAGAUUGAAUGCUGUGCCGUGUAGAGAGAUCGAGAAGAAGAGAGAAGAUGGCGGCGCCUGUAGCAGAGCACGGGCUCAUAUUUAUAGGAGAGGGAUUACGGCAACUUAACGGCCGUUAUGACCGCAAAUUGCCUCUGUUAGAAUUAACCGAGAAGUCACGGGAUUACCUGCUGAUCAUCAGCAUCUGGGAAUCUUAUGAGUUUGAACAUCAAACAUGCAUGCUAAACUAUCCACUAAUAUAUAUAUAUAUAAACCGAAAGCUCAGUCAUUUAAACGAUAGCAUUCAGCGAUGAACAACAAUAACUUAAACAUGGAUGUAACUCAAAAUUUAUCUUCACCUGACAGCCAGACAUACGUAUGGUAAAUCGUAGUGGUAGAAGGUUAACAUAUGAGGCAAGUUCAAAGAACAUUUCUCUUUUAUACCAAAAAAAGAAAUAGCUGAACCGGAAGGGACUCACAGUUGAUUAGAGAAUGAGUAUAUCAAUCUAUCUGUGACAAUUUAAUUUAGGUAUACCAUAUGAUUCCAACCUUUAUUACACUAAAAGAUGGUCAUCCCAUCAUUAAUAGAAAAGAAAAAUAAAAUAAAACGGCAAAGUAAUUAAGAAAGAAGUAGAAUUUCAGCUCAACCUUAGGUCAGAAUAGUGUGAGCAUUCUAGAUUUGAUUCAUCUCGUCAUAACCUUCGAACAAGGUAUUAUACACUAGAAACAGACACAUGCGUCCCAAAUUAUGAUAUCCAAAAAUUAUCCUACUCAUGAUUAUCUUAGGUAACUAUCCUACAUUGCAAAUGAAUGUAAUAGCUACGUUUCAAAUUAAAUUCAAAACCAUAAAUUCAAGAGUUAAGUGUUUCUGAAUCAAAAUACCCUCUACGAAUUUUAUAAAUUGGCUUCUAAUUUCAUUAGCAAAAUACACAAAAUCCAAGUGAAUUUCCUCUUCUCUCCCAAACAGUUUUAACAUUUGGCGAUAGAGCUGACGACAAGCAUGAGUAAACAAUGUACAAUAGUGAUACGCAACAAUGAUCAAAGAAAAACAAAUCCUUGAAGUGUAACACCAUGAAAUGAAAAAAUAGGGCGUGGAACAAAUAUUUCUAAUAAUCUUGUUCAUCUUAACCAUAUUUUUUUCAGUGAAAAAUAUUAAUGGCAUCUUAUGUUAUAUUGUUUCAGUAAGAGAAAGAAGAAAAAAGAAAACAAAUCUCUUUCAUAGGGGCUUGACCAAUUUUUUCACGAAAAAUUGACGGCCGUUAUGAGUUCUGUAAAUGCCUCUGUUAGAUUUGAUGGAAAAGUCACGGGGUUACGCGAUGAUCAUCAGCGUCUGAAAAUGUUAUGAGUUUAAUUAGCCAAGAAGAAUUAACCUCCGCUUCAGAUCGAACGACUCCCAAGUAACUACAAACAUAUCACCUUUAUCCUUUUGGUUCCAUCUGCCCACGAAGCUUCAUAUACCUACAAAAUGUUUCUUAAAAUUUUAAGGAAAAAGGAUAAAUACACCCCCAACGUUUAGAUAAAAGGACAAAAGUCCCCCUAACGUUUUAAAAAAUACAUUUACAUCCUCAUUCUCUAACGGAAACAGUAACUUUUAACAGAAAUUAUUGUUAUACCCUUCUAGCAUAUAAAAAAUAUAUAUACAAGUUUAACUUGUGGUAUUAUACCAUAAAAUUUUAUUUAAAUUUUAAACUUGUAUAUUUAACAAUUCUCCACAUGUUAUCAUUUAAACUUGUAUAUUUAUAACUAAUUUUUUAUGUUAUUUAUUAUGGUAUUAAUUGAAAUACAAGUUAACAUUAAUAACCAAUUUUAUUUAUUUUUAUUCUUGAGUAAUGAAUUAAAUUUAUUUGGCUUGAAGAGGGAAUUUGAUAAAAAUUUAAAUAGAGGAAUUGGGUAAUGAGGAUAUAUUUAUAAUUUUAUUAAUAAUAUAUGGACAAAUUGGAUAAUCAACAAUUUUUUUUUAUAUGCUAGAAGGGUAUAACGGUAAUUUCUAUUAAAAGUUAAUGUUUCUAUUAGUGAAUAAGGAUGUAAAUGUCUUUUUUAAAACGUUAGGGGGUUUUUGUCAUUUUGUCUAAAUGUUGGGGGUGUGUUUGUCCUUUUUCCUUUUUUUAAUAAAUUAUAAUCGGACAGCUGGAUCAAAAUUUUCGACUGGGCAAAACGCAAAAUCUACCACGAGUGCUUCAACAACUUCGUUUCAUUUAAAUAUUUAUCAUUUAAUCAGAGUUUGACGAGCAGCGUCGAUGGAAAAUUGAUAGAAAUGAUCCUUACUUUUUUUUUUAUUAUACGAAUAGCAAAUAAAAUUUUCCUUUUUUCAGUUACACAGGUAGGAAAUAAAUUUAUAAAGUCUAGUAUCUACUGUUCGUAAUAUAUAGCAAAUGAAAAUUUUCCAUUUUUCAAUUACACGAACACAUGUAACUGUUUUGUAUAUACCUUUUUCUAGCGGCUUCAAAAAGUUUCAACCUUAUGGAAUGGCACAAUCUUUGUACAUUAUUAUUUUAAUUAAUAACAAGAUUACUGAUCCUGUGCGCCCGGUAAACACUGCUGUGAUUGAGGAAAUGGCGGUUGCUAUUGCUGACUCUUAUCAAAGGCCUUGAUAAAUCGACCAUUUCUUCACAUCUAACUGAGGCAUAAAAGGUAAAAAGCCUAGGUGUAGGAGAGAAAGCUACAACAUAUAUGACACAAAAUCAAUUUGGAUAGGCCUUGCUGAUCAUGUCUGUGAAUGAAGAAGAUUCACCUUGAUGCCAUAGCGUAGCAAAUUAUUAGGAGGCAGGAUGUAUAUGUCGCAUAGUUAAAGGGGGAUUCUAAAUCCUGAAGGGUACAAAGACUUAUGCUUUGAAGCUCAUCUCCCUAUCUAAAACAAGCGAGUUAAGUUCUAUUUGGAAUUGAGAUUGAGAAACUAUAACUUAAAAACUACUGCAUUAAAAUAUUAGGUAAACACUAACUGCUAUAGUUUGGAAAUUAAAUUAAUUUGAUUUUACACUUGUAUAAUGAAAAAUCUAUUAUAUCUUUACUAAUUUUGUCAAAAUUAUUAUUUAAAAGUUAUAGUUGCUACAUAUUGUUAACUUUUAUUUCUUCGUUAUAAUUUUUUUUUUUUUACAGUAGUUGUAACUUAAAAGCCGCUGCACUUUAAUACCAAAUAAGACCGUUGUUAACCAUUUUGAUAGAGUUUGACCAUCUAAUUGACUAAUUCCCCAAAAAAAAAAAAAAGGUAUGGUGGUUACCCGAAUUUUACGUCCACUUAACAUAUAAUUUUUUAGGGGAAGAAAGGGCGGGGUGCUAAUCAAAUUUUUGGAAAAAAAGAAAAAAGAAAAAGCACAAUACUUGUCAAAUCUCUAAAUAACCCUAUUGUUAAACUUUAAUAAUACACUACAAUAAAUGUAAUGUAAAUUAAGUAAUAAAAGAUUAUAGAAAGAUCAAAGAAAUAGGGUUGUAAAUGGGAUUAUUGUGAAAGAAUAAAGAGAGGAAUUCAAGCAAUAAAUAAGAGACACGCCAUACAGCCCAUGCUGUCCUUAUCGGUGUCAAGUUCAUUCUCAUUCAACACAGAGGGUAAACAAGCAAAAAUGUAUAUAAAACACAUGCAUAUUAUUAUUACUAUUAUUAUUUGAGAAGCACAUGCAUAUUAUUUAAUUAAACGUGUUAUUUGGAACUUGUUAAAUUGUUACCUUUGUAGGUCCUUGUGGACUCCAAAUUAAUUGUACGCCUUUUCAACAGAAAAAAGUGCAUUACAUAAUUUUUUCUUUUUUUACUUUAUUUUUGGAAUUUUUUGGAAAAAGCGAUGACUCAUGAGAAGAAGAAGAAUAGUAGAACACGUGGAACAGUCCAAAAAUAUUGUGUAUAAAUAAAUAACGCGGCUUCUGAGUUUUUGACAAUUUACCAUACGUUAAUAACGCUUGAUGAAAAUGUUGCAAUCAGGUAGUGUAGAAUCACUAAUAAAUGAAAUAUGCAAUAAGAAGAGUAAAUAUUAAUAACGCACCAAUAUUACAAAUCAAUAGCUAAGGAUCAAGUGAAAUUUCACCUGCAAAUUAGGACAGCCGAGGAAGCAUCCAUAAACAUAAGAGUAAUUAUACCACUCUGAAAUUUCAUAAGAGAGAAUUAGGACAGCAGAGAAAGAAAUACACAAAGCAAUUUGCAAAGGACAGAGGCAUAAACAUAAUAGUAAUUAUAAAAUUUCAGACUGUAAGAAAAAAGUAAAAAAUGUAUAAUAUUUUUCACAUUAGUCCGACGGUUCGUCAAUGUCUUUGUAAAAAGCAAAUAUUUUCAAAGGUAAAUAACACUCUCCCAAAUGUUUAAUCAAUAAUACAAUUUUUUUUUGAAGAGAUAACUACUGAUUAUAUAUUGAUUCUUCAAAAUAAUUACACAUUUAUCAUAAUAUUAUUUAUUUAUUUUAUAAUUGAUAUAGUACUUUAAAGAUAUUUGAAAAAUUUUUAACUUGACAAUGCUCCUUAAUCAAGGGUGAAGUUUAAAUUAUGUCACAAAAAGUGCUUGAACAAUAUUGAGCAAAGCGUUUACUUGUAUAACUCGAACUGGGGAGCAAACCCUUAAGUGGCUUGACUGAGUUUGCUCCCCAGUUUAAGUCGCAGGGAAGUCGCUUUUGUUGGAAAAACUUGUGCCUCUCGAUUCGAGCGGAGACUUCUAUUCUUGGUUGUGGUACGGACUUAAAGGUGCCUCCCAUAGUUGGGACCCUCCCCAGGAUACCUCGUAGUCAAAAACCAAAAAGAAUGCAUAUGAGGGGAUAAGAAGACUGAAGGUAUGAGUUUGACUAUUAUCACAAUAAUUUCUAUUUCAUAGAUUGAAAUGUGAACAUUAGUGUAUUUUGUGGAAUUUUCUCCGUUACUUUAUAAAAUUACUACAUGUACAUGGAUGAUUGCUUGCUACUGUGAAAGGCGAAACAUUUAAUUUGGAGAAAAUUCCUUCUAGACUGGUAGCAUGGGUCAUAGUUGCCCUAUCGACGAAGUGUUAUUAGCUAAAACCUAUUGCACAUGUCAAUGCAAAAUGGCUUCAAGGUUUCGCUGUAGAACUGAUGACAAGCUUCUGAAAACAACGUGCCAUAUUGAAACACAACAACAAUAAUGGCAGCACCAAUCCAUGCAGUGUAAAAAAUGAAAUGGCCAAUAUUAGAACACGGAAGUAGAUCCAGAGACAACAGCAAGGCCCCAGAACUGGAAAGAAUUUUCUGGAUGAAGUCGAGACUUGAGGUUAGCUGAAUGUGCAUAACAAUACGUGGUUAUGGCUAUAAAAAAAGACCAUAUAUUUAUGGGCUUAGUUUUGCUUUGCACAUUGGCACCCACAAUGCCGAUGAGAGCCGGAAUCAGAUAUUCAAAAAUGUUGGGAUAUGACAUCGACUAGAGGAGAUUUCGCCCACUGCAAAAUCAUUUAAAAUGAUAAAAUCAUCUUCUGCAUAUCCCAUUUUCUUUUAAAAAAAAAUUAAAAUUAAAUAGAUCUUGUAUUAAUUCCUCUCAAUUUGUUUGUCAAUUAUUUGUUUUUGACCGACACAAUUCUUCUCUAAAAAUUUGAGGGAGCACUUUUUAUUUGCACCCAAAUGUUUCAUCAAAAUUUUAUUGUAUACACACUUGUUUCAACAGCUAUCAUAGCUCACCCUUUUCUGUUAAAUAUUGUUUUUACCAAUAAUUUUGAUAUCUUGACGUUAAAAGACAAUUGUACCGUUAGUUGAAAUUUUUAAGUAUAAAAUCACCAAAAAAACCACAACACUAGUUUCAAAUUCCAAUUGACCUGUGUGGAUAUUAAAAUUUCUUAAAGGUUAAGAAAAAAAAGGUAAAAAUGCUUUCUUAUGGGAAUCAAAAUAUCCCCUAUACCAUCAUCCAUAACCGUCUAUUCAUGAUAACAAUUUAAUAAACUUGAAAAGCAAAAAAUCCAAUCCCAGUCAAUCAAUACAGCCAAUUUUCUUCAUAAAGUUUAGCUUUUACUUUAAAAAAUGCUAACUCUUGAGACACUAAAUAAAUAUUUAAAGUUACGUGUUUCUAUAACGAAAAUCUUCAAUUUACCCCUUUAAAAGUUUGAAAACAUUAAUUUACUUCUAUUUUCCAGUCAAAAAAUUAGAAUAAAUGGAGACAAGCUGAUGACAAACUUUUUAACUUCUUAGUGGUAUUUGAUAAAUAUAAAUAAAUUGAAAAUUAUCAUUGUAAGUAGGAAUAAGUUAAAACUUUUACUCCAUAUUUAUUGUGCUUUAAGAAGAGAAAGAAAGAAAACAGAAAACAAACCUCUUUUAUAGGAGGGUUAACAAAAUUUUCAGCAAGGACUUAACCAACUUUUUUCGCGGAAAUUAAAUUAGCAGAACAAAAAUAACAUACGACUUGAGUCAAUAAUGGUAAAGAAAAUGAACGUACACAGAAAAUGAACGUACACAUAAGGGUUUGGAUUUGGUUGAUGAAGAAUGCACUGAAAGCUUUGCAUUUGCUUAUAUAUCACAGCAAACACUGGAUUGAGUUCUCUUUUCCAGGGUAAAUAAGGUAGGGAACAGCAAAGCCGAUCAAUUUGAUAAAAAAAAAAAAGGGAGGGAAGGGGGGGGGAGAGAACUGCCACAGUAAGAACAUCUCAAUCAUCUCUGCUAAAAAAAGUUAUCUCGUGGCUGGGGCAUUUAUAUUUUCAUGUGCGCUGAUGCCGGGAGUUGAAACUGAGGCGGCGAGUCCUCGAGGCCUCUGCUGCAAGAGAGGACUCUGUUAAUUUCGCAAAAAUCUGACUUGGCAAAAUCCACUCAUACAUCAUUUGUCCCUUUGUUGUGAUGUUGAUGCAGUUUCUUUAUUUUUAUUUUUGCUUUUUGUUUUGAGCUCCCAGACAAAAGAGUGUUGAAAAUGAUCGAUUAAUCGGUUCCCCAUUCAAUUUCAAGGUCGAAAGGGAUGACAAGAUGUAUAUUUAGUAUGGUUUAUUUAAUAAUUAUAAAUAUUUGUUUAAUUUUAUGAUCUCUUAUUAAAAUUUUUGUUAUUAUUUAGUUAUUUUUUACAAAAUUUUUAAAGAUUAAAUAAGAUAUUUUAUUUCUAUUAAAAAAAUUUAAAUUUUAAGAUUUUAGAUGUAGAGAUUGAAUUUUUUUUUACAUGGUAAAAUAUUUAAAAUAUUAUUUAUUUAUUUGACAAUCUUAUUUUAUUUUUUUAUAACAUAAAUUUUAAAAAAUAAUUUAUAAAAAUAAUUUCAUAAUUUUUAAUAAAUAAAUUAAUUGAUAAUUAAAUAAAUAAAUUUUUUUUAGUAAAAAUUUUAUUUAUAAGAAUCUUAUUAAUAAAAAAUUUAUUUAAAAAAAUCCUAUUUGAAAAGAUAUUCGGAUCGAAUUUAACAUCCACAUCAUACCGGUACGAGACGUAAGAGGGUUGAAAAUAACGUUAUACACUCGUCAAGGCGCACCAAUCAAGUUCGAGGGGGACAGCGCCCAAUAGCUGAACUUAAAGGGCCCCGUGGGGAACUUAGGUGGUACAGCCCCAAUCAAAAUGCGACAAAUUUAUCAAACAACAUGAUUUUUCCAACGAGGAUAUUAGUUUUGUGUUUGUCACAAAUAGGUCCCUAACUUGGUGUAAUGACUAAGAAUUAACUGAAACAAAAUAUCUUAAUUCUGUAUUUAAUUUUUAUUAAGAAUUAAUUGAAAAUUUAUGAUAUUUUCUUAAUUUUUGCCACAAUUUUUUAAUUAAUUAUAAUUUAAAAAUUUAUUAUAUUAAAUACAUAAUUAAAAGUAUUCAUAUUCCCAACAUCAAACAAUCACUAAGGGUAAAAUGGUAAGAUUAGUAAAAAAAAUUGAUACUCAAAGGGGUUUGGAUGUGUUUUUAAAAUACCAAGGGAGUUUCGGUUAGUUUUGUCAAACAAUAAGGGAGUUUUGCUCUUUUUGUUUCUUUUGUUUUUGUUGUUCAUAGUCGAUAAUGGAUUUGAAAUAGAAAAUAAUUAUAAUUUAUUUUUUCAUUCACUCUCUAAUUAAUUCAAUGGUGCUUAGCAACUUUUGUUUCAGUUUAUGAGCAAUUGGGUGAUAUUUUAUGCCAUGUUCUCUAUCGAGAUGAUGUAACUUAAAAGUUAGGAAAAAAAAGUUGUAAUUAUAAUAUUAAAUUAAUAGUUUGUAAUAAAUAUGACUUUUAAUUAAUAAUUUUGACAAAGAAGUAAUAGACUCUGACAGUAGCGGACCUACAACUGGGCAAGGCCGGGCGUUAGCCCAGUCUAGUUCCAAAAAAAAUCAUUUAUAUCGCUUAUGCUUUAAUUAAUUUUAUAUAUAAGUAUAGAUUUUUUAUUUUGUUUUCAUAUAUAUUCCUAAUUUAGUUAGCCUUAUAUUUUCAUCAAUUUCAUAUAAUAAUAGAGUUUUUAUUUUAUUUUCAAAUAUGUCCCUCAUUCAAUUAUAUAUAUUUUUUCAAUUGAAAUUAGUUACUUAUUUUAUAAAAUGAUUAAAUCAUAUGUUUAUUGAAUAGAUAGAAAACAGUAAGGGUCUAAAAUAUUAUUGGUGCUUAAAUUUAUUUUCAAAAAUUCUAAUUGAAAAAAAAAGUAUGUCAACGUAGUAAAACAUUGUCACUAGUAUUAAAAGUACUUAAAAAACAUAUAGUAACAACUAUCAACAUUUUCAUAAACUUUUUAUGUGAAUUUUGAGAUUUUAUUUAUUAUUUACAUUAUCUAAGAGGACAAGUUAGAAAAUAAAAUUUGAGUAUUUUUAGGAGUUUUUGAUAGAAAAAUCAUCAGCAUUUGGUUUUUUAGAGAGAGUCAGAGUGCUUGGCAAAGAAAUAACGACACCUAAAUACCUUUUUGCCGCUAGAUUGAGUUUAGUUUAUUAUUGAAACUUUUGACUAAUAAUAUUUUUAUAAUUUAAAAAGAUGAAUAAAUUUUAAUUUUUUAAAUUUAUUUAAGCCUAGUAAUUAAGUAUUUUUCAAAUAUAAAAGGUCUACUUAAAUUUUUUAAUUAAUUGCAAUUAUAGGUAUUGAUGAAUUUUAUCUUGAAAUUCUUAAUUGAUUUAUGUAAUUGCAUGUUAUUAUAGGUUCCACUGUUAGAUUCCAUAAACAAAAAGUAGUGCUUUAUACUAGAAUUGUCUUUUAAUUCUACCAUUUUUCUAUAAUUAUUUUUGUUUAGAGUACUGUGUUUAUAGGGUUUUUCGUUUCCCCUUUAUUUGAUGCACUUCUUUCUACCUAUGAAUAUUUAUGUCACUUCAAAAUAUAAAAUUUUUAAUUUAACCCGGAAUAACAUAAAGUCUUGGGUCCUCCCCUGGACCAUGAGCUGAAUGUGCAUAAUAAUAUACGGCUGUGGCUAUUAAAAAAAAAAAAAACCAUAUAUCUGAUGAGUGUGUUUCAAGCAAGGGCGCAGUUUGACUUGCAUAUUUGCACCAUCAAUGCCAAUUGGAGCCAAAAUGAGAUAUCCAAAUAUGUUGGAAUAUGACAUCGAGCAAAAGAGUUUUGGCCCACUGCAAAAUCAUUAAAAUGAUUAAUCUUCUUUUGUAAAUCUCAUUCACUUGGAAAAAUUUAAAUCAUUUGCUUUUGAUUGAGUUUUGUCCAUUAAUUUGAAAUUUUUGGCAAUUACUAGACUAAAAGAUAAUUUUGCCCCUCAUUUGAAUCUUUUAAGUGUUAAUAUCAUAAAACCAAUUGACUUGUGUGGAUAGAAAAUAAGAAAUAAAAGUUUUUCUAUUUUUUUCAGAAUAUCUCCAUCUACCUGACUCAAACUUGCGCCCGUCAAUUUAUAGGUGCACCCGUGCGGAUACGAAACCCGUUUGUUUUCUCAAAGGUUUAAAAAAAAAAAAAUUGAUUUGGGAUUACUUAGUCUUAUAUGAGUCGAUUACUCCAAUAACAGAUGAAUCCAAAAAUCUUCUCUACCUUUAUCUUGCUUUUUUAAAAAAUCUAAUUUUUGAGACCCCAAGGUGGCAUUUAUUUUUUAAUCUGAAAUAUAAAUAGUUCUGAAUUAGUCUAAAUUCUAAAUAAAAUUGAAUAUCUAAUUCUGAAUGAUUUAUUUUUUGUCUAAAUUGUUAAAAAUAAAUAUUAAUUUUUUUUGUAUUUUUAACUUAAAAAAUCUGAAAACUAAUAUUUUUACAUUUGUGCCUUUACGAAUUAUUAAUGUAAACAAAUAAUAAGCAUAUCAAAGAACUUAAAUAAAAUAAUAUAUUAUCAUGAGAUAAAUCAUGUUCAAUUGAAUACAACCCCUUAUAUCGUAAAUUAGUAUAUGUUAAUCAAUUUUAUUGUAGUUCAUGAUGUUUUAUAUGAAAAUAUUCAUAGGAAUAAUGAAGAUAAAUAAUGCUAAUUUGAAGAAAAUAAAAAAAUAAAAAUAAUAUUAGUCUACCACUAUGCUAUCACAAGUUAUAGAGAUUGGUAAUAAUGCUAAUUAUUAAAUUUUAUUUAAGUAAGGAUGAAAAUUAAUUAAUUAGAUAGGGAUAUUUUGGAGAAUAUCUUUUAAUGAUAUCAUUUAGAUUUUUAGAUAAAACAAAAAGUUGAAAAAAUUGGCUUAAUAACUUAAUGACUUAAUGACUAUAACUUUUAAUUAAGUUAAAGAAAACGGACUUAAUGACUUAUCUGAUUGAAAUUAAGUCAAUUAAAUCAUUAAGUCAAAAAGAAAAAAAAAAAAAAGAGCCCCUAAGUUAAGGUUGGUCAAAUGCUGCUAAAUAUAAUAACAAAAUAUUAUAAGAUACAUAUUUUCUUUUUAAUAAAUUGAAUAUAUGUAUAACCUUAAAACUAAUUCUUAGGGUUAUUUGGGAAUGUUGUAGCUUUUAAAAUAAUUAAUGUUAAUUGUGUUGUAGAAAUAAUCAGUUGUGAAGAGAAUCAGUUAAGUGUUUGAUAAAUUUUCUUUUCAGAAGUACUGUGAGUUUUAAAAGCAGUUAUGGAUGUUUGAUAAAUUUUACUAUUAAAUUGCUAUGAGAAAACAAACGACUAUAAUGUAUAUAAUGUAGAAUAAAAUUUAUUUAUACGUAUAAAAACAUGUACAUAUAAUAUUUUUAAUUGUGUAUUAUAAUAGUUUUUACUAAAAAUAAAAUUUAUAAUAUAUUGAUUUUAUUUUUAUCUUAAAACAAUUGAUAAUUAAAUUUAUAAUAUAGUGAAAUAAAUUUAAUAAUAAUUCGACUAACAAAUUGAUAUUAAUAAAUUGAUAUUGAUGAAUUAUAAUAAAAAUUUAUUAAAAUAUUAAUUCUGUUUCCAAUUUGAAUAAGGAUAAUUUUGGGUUUAGGUAAUAAUUUUAAGGAUAUUUAUGAAAUUGUAUUAAAGGAUUAAAUUGAUUCUCAAAAUCAGAAUCUAAAAGCUACUCAUUCCCUACUUUUCAAAAUCAGCUGUAAGAGGGACUGAUUUUGACAAAAGUGAUUUUAAUUUUCUGUUACACCAAACACUAAAAUUAGAUUUUAGAUUUUUAAAAUCACUUUUAAAUCCCCCAAAAGUAAAUCCAAACGGGCCCUUAAUGCUUUAUUGGAAAAAUAUGUAGUUUAUAUGUAGAUAAUAUAUAUUAUACUUAAUUGUUAGGGUUUGAAAAGGAUUGGGAAAAAAAAUGUAAAUUAAAAGGAUUGGGAAAAAAAAGUCAAUUAUGGAAGCCAUUUAUGUUUUGCAAUUGGCGAAGACAGAAAAUUUUUUUUGGGUGGGCUAAAAAUUUUUUCCAAGUCCAUAUGUGAUCUCAAUUAAAGAUAUAAAUCUUAAAAGGAAGUUUCAUUAAUACAUAAGAAAAUACAUCAUAUCUAAGAAGCAAUUAAAUUACAAUUAAACACUACUUAAGUUGUGCCUUACCAUACUUUCGGGAGUUAAACUCAUAUAUUAUCGAGUAUAGACAUCAUUACCUUUGUUAGUGAAUUUGUGAUUGAUUCUUUUAACUUCUUUUAUAGUUUUCUCUUGUUUCGAUUGCAACGAUUGAACGAGUAUAGACAUCAUUUCAAAAUCAUACUGUAUUGUUGUCCACAAAUUCUCUUUCAAUGUAGACAACAAUACAGUAUGAUUUUGAAAUGAUGUCUAUACUCGUUCAAUCGUUGCAAUCGAAACAAGAGAAAACUAUAAAAAGAAGUUAAAAGAAUCAAUCACAAAUUCACUAACAAAGGUAAUGCAACUGUCAGUCCAUCACUAUGACACAUUGAUAUUAUCCAGAAGUCAGGCAAUAAGUUUAAUUAACAAAUUAACAUUAUAUAAUAUACUGGAUCAAAUCUAUGAUCUACCUAUAUCAAUGAUCAAUUUAGCCAUUUAAAAAUUUGAAUGAUAGAAUUCAAUGGCUAAAUUAUCUUCAUUUGAUCUUACACAAUGAAAUUGGAACAACAAUUAAAGAGUAUGAUUUUUAGUCUUUAUUACCUUAUAAUUAAUAAAUAUAUUGUAAAUGAUUGAAUAAAAAUAAAUCUAUUAUCUAUUCUUACCAAGAAGAAGGCGAAGAAAAAAAAAAAUCGUGUUUGAAAUCUCGAAUGAAGUAAAUGCUCACUAUUUAAAUUUAUUUAUAUGAUGACAAAGUUGUAAAUUAAUAGAGUGGUACAAUUGUAAAUAAGAUAGUGGCAUAGUUUCAAUUUUGUAAAAUUUGGACAGGCUAUAGUCCAUCUCAGUCCACACGUAGCCUUGCCACUAGGGAUGGCAAUGGGGAGGGGAGGGGAGGGGACCAAUCUCCCCGUACCCAUCCCUGAUAUUUUGCGUAUGUCUCCGUCCCCUCCUCAUCCUUGUCAUAAUUGUUUGAGAGAAUCUUCAUCCCCUCUCCGAAUAAUAACAGGAGAUUCCCGAUGGUCCCCGAUCCCCGAAUAACUAAUACAUAUAUUUUUUUUGAGUUAAUUAUAUUAAAAUAAAAAAUUCAAACAAAAGUAAAGUUCGAAAUAUAUUUUACAUUAACAUUGAUCCAUUAUAAAAGUCACAUGCAAAAUACAAAUUAUCAAAAUAAUUAUCUUUGUCAAUCUUCAUAAUCCUACAAUAAAAAGAAAAAGAAUUUACUUUUAUAUCGACAAUAAAAUAAAUGAAAUAAAUGUAGAUACUUAAUUAAUAUUUUUAAUAAAACAAAAUUAAAAUUAAAACAAAAUUUUUGGGCUAAUAAAAUCUACCCGGCCUUUUUAAUGUCCUAAAUAAAAAUUUAAGACUUUAAUUAGUUAAUUAAGCCUAAAAGUUUAAUAAUAUGAAUAUUUUAAUAUUUGUUACUUUUACCAAUAUUUAUAAUUUUAUAAUAUAAUUCAAAUAUUAGUAUUUAUUUACUAGUAAUUUUAAAAAAUAAAAUUAAAAUUAAAAAUUAAAAAUUAAAAUAGGAAAAUAGGGAGGGGAUGGGGAUUCCACAUCAUCCCCGCCCCUUCCCUGAAUAAGAAACUGGGUAAGAAAAUUUCCUCAUCUCUUCCCUGAAUAAGAAAUUGGGUAUAGAAUUAUCUCCGUACUCUCCCCGAAUGGGAAAAAUCCCCGAGGGUACCCGUCUCCGUGGGGAUUUUUGCCAUCCCUACUUGCCACCGGUAUAAACAUGGAGAAUAGUUUAUAAAUCCACUAAGCUUAAUUAAAGUAAAAUACUUGACAUUAGGAAAUUUCCAAUAAUCUUGUUCAUCUUAACCAAAUUCUUAAAGUGAAAAGGAUUAAUGGUACCUUGUGUUAUUUUGCUUUAGUAAGAGAAAGAAGAAAAAAGAAAACAAAUCUCUUUCAUAGGGGCUUGACCAAUUUUUUGUUUCACGCAAAAAUUGACGGCCGUUAUGACCGUAAAUGCCUCUGUUAGACUUGACGGAGAAGUCUGGGGGUUUACGCGAUGGUCAUCAGCGCCUGGAAAUUUUAUGAGUUCAAUUAGUCAAAAAGGAUUGAUCUUCGCCUCAGAUGGAACGACUCACAAGUAAUUCUUUUGGCUCGUACCGUCCACGAAGCUUCAUAUUCCCACAAUGUGUUUCUUUUUUCUUUUUCUUUUUAAUAAAUUAUAAUCAGAGUUUUUGAUGGAAAAUUUUAGAAAUGACCCUUACUUUUUUCGGUUACCCGAAUAGCAAAUAAAAUAUUCCUUUUUCAAUUACACAGGUAAGGAAAUAAAUUUAUAGUCUAGUAUCUACUGUUUGUAACACAUAGCAAAUGAAAUUUUCCUUUUUUCAAUUGCACAAACAUGUAAUUGUUUUGUACAUACCUUUUCUAGCGGCUUCAAAAAGUUUCAAACCUUAUAGAAUCGGUGCCGAAGCUAAAAUCAUUUUUUUGGAUGGGUUAGAUUUUUUUUAAAAAUGAAACUUAUUUCUGAAAUUUUUUUUAUACAAACAAAAUUAAGCACACUAUAAGCAAAAAUCUAACCACAAAACUAAAAAAAAAAAAUACAAUGUAAAUAAGAAAAAUAUUAUCAAAUAUUAAAUUUAUUUUUAUUUUUUUAUAAAUAUUAAAAAGUAAAUUUAUAAAUUAUAAUUUUUUUUUCAAAAAACUGCCCGGGUUAGCCUACCUUUUAACUUUGCCUCUGUAUGGAAUGGGUCAAACUUUGGGUUAGUAUUUUAAUUAAUAAGAAGAUUACUGAUCUUGCGUGCGGUGUGCCCGAUAAACACUGUUGUAAUUGAAGAAAAAACGGUAUUGCUAUUGCUGACUCUUAUCAAAGGCCUCGAUAAAUCAACCAUUUCUUCACAUCAAACUGAGGCAUAAGAAGUAUGGAGCCUAGGUGUAGGAGAGAAAGCUAUAACAUAUAUGACACAAGAUCAAUUUGGAUAGACCUUGCUGAUCAUGUCUGUGAAUGAAGAAGAUUCACCUUGAUGCCAUAGCGGAGCAAAUUAUUAGGAGGCAAGAUGGACAUGUCACAUAGUUAAGGGGGAUUCUAAAUCCCGAAGGGUACAAAAGCCUAUGCUUUGAACCUCAAAGCAUUAGGAGGCAGGAUGGACAUGUCACAUAGUUAAGGGGGGUUCUAAAUCCUAAAGGAUACAAAAACUUAUGCUUUAGUGUCUAACACAAGCAAGUUAAAUUCUGUUUGAAAUUGAGGUUGAGAAACUGUAACUUAAAAACUAAAGCACUAAAGUGUUAGGUAAACACUAACGUUGUAGUUUGGAAGUUAAAUUAAUUUAAUUUUAUAUUUAUAUGAUGAAAAAUUUAUUAUAUCUUUAUUAAUUUAUCAAAAUUAUUAUUUAAAAGUUGUAGUUGUUACAUACUGUUAACUUUAAUUUCUUCAUUAUAGAUUUUUUUUUUUUUUUUUUUUACAACGGUUGUAUCUUAGAAGCCAUAGGACUUCAAUACCAAACAAGACUUUCAUUAACCACUUUAAUAGAGUUAGACUAUCUAAUUGACCAAUCCAAAAAAACAAAAAAGUUUGUUGGUUACCAGAAUUUUACGUUCUGUUAACAUAUAAUUUUUUAAGGUAAAAAAAGAAGGGGUGCUAAUCAAAUUUUUGGGAAAAAAAGAAAAAGAAAAAAGUGCCGUACUUAUCAAAUUUCUAAAUAACCAUGUUGUUAAAUUUAAAUCAUACACUACAAUAAAUGUGAUGUAAAUUAUGUAAUAAAAGAUUAUAGAAAGAUCAAAGAAAUAGGGUUAUAAAUGGGGACUCUACCAUGUUACAAUUGUGAUACCAUAUCACACAGUAUUUAUUUUUAUCCCAUAAAACCGUUGGAUUUAAAAGCAAGUGAUCUGACACGUGAGAGGUAGCCACGUUUGUCUCAAAACAUACCGGAAAAGUCGGUUAAGAAAAGGUAAAGUCACCGGUAGCAAAACUCACAGUUUUUGUCUUACCUCUCUCAAAAUGCACGGUGACUGUACGCAUCGCCAGCUCUCUCAAUACUCACGGUGACUGUACGCAUCGACACCUCAAAAUCUCUAAUGGAGCUUCUCUAUCCUGGCCGUCUCGUCCAACACCAAAAGACCAAGUAUCGCUGGCGCCGUCAUUUGGGUAUAAUGGGUUUCAAUUUUGAACCAAUAGAAGGAAAUUUUGUGAAAGAGAGAGGGGGAGGGGAAUUCUCAAAAAUUCGUCAGCCAUGGAAGGCUUGAUAUUCUUUUCUUAAAUCUUAAAGCAUUUCAGAUAUUUGGGUCGUUGUGAUUUUUAUUUUGUCAUGAUGAAUUUUUUUACUUUGGAUUUGUCUCAUUGAAAGGUUUAUUUUAUUUUUAUUUUUUGUGGAUCAUUGAAGUUGCUAUUUUUGGUAUUAUAAAGAUGGGUUGUUUGCAUGCAUUGCAAGAAUAUUGACCUGUUAUGCCAUGUUUGUCAAUUUCAAUGAAAUCUGAGGAAACCCAUUUGCCUGGUUUGUUCAAGGAGCCUUCAGAUUUGUGAGUCAUUGUGUAGUGGGUUUACAAAAUGGUUUGUUGUUGAAAAUGCUUUGGUUGUGACGGGUGAAAUGGUGCCGAAGAUAAGUUGGUUUGAGCACUGGAGUAAUCCUUUUUUUUUUUAAUGUAUGUAUAUAUAAAAAGGAAGAAAUAUCAAGUUUCAUAUACAGUGUUACUUGUUUUUUAUGGCUCAUACAUCGUUUACAUGCCCUCUUUUUCCUUUCAACCAGAAAAUAUCCACAGCGGCUGUAUAUUGUAUGUGGUUCUUUAGCCAACAACAAUAUGUUAGUUUGAUCAUGGAAGUAUAAAUUGAAAAGUGGCAUAAUAUUUUUGUUUUAACCUUUAAUUACCACUUUUCAGUGAGGUGUCUAUUUUGCUUGCUCGUUCAUUUUUUUAUGGGAUUUCGUGUUUGAUCUAGUUUGACAUGCAUUAUAUACAAUUAUCAAUUUUACCAUGAUUAGAGUUUCAUAAAUUUCUUGAAGUGUUUUGUGUUAGGAUCGGUUUAGAAGUGUUAAUUUGUGAUAGACAGCACAUGCAUGAGCCACGAAGAAUGCAUGAGCCACGAAGAAUGCAUGAGCCACGAAGAUCUGGAAGAAUGCCAAAGCCAAAUCCUAAGUUUGGUACGUGAGGGCAUGAGUCCCAUGCAAGCCAUGCAUGAAACAUGCAUGUGCUGAGAUCGUGAAGAUACGUGCUGGGGCUGGAGCCGUGAUCUAGGAAUACGCUUAUCAACGAUUGUGCAGCGAGUAAGGAGGGAAGAUAAGACACGGAAGUUGUUUUCGAUUAUCUUUCGGUUUCGAAUUCUUAGCUAAGUUGUUAUACUCGUUUAUUUAGCCGUAAUUGUAGGAUGGAAACCAAAGUCUUGUUAUUAUAAAUAAGCUCCAGAAUAUGAAUAAAAGUAUUGAGAAUUCUAAACAAUAAUUAUUUGGUCCUUUCUCGCCAUAAGCAGAAAAAUAUCACUUGUGUUACGCGUGAUCAUUGGCUGUCUCUGACUGGGACCUAUCAAUUGGUAUCAGAGCGGGUUAACAAUGAUGACCAACAAAGAAUGUAUUGAGCGAAUUGAAGUUGAUCUGAAAAGCAUGGAGAGCCGAAUGGAACGCAUGGAGAUUGGGAUCAAUGACAAGCUUCAGCGAUUAGAAGACACCAUCAGCAAAUUAGCAGAAGCUUUCAAUGCAUCCAAAGACACCACUAGCCACGGCACCAACGAAACCAUUGGUUCACCGCAGCCAAUUCGAGAAGAAAGUGAAGGAGUAGUGAAGCUGCACGGUAUGCCCAAGUCAAUCAUCAGCGAUCGUGACCCCAUAUUCAUCAGCAAAUUUUGGCAAGAGUUCUUUAAUUUAUCAGGCACCAAACUCAAAAUGAGCUCGGCGUACCACCCACAAACCGACGGCCAAACGGAGGUAAUUAAUCGAUGCUUGGAACAGUACUUGAGAUGUUUUGUUCACCAGUGGCCGCGAAAGUGGCACUCUUUUUUACCGUGGGCAGAAUUUUGGUACAACACCACAUUCCACGUCUCCACCGGAAUGACUCCAUUCCAAGCUUUGUAUGGAAGACCACCUCCAGCCGUGCCCAUGUAUCAACUUGGUUCCUCGCCGGUGCAUGAGGUUGAUCAAGCCUUACAUUCGCGUGAUGAACUGCUCUUACAAUUAAAGAAAAACUUAGCCACAACAGCUAACAGGAUGAAGCAAACAGCUGACAAGGGUCGCCGCGACGUUGAGUUCACAUAGGGAGAUAUGGUGUUAUUAAAGUUGCAGCCCUAUCGGCAGACUUCAGUGUUCAGAAGGGCACAUCAGAAAUUAGUUUGCAGGUACUUUGGGCCGUAUUUAGUUCUUCGCAAAGUUGGAGCCGUUGCCUACGAACUACAAUUACCAGAGAAUGCUCGAAUUCACCCGGUGUUUCACGUCUCUUUGCUUAAGAAAGCCGUGGGCGAUUUCCUUAGCAACAGCGUCGAUUUACCACCUGUGGAUGAUGAAGGCUCGGUGAUCAUGGACCCUGAAGCUAUCCUUGACACACGUUGGGUGAAGAGAGGAGGUAAAGUGAUUGAGCAGAAUCUAGUCCGUUGGAAAAAAAUGCCGGCUGAAGAAGCAACAUGAGAGGACACCACAAUGUUGCACCAACAGUUUCCCAAUCUGACCCUUGAGGACAAGGGUAUUCUUCGAGGGUGGGGCAAUGAUAGACAGCACGUGCAUGAGCCACGAAGAUCUGGAAGAAUGCCAAAGCCAAAUCCUAAGUUUGGUACGUGAGGGCAUGAGUCCCAUGCAAGCCAUGCAUGAAACAUGCAUGUGCUGAGAUCGUGAAGAUACGUGCUAGGGAUGGAGCCGUGAUCUAGGAAUACGCUUAUCAACGAUUGUGCAGCGAGUAAGGAGGGAAGAUAAGACACGGAAGUUGUUUUCGAUUAUCUUUCGGUUUCGAAUUCUUAGCUAAGUUGUUAUACUCGUUUAUUUAGCCGUAAUUGUAGGAUGGAAACCAAAGUCUUGUUAUUAUAAAUAAGCUCCAGAAUAUGAAUAAAAGUAUUGAGAAUUAUAAACAAUAAUUAUUUGGUCCUUUCUCACCAUAAGCAGAAAAAUAUCACUUGUGUUACGCGUGAUCAUUGGCUGUCUCUGACUGGGACCUAUCAAUUUGUGAAACUUAGAAAAUUUAUUUAUACAAUGCUCUAUAUUCUCUCUUUAUAAUUUGUGAAGAAACAGAAAAAAGAGGGAAGUCGUGUUUGUAUUCUCUGAAAAAGAAAACAACCUGAUCCCACCCUGACCUACCCCCAUCGGCAGCAGUAUGGACCUAUAAAGUUCAUCCAACUACUUCGAUAGAAUUGUUAUUGAACCCUUGAUUGACAUGUUUGACUUUCUGGGUAUUUGUAUUUUUCUAGUUUUUUUUUCUUCUUAUUUGUGCAUUUCUCAUUUAAUAGAAUGCAAGAAUGAUGAUUUUUUUUUCAGGGGCUUGAUAGUGAGCAUCAGCAAAAUCAAGUUACGUAGUUGAAUCAAAGAUAUCGCAGCUAUUGGUUAGCUGGGAGCUGUUUUUAUCUAACCGGCCUGGAAGCUCAUAAUCCAAAUCCAUUACGAUUCAUUGUUUUUAUCUACAUGUGGAUUAAUACAUCGGAGCAUCAGUUAGUUGCUGUAAAUUAGUUUAUGAAUUAUUUAUUGAUUGGUGGAACAAUAUCUAAAUGAAACUUUUGACAAAGACACUCUUCUCAGUAUCUAAAUGCAACUUUAUCUAAACAAUAUAAACAGACACGUUAGUAACUUCUCCAAUUAACUCCACUGCAUGUAUCUUGUCCAUCUUCAACCCUGAAUGCUUAAGUUCACAGAGAUCUUCGAACUUUUGACAGGCAAUGCCGCCCUCAAAACAAACCCCAACCUAUACGCAUGUAAAUAUAUUUGGAUUUAUCAUCUGUAUACAGCAAAACAGAUUUUGCACCAAAAUUGAUAAGUAAAUUUUAUAUAUACUAGCAUCAUGAAUCAAAAAGCAAAGGAAAAUAAGCCAAUAUCAUUUAUUUGUGGGUGUGUGUGUGUGUAAUAGUUUACCAAAUGAAAGCACCAUUAGUAAAUUUGAAAAAGAAAAAAAGGAAAAAGGAAUUUCAUGCAAGAAUUGGAAUCCAAAAUGUAAUGGCUCAGUCAGUCUGGAGUCAUUUUAUUGUCGGUGUUGUAUAGUGCCAUAUUAAAGAACAAAGCACUAGUAAGAGAAAAAAGCAUCCCUCACACAACAAACUCCAUUUGUCAUGUUCUAUAGUUCCCCACCCAUUUAAACAACACAUAAAUUGAUAUAAUAAACUUAAAACUUACCUUAAAGAGUAAAAUCUGCACUUAAACUCCACCUACCUGAAGUCCCUAUCAUCAUAGAGAGAUUUAACUGAUAUUGGUUCCAUUAUGUUUGCACAAAGAAUUGCUUUUGUACAUUUAACUUGCUUCUUCAGUUCAGCUGUAGCCUUGGCAAACUUCCUCAAGUCUCCCCAUUAUCAAUUUGUUUAUUGAGCUCAUCUGCAAAGUAUUCAAGCAACAAUAAUCCAUGUUCUGACUGCCAAGUUCUGCAUCUCAUCUAAUAUCCUUAACCUGCAAAAUUGUCAAAUAUCAACUAGCGUCUAAAAGUAAUUAGAUAUGUAAAACAUAACAAGUGGCACAUAAAGAUUGUAUAGAGCACAGAUGAAGUGAAGAAAAAAUAAUGCUACGGGAAUAAUGACCACUCAACUGAUAUUGCAUGCUUAUAUCGCAAAAUUAUUUAGUCACAGAGUACUACAAAUACUGACAAAUAGCUUAUGGAUCCAUCAUACUGGCUAUCAAAUACUAUUGUGCUAACUAUGUUAUCAUCGGCUUCCAAUGCAUGAUUGCAGCUCUUUAAAUCACUAGAUUUCCGCUUACGAGCCCCCGCUGGCCUCAUUCCUGUAAUGAAAUUACAAAAUCAUUUAUCGUUUCCAAUCUCACAUUCUCUGAAUCUAAUAAAUAAACAUACUGUUCUUGCAAGCUAAUUACAAGUUUUAAAUCUUUUAAAAUAAAUAAUAAUAAGUACGGGUUUUAAUAAGGAAUUAACUACUGCAUCGGUUGAUUCGAUCCGCACAAGAACAGAUCAAAGCGACCCGAAAUUUACUCUGAUUUGAUAUAUACCUUAACUUUCAGCACUGCUUAACUUUCGAUUGUACUUUGCAGCGACGAUUAUAAUUUCACCGUCAAUUGCCCAAAAGUGAAAGGUCAUAUUCGUGUUCUAAUCACCAGAAGUUUUUAAAUCCCACAAAAUUGCAAUCCUCCAAUUCUAAUUUUAUUUCUUAAUUAUUGUCUCGAGAUCAAUUUUGUGCUGAAAUCAGUGAAACUCUAAUCAGUUCUAAGAAAUUUCCGGAACCCGCGCUCACUGAGCUGUUAUUAUAUUAAUACUCAACCGGCUGCAACGGUUGCUAGUCACUGCAUCAAUUAUCCAAUAUUUAAUUUCAGCCGUUAUAUCGAACAAGGAAACAUCCAACGACUUUGUUGAAUGAGGGCAAAAACUGUGAUAUGGUACCACAAUUGUAACGUAGACAGACCCUAUAAAUGGGGUUAUUGUGAAAGAAUAUAGAGGGAGGAAUUCAAGCAAUAAAUAAGAGACACGCCAUACAGCCCAUACCGUCCUUUUCUGUCAAGUUCAUCAUUCUCAUUGGACACAGAGGGUAAAGAAGCAAAAAUGUAUGUAAGACACAUGCAUAUUAUUUAAUUAAACGUGUUAUUUGGCACUUGUUAAAUUGUUCCCUUUGUAGGUCAUUGUGGACUCCAAAUUAAUUGUACGCCUUUUAAACAGAAAUAAGUGCAUUACAUAUUUUUUUUAUCUUUUUUUACUUUAUUUUUGGAUUUUUUUUUUUGGAAAAAGCGAUGACUCAUGAGAAGAGGAAGAAGAAGAAUAGUAGAACACAUGUAAUAUCAGUUCUUUUUUUUUUUACUUUUUACUUCUUUCUUUGAAUUUUUUUUUUUAAAUUUUUAUCAUCCAUUUUGUGUCAUUGGAGUCCAAAAAUAUUGUGCAUAUAUAAAUAAUGCGGCUUCUGAGUUUAUGACAAUUUACCAUGCGUUAAUAACGCUUGAUGAAAAUGUUGCAAUCAGGAUUAUUCUUUUAUUUUGUCAAGUUACACUGUUCAAUGUUCUCACUGUAAGGUUGACUUCAAGGGAUGAAAUCGUUUAGAUUAAAAAUAAAAAUAAAGGAAAUUCAUUCUCUUCAAUUUUUUAUUUUAUUUGUACUAAUGUUACAAAUAAAAUAUCAAAUAAUUAUUGAAAUUAGUCUAUAUUAACUCAUAUACUAGGAAUGUCUAUCUACUUACAUUUUGUAAGGAAAAAGACUCUCCACUUAAUGUAUUUUUCGAGUGCCUGGCUACCUUAUUCCUAUGUGCUUCAGUGGGAUGCAAUAACUUUUGCUGAUAGCCUAAUAGGCCCUACAAAUCAUAAUUUAGCAUAGAGAAAUGUUGUUACAUGUUUGUUGGGAUGAUAAAAAAGUCCGGGCCAACUCUGUUCAUUUCUGUGGACUUUUGCUGGAAUUUCCCACGUGAGGGCUUGGACAAGGGUUAAAGGAAAAAAACUUAGACUAGGUCUAAUCCCUUUAUUUUAAAAAAUAUAUAAAAAUUAAAAUAAAAAUAAAAAAUGGAAAAAUGAAAAAAGAAGGCUUAAAUUCCAAAUUCAUUUAUUGAUAACGAUAAACAAAAAUUUAAAAUUAUAAUACUAAAUUUUUUUUAAGUGUUAAUUAAUUAAGAGAGUACUUGAAUUAGAAAAUUAAAUACUAGAAAAUUAAAUCUCUAAAUUUUUAUUUGCUUUAUUUAAUAUUUUAUUUUGAAAUAUUUAUUUUCUUUAAUUCAUUGUUGAUUAUAACAACUUGAUUAUUAUUAACUCAUUUUAAGUUUACAACAAUUUAAAAAAUUUUGAAAAAAAAAAGUGAAAGCCCAAGCCCGACCCAGCUCCGUAUGGGCUCGGCCCUUACAUUUCCACUCUAAUGGCCUUGGGCUUGGGCUUGAAAAAACCGAACAUGCUCACAUUUUGCUAUCCUUGCCUGCAUGUAAGUUCAAAGUUGCAAAUUGAUGAAGUGGAAAUAUAGAAGAUUGAUAGAUUAGAGAAACUAAGUUUCUUAAUAAUAAAAUUUUAUUAGAAAAGUCUAAAUGAAUAAAACGAUAGCCUACCCCUUUUAUACUAAUCCCAAACAUCGAGAAUUUAUCAAAAUAGUAAAAUUCAAAAUAUUGUUUUAUAAUAAAAUUCUCCUAAUCUAAAUAAGAAAAACAAAACAAACGACACCCAAUUUUAAUAUCUAAAAAAAUAAAAUUCUAAAAAUAAUAUAAAAUAACUUAAAACUGUAAAAAGACCAAAAAAAGAAAUAGAAUUUUUUACUUAAUUAUGGAGCAAGACAAGGCAAGCAUUCUAAGUUUGAUUAGUCUCGUCGUAACUUUUGAAAUGAUAUAUUAUAUGCCUAAAAUGAACAUAUAAAGCCCAAGUUAUAACUCCUAAAAGAUACCUCCUUCAUGAUGAUCCUACGCAACUAUCUCACGUCGAAAAUGAAUGCAAAAGUUACAUUUCAAAUUAAAUUCAAAACAAUCAAUUCAAGCAUUAAUGCCGUGUUUUUUUUAACCAAAAUACUCUCUAAGGAUUUUAUAAAUUGCUUUCUAAUUUUAUUUUGCAAAACACACCAAAUCAAAGUGAUUUUUCUCUUUUCUCUCAAACAAUUUCAACAUUUGGUAAUAGAGCUGAUGACAGGCAUUAGUAAACAAUGUGCAAUAGUAAUGCACAACAAUAUAGAAAAGCAAAUUGGUAAAGUGUAAACUAUGAAAUGAUAAAAUAGAGCCUUUUUUUUUUAAGAUCACAUGUUAAGUUAUUGGCGUAUUUUGUCGGGAUCAUAUACUUUUUUAGAUCUACGUGCUUUUGGUCAAAUUUAGCAUAAUUAAAAGUUCAAAACUGAAGUUCAUAUUCAAUAAUAAUAAACUAAUAAUAAUAGAUAAUGUAAUACUGACUAUUAAUUUAGAUCCUACGAUAUUAAAUUUUUUUUAAUACUUAAUAAAAAUAACAACAAUAAUAAUUUUUUUUAAGGGUUAACUUAAUUGUUAACUUAGACUUACAUUGAGUCAUAAAUCAUAGUUUAUAACAACAUUAAUGCAUAUAUUCAUAAAAAUCAUGAUAUUUAUAAUUUAUUUAUUAAAAUCAUGAUAUCACCUAUUCAUUUAACAAAUUAUAAACAUAAAACAAUUAGAUUUUUUUUAAGAUUAAGAAUUAAAUGAAUCUAAAAAACUUAAGCUAAUAAAAUGCAUUAAAGAUUCAAAUUCAAAUUAUUUGCAAAAUUAUAAUUAUUCGUAAAAUUAUAAAAUUUUAAGUUUACUUUCAUUAAAAAGCUUUUACCUUAAUAUACUUUGACUCGCAUGCUAUUGAUAACGCAUAAGCCACGUGCUAAUCGUCCAGUGAAACAUUUUUAUUGAUGUCCUUUUCACGUGCUGUGUUUUAGCCUAUUUUUAAGCAUAUCAUGCUUUUAAGAUCCACUUGCCUAAAAUUCUCAACUCAGCCCAGCACUCGUGCAUGCCAUGCCUUGUCGCUUACCCUACCAAAACGUCCUUGUGCCGUACCAUGCUGAACGGAUAUGUGUCGUGCAUGUGUCGUUCCACCUGUCACCUGGUCCAUUAGUCAUCUCUAGAAAACACCAUAUAUUUAUUGAGUGUGUUGCAAGCAUUGUGUCGCAAGUUGCUCAAAUUUCCCCUAAACGGAGGCUAAAUUAGCGCGCACGAGUACGGUCAGUAAAAGUCUGCCCAAUAAUGGGAUGCACUCAACAGUAAGGUGCGCUGAGCGAUGGGCUGCCUCAUAUAACUAGUGAGUUAUGGUGCACUUAGUAAGUGAAUAGCCCAUAAUCAACAAGCCUAACUCGAUUUUUAGAUUUCUCUACACCUUGUAAAUGGCUAGAUUUUUAGGCAAGUUGCAUGAACUCUCUAUAAAAUAGGGGUGAGCACCCACUAUUUGCUCACCACCACACCACACACACAGCACCUAGCAACUCAAAAACUCUCGUAAAAAUCUCUCUUAUAAUUUCUCUUUUGUGAGCAAUAAAAUAUUCUUUAGCCAUAUUGCUCUCUUCUCUCUAGCAGUAUUGCAAACAUCCUUACUUGGCUAGUUUGAGAAGCUCUUUAGGCUUACUUAACAACUUUUGUACUAGAAGUUAUGUAAGUACUGCACGGGAUUGUUGCGCAAAAUAGUCAUCUCGUGACAACCGGCUUAGUUUUGCUUUGCACAUUUACGCCCACAAUAAUAAAAGCCAAAAUAAGAUAUAAAAAAAUGUUGGGAUUUGACAUCAAGUAGAAGAGGUUUUGCCCACUCCAAAAUCAUCAAAAUGAUUAAUUAUCUUCUAUAUAACCUGAUGAUUUUUUUAACCUUUGAGAAAGCAACCACAGAGGUGGAACAAACUUCUACUCAUGGGGACUUGACAUACGGUUAAUGAAGAAGGGUAAUUUCGUAAAAUUCCAAUCAAAAUUAGAAAAAAGGCAAGCCAUAUUCAAAAGUCAAUCUUGAUCAAACAAACGGCAGGAGGGACAUCUGUAAUUACGGCAUUUUCGAGGAAUUGUUUCUAAAACUAACUAAAACGGGAAAAUGGAAAGGGACAAACACGAAAGCUCAUAGUUUGCUUGGUUGGGCUAUGUUCUGCUAGUAGGAGAGACAGACUGUAGAAAGGGUUUCUUUUCUCUUUUUUUUUUUUUUCUAAACUCUUUUUUUUUUCAAAUAGACAUAUAGCCACGUGUUGUCUCAUAUAAAAAAUAAUACUUUAUAUAAGUCCUAGGUCAGUUGGGCUGGAAAACAUUUAAAAUCGAACAUAUCAGGCACGUUGUAAGUUCGCAAUUGGAGAAUCAUGUUGUCAGCCCCGCAACCCCCAAAUGGGAACUUUAGAUAGAAAAAUAUAGCGUCGCAACGAUAAUAUUUAUUAAUAAUAAAUUUUCUUAUUACAAUUGUUCUUGUCAAAAACUCUUUGAUGGUAUUUCAUGUGUUGAAAAAAAUGUAAAAUAGUUUCAUUAUCAAUACAAUUAAAAACAUAUUUUUUUAAUAUAUACAACUAAAUUAUCACUUGAUUUGUUUUAAUAUAAUGCAACAUGAAGAACAAAUAUGAAUACACAUACAUUAGGGAAUGGCAAUGGGAAGAAUAGGGGAGGGGACCGAUAUCUCCAUACCCAUUUUCAAUAUUUUGUAUAUGUCCUCAUCUGCUCUCCAUCCCAUCAGAAUUACUUGAAAAAAUUUUCAUCCUCUCUCCAAAUAAUAAGAGGGGAUCCCUGAAAGUCUCCGAUCUCCAAGUAAUUAAUACAUUUUUAAUUUUUAAUUUUAAUUAAUUAUAUUAAAAUAAAAUUUUAAUAAAAGUAGAAUUAAGGCGGUAGCUAGCUACCAUAGAAAAUUAGAAAUUAGGUUUUAUGAUGUUGCCUUAACUUUUGUUUUAGUAGAUAAACGUUUAAAAUAUGUAACGAAUAUUAUAAAUAAAUAAAAUUGAGCCAACAAGAUCCUGUUUGGCUUUUUUUAUGUCCUGAAUAGAUGUUUAAGAUUAUAGCUAGUUAAGUAGGCUCAUUAAAGCAUCUGACAAAUUGUUACAUAAAACCAGGAUAAUUAGAGUGCGAAUCAAAUAACCCAAAUUAUAGAUUCCCUAAUCAAACAAACAUAACAAAAAAAAUUUUGAAAUACAAUUUUUUUUUUUUUAUCAGAAAUGCGCAUUGGCACCAAAUAAAAUUGAGCAAGAGCUAAUGGUGUCCUACAAGUUGACAUGGUCUACCUUUAGCAAGAUUCAAAUAAGAAGGACCACAGUAAACAUAAGAGGAAGUAAUUUAACUUUAUAUAUAAAUCCUACAAUUUAGUUGCAAGUAAAAUAACUCCAAUCUGAAACAUCAAAUGUAUAAGAUUCGUAAGUAAAAAUAGGUUACACGAUUAGUUAUUACCUGGAUUACGUUGUAUAUAUUACAUGGUAUACCUAAUCAGACAAAUAACGUGGACAUGAAGUGAAUAACUUAAUUUGAAUCUUGCUAUUUUAUUUUAUAAUUUUAAACUAAUUAAUUCAUGCACACACAUUAUGUAUGCAUUAAGUGGAUACAAUACAACAGAAGUAUUCUACAAUCUCUUAUAUGAAAGUUCUUAAUUCAUGUACUCUUUUUAGAAUUGACCUUUUCAUAAUAUUAUUUGUGAAGUAUAUUUUCAAACUAAUUUCAGAAUAAUUUUAAAUUAUUGUAUAAGUCUAUGUAUCUAAAGUUUCAAUAAACCCCGCGGAAUUAUAAUAUUUAAUUCAUUUUUUUUUCCUCUAUUGAUAACAUCAUUAUCACUUUCAUAGAGUUUCAAUAAGCCCAGCCGAAUAACCUUUUGUCAACGUCACUGCAUAUGCCCCACCUUCUCCCUCUCGACUCUCUCAAGACACUCCAAAAAAUACUCUAAAGUCCAACAACAUUUUACAAUCUCUCUCGAUUUUUCUCGCUUCAGUUUACCAUCCUCAAACACGAACACGAACACGAACAUGAAUUAAGUUAAUUAGUUUAUGGAACACAAACUCAUCGUCAGCAUCAUAUCCUAAUUGAAAAAGAAGGAUUGCGAGGGAAACUAAGCAUGUGCCUUCAUUUUCACUUGAAAUAAAGCGCGAUGGAAAGAUCUCAUGUUAUCACAUGAUCCCGUGUAAUCACCUAGAAGCCCUUCCACGCACAUUUCUUCUCAAAUUGUCUUCUUCUAAUUUCUUGGGCCAUCGCGGAACCACAAUGUCAAUGCGAGGAUGAGCGAGUGCUGUUCAGCUCGCAGCAUUUGGAGCCGGAGCUCGGCUUCCCUUAUUUGUUGGUCGUUUGGUAGGCGUCGCCAAAAGGCAAAGAGCAUCCUCUGGCGUUCGUGGAGUUGGUCCUCGAUGCGAUCGAUUUCUUCUCCAAGUUGAGCAAGCCUUUGUGCCAUAGCCAUACAAUUAUUUACUUUCGAUCGAGCACUUUUCGUCUGCACCCAAAUGUUUCAUUAAUAUUUUGAAGUAUACACACCUGUUUCAACAACUAUCCGGAUCACGUUAAAAGACAAUUUUACCCUCACUUGAAGUGUAAAAUAACUAACUUGAAGUGUAAAAUAACUAAAAAAGCCACAACACUAGUUUUAAAUUCUAAUUGACCUGGGUGAAUAUUAAAAUUUCUUAAAGGUUAAAAAAAAAAGUAAAAAUGUUUUGUUAUGGGAAUUGAAAUAUCCCCUAUAUCUUCAUCCAUAAUCAUCUAUCCAUGAUAACAAUUUAAUAAACUUGAAAAAGCAAGAUAUCCAAUCCCAAUGAAUCAAACAACCAAUUUUCUUCAUAAAGUUUAGCUUUUGCUUUUAAAAAUUCUAACUCUUGAGACCUUAAAUAAACUCAUAUUCAAAUUUACAUUUUCUAUAAUGAAAAUCUUCAAUUUACCCUUUUAAUAUUUUGAAAAACAGGUCCAACUACAAUAUAAUUGUGGUUUCAUACCUAUUUUUUUUUAUCUUUUUGUGAUCCAACCCAAGAGUUGCAAAGGCUAUUCCAACGGUUUGGAUGUUAUUAUUUGAUUAUUAACAAUAUGGUCUCUUAUGUUUACUAAAAGAAUAAAAAAAGAUUAAGUUUCAAAAUUUUGACCCAUUAGUCCGUUAAAUAUUUUAUUAUCAAAGGUAAUUUAGUAAAUGAACAUAUUUAUAUAUUAAAAAUAUGGAUGAAUUAUUUUAACUUGCUAAAAUACUCUCAAAUUCCAUUUACUUAAAAUAUGAAUUAGAUUUUUAUAAUACUAUUUUGUAUUUAGUGUAACACAAAAUUAGACAAGGUUUUAUAUAAAUUUUGACAAUAUUAAAAUGAAAAAUUAAUAAAUAUUAAAUAAAUGCUUGGAUAGUCAUUUAAAUUCAUUAUAGAGUUUAUAAAUAAUAUUUUCAAAAUAAUAAAUUUCUAUAUGUAAAUUUGAAAUUAUGUAAAAUUACUUAGACUUUAUCACACAUAUGAAGCUGAUCAAUUAUUUAUUUAAUAUGAAAACAAAUGAAUUGUAUAAUAUUUAUUCUAUUACUUAAAUUUAAAAUUUGUUGAGAAGGAGAUAGAGGGAAUAAUUUUUUUUAGAAUUUUAAAAUUAUUAUAUUUUAAUUGAGUUUAUUACAUAAAAUUAUUAAAACUUUAGUUUUUAUUAUUUGUAUAAAACAAUAGGAAUUGUUGAAGAAAAUCCCAAAUAAAUUUUUUAGAAUUUUGUAAUUAUUAUAUUUUAAUUGGGGCUUAUUGUAUAAAAUUUUUAAAACUUAUAAUUUUUUAUUAUUUACAAAAAAUUACAGGGACUGCUAAAGUAAAUACCAAAAUGGUGUUUGGUACAACGGGGUAAGAUAGUUUUACCCUUGAAAAACAUUAAUUUACUUCCAUUUAUCAGUCAAAAGACUAAAAUAAAUGGAGACAUGUGGACGAGAAACUUUUUAACUUUUUAGUGGUAUUUGAUAAAUAUAAAUAAAUUGAAAAUUCUCGUUUUUACUUUUUAUUGGGCAUAAGUUAAAAAUCUUACUCUCUAUUUAUUAUGCUUUAACAAGAGAAAGAAAGAAAACAGAAAACAAAUCUCUUCUAUAGCAGACUUAACAAAAAUUUCAGCUGAGACUUAAACCGACUUUUUCAAGGAAAUGAAAUUAGGAGAACAAAAACACUUUGAAGUGGACUGCAUAUAUAUACUCAAAAAUAACAUACAACUUGAGUCAGUAAUGGUAAAGAAAACGAACGUACACAGACGGGUUUGGAUUUAGAUGAUGAAGAAUGCACUGAAAGCUUUGCAUUUGAGUUCUCUUUUUCGGGUGAGUAAGUUAGGGAACUGCAAGGCCGAUCAAUUUGAAAAAAGAAAAAAGAAAAAAACUAAAAUGUAAACGCAGCUUGAACUUGAUUUCUUUUGGUUUUUGGGGAGGGGACGGGGGGAGGGGAGGGAAUGUAUACGCAGCUUCAAACUUGGUUUCUUUUCGUUUUUUUCCCCGGGGGUGUGGAGGCCUGGAGGGAAUGUAAACGAACUAACGAAGCCUCAAUCCUCAUGCAGCUGUAUUUAUAUGAAGUGGGUACUGCUGACUGAUCCACGAAGGAAGACUUUUGAUGUCAUUGGUGUUUCUUUAUUUUUGACCUUUUAGCUAGAUGACAGAAGAAUGCCGAGUGCUACGGACACUCGCGAGUGUCUCAAUCGCGGCUCUCUAUAUAGACACGUGUCUAUCAAAAUGAAACCUUAUCAGAGAGACAGCCGCAAGUAUGACGAGACAAGCGCGAUCGUAAGGAUGGAAGCCGCAAGUAUGAAGAGACAGGCCCAAUCCACAACGAUCCAAGAGCAAUCAUUACCUGCAAACUCAACACAACACCUAAUUAACUUCAAACCCCACCAUAAAUCCACCAACAGUCACUAUUCGAAACAAAUCUACCUCAAAUGCGACGUCAAAUAAAAGGAAUAAAAAGGUUUCCUUAAAAGAGAGAGAGCUGCGAGUAUGAAGAGACAAGCACGGUCCACAACGAUCGAAGGCUGUGUGGUAUGUGUCUUGUAUAGAUUGAACAGAGCAAUCAUUACCUGCAAAACUGAACCAAACACUCAAUUAACAAACAAAUUUCAAUUUGAAACCCGACCUUAAAUCCACCAUUGGGCACUAUUCGACACAAAUCUACUUGAAAUCCGACAACAAAUAAAAGGAAAAAAAAUUCUAAAUCAACAUCGAAAUGAAACCUUUAUAAGAGAGAAAGCCGCAAGUACGAAGAGAUCUGAAGUCCUGUUGGUAUAUGUCUUGUAUAGAUUGACAGAGCAAUCAAAGGCCGUGUCGACCAGAGCAAUCGCAGAAUAGAAGAGAUAAGAGAGGAAAAAAGAAGGAAGAGGAGAGCUGCAGCAGCAAAUGAUCAGAGCAAUCAUUACCUGCAAAACUCAACACAACACCAAAUUAACAACCAACAUUUCAAUUUCAAACUUAACCUUAAAUUGAAACAAAUCUACUUGAAAAUAAAAGAAUAAGCAACUCCGAAUCAAAAUCGAAAUGAAACCUUUUAUAACAGAGACAGCCGCGAGUAUGAAGAGACAGGCACAAUCUGCAGCGAUCGAAGAGAAAUCACCACUACCUGCAAAACUCAACACAACGCCUGAUUAACAACAAACAUGCCAAUUUCAAACCCACCUUAAAUCCACCAACAGACACUAUAACUUGAAAUGCAAUAUCAAAUAAAAGGAACAAGUAGUCUAAAUCAAAAUCAAAACGAAACCUUAUAAAAGAGACAGCCGCAAGUCUGAAGAGACCAGCACGAUCCUAAAGGAUCAAAGCCGCAAGUAUGAACAGACCUGAUUAACAACAAACACCUGAUUACCUGCAAAACUCAACACAACACCUGAUUAUCAACAAACAUUUCAAUUUCAAACCCAAAACAAAUCUACUUGAAAAAAAAAAAAAAACAACUCCAAAUCAAAAUCGAAAUGAAACCUUAUUAGAAAGACAGCCGCAAGUAUGACGAGACAAGCACGAUCGUAAAGGAUGGGAGCCGCAAGUAUGAAGAGACAGGCCCAAUCCACAACGAUCCAAGAGCAAUCAUUACCUGCAAACUCAACACAACACCUAAUUAACUUCAAACCCCACCAUAAAUCCACCAACAGUCACUAUUUGAAACAAAUCUACCUCAAAUGCGACAUCAAAUAAAAGGAAUAAAAAGGUUUCCUUAAAAAAGAGUCCACAACGAUCGAAGGCUGUGUUGUAUGUGUCUUGUAUAGAUUGAACAGAGCAAUCAUUACCUGCAAAACUGAACCAAACACUCAAUUAACAAACAAAUUUCAAUUUGAAACCCGACCUUAAAUCCACCAUCGGGAACUAUUCGACACAAAUCUACUUGAAAUCCGACAACAAAUAAAAGGAAAAACAAGUCUAAAUCAACAUCGAAAUGAAACCUUUGUAAGAGAGAAAGCCGCAAGUAUGAAGAGAUCUGAAGUCCUGUUGGUAUAUGUCUUGUAUAGAUUGACAGAGCAAUCAAAGGCCGUGUCGACCAGAGCAAUCGAAGAGUAGAAGAGAUAAGAGAGGAAAAAAGAAGAAGAGGAGAGCUUCAGCAGCAAAUGAUCAGAGCAAUCAUUACCUGCAAAACUCAACACAACACCAAAUUAACAACCAACAUUUCAAUUUCAAACCCAACCUUAAAUUGAAACAAAUCUACUUGAAAAAUAAAGGAAAAAGCAACUCCAAAUCAAAAUCGAAAUGAAACCUUUUAAAACAGAGACAGCCGCGAGUAUGAAGAGACAGGCACAAUCCGCAGCGAUCGAAGAGAAAUCAUCACUACCUGCAAAACUCAACACAACGCCUGAUUAACAACAAACAUGCCAAUUUCAAACCCAACCUUAAAUCCACCAACAGACAGACACUAUAACUUGAAAUGCAAUAUCAAAUAAAAGGAAAAACAAGUCUAAGUCAACAUCGAAAUGAAACCUUUAUAAGAUAGAAAGCCGCAAGUACGAAGAGAGAAGCGCGAUCCUAAAAGAUCUGAAGUCGUGUUGUAUAUAUGUCUUGUAUAGAUUGACAGAGCAAUCAAAGCCCGUGUCGACCAGAGCGAUCGAAGAGGAGAAGAGAGAAGAGAGAAAAAGAGAAGAGGAGGAGAACUGCAGCAGCAAAUGAGCAAAGGGAGCUCAAUUUAUAAACGACUAAACGAGGGAUUCCGUUUGCUCAUUUGCUGCUGCAGCUCUGGACCGUUGAGGGGGGACACGUGGAGGGAUCGUGGGGAGUGGUGGAAGUAACUGUGGUUGAGUUAAGGUUGACUAGAGUUAUGUGAGGGAUCCAAGGCUGGGUGUUUUCCUUUUGGAUAUGCGUUUUGUCAGUGGGAACGGCAUCGUUUGUUUGGGUUUAAAAUUGAGCACAUUUAUUAUACGUAGCGGAAUCGUACAAAAAUUGCUGCUGCAGUAUAAAUCUGAAGGAAAAAAAAAAAAAUGGUUGGUAUGUGGAAAUUAUACUUGAAACGUUGUCGUUUUUGGCAUAAUUGCUGUGAUAUAUUUAUUUGUUUGUGUUUUUAUUUCUUUUUUCUGGGUUUUAGGGUCACAAUCGGAGAGCGAAGACAAGGUCUCGUUGGAACUCUCUGAAGAAGUUCUUCAGAGCAUGGAAGUGGGCAUUUCUUUUAGAGAUUAUGUAAGAGAAUCUUCUAUUAAGUUUCUGUUUGAGGAACAUACUUGAUUUGCAUUUUAAAUGUAUCUGUUUGUUAAUUCAUUGUCGUUUUGUGUUGAUUCGUGUUUUAACAGAAUGGGAGAAUUAGUUCCUUGGAUUUUCAUAAAUCAUCGAGUUAUUUGAUGAUGGCUAGUGAUGAUGAAUCUAUACGGCUGUACGAUGUCUCUGCUGCCACGUAAGUUGAUCCUCUGUUUCUUAGGAUUUUAUGUUGUCUAUUGGGAAGUGCUUUUAACUAAGAAAUGGCUUUUGAAUAAGUAUAAAAAGCUGGUUUCAAUCUUGCAAUGUUUGUUUGAAAUUGCUGGAAUAAUAAAGUGUCUUUUGAAAUCAAAGGAACCCUUGAAGUGUUUUUCUAGGGAAGUGCUUGAUAUCUGCUUUCAUGGAUAGAACUUUUUGGAUUAGGAAACCACUUGUAGUGCUGUUUGAAGUAGUGCUUCAUAUAUGUUUGAAAGUGAUUUUACUCGAGGGUACUUUCCAUUAAAGCACUGCUGAACGUAUCCUCUGCGUGUUUGAUGAGCUCAUGAAAGCUACUGUCUUUCUAAGAUGGGGAAAAAUGCUUUUUUGAUGAAACAGAAAAAAAAAAAAAAAAAAAAAAAGGAGAACCUUGGAGUGGUUUUCGGGGCAGUGCUUAAGGGAAAUGUAAUUGAUAUAUUUUUCAAGAACUUUUGUAAAAAGGCCUUUUCUUUUUCUUUUUUGUUUUGUUUGCAUAAGCUCUUUCUAUAAGAGCACUGCCAAAUGCACUCCAGUUGUCUUAGCUGAGCUCAUGAUAGUUGGUAUUGCAAUUGUUGCUGAGAGCCUUAAUUGAAAUUUCAGAUGUUUGAAGACAAUUAACAGCAAAAAAUAUGGAAUAUUUGUGUUUUGUAUGUUGGUGAAUUACUUUACUAGGCACUUAUUUGGUACGUUCAUUUAUUCAGAAUCUCUACGGCUUCUUUCCUCGCACUAUAACAAGUACUUGCGUUACUUCAACGGUCAUCAUAACAGGUUUGUAAUUCACUUAUUCUUGUAAAUAUUUCGUAAUUAUUAUUAUCUGUAUAUAUGUUUUACUGCUUCUAGGGUUGUUUCACUUAGUCUGUGCUCCUCCAAAGAUUGCUUUAUCUCUGGUUCUCUUGGUCAAUCUGUUCUGCUCUGGGAUCAACGGGCUGAGAAAUGCUAGGUGGAUAUCAUGCCAUCCACCAUUUUCAAUUGUAUAUAUGAUCUCUGUUGGCAAAUACGGGCCUUUUGCAUGUUCAAGGAAGGCCUGCUACAGCAUAUGAUGAUCAAGGGCUUGUCUUUGCAGUUGCCUUUGGAGGAUACAUAAGAAUGUUUGAUGCUCGUAAGUAGGAGAAGGUUAAAAUUAAUAUUUAAGAACAUCUUGGAAGUUUAUAUGUCGUACUUUUAUCAUGCACUAAUUUGGUUAAAUUUGGAUACAUCUUCUCUGAUGGUGUAGAUGUAUCAGAUUCUGAUGCUGUAAAGUUCAGCAAUGAUAGGAGACUUAUGCUUCCGACCUCUAUGGAAGGACAUAUUCAUGUGCUUGACUCAUUCCAAGGCACACUUGUGAGUUGACUUUUUCUUUCUUCAUCUCCCAAAUGUAACAUAUCGUACAUAUAUACCCCUCUAUACACUGGAAUCUCUGUUAAUGAGCUUUUGUUUACUCUUGUUUUUAUUUAUCCACUUAUGAUGCCAAGCCAGUUUCUCGCAAUUCCACAUUGGAGGCAUCUUUCAGCCCGGUAGAGUUUCUCCUUUGAGUUCUUAGGGCACAGUGACUUGGAUAUUUUGUUAAUAUUUGCUUUUGGCUGUUUUGAUAUUUUAUAUUAAAGUUCUUGCACUUGUGCUGUAUAUAAUUCUCAAAUUUGUUACCACCUUGUUGGUAUAUUGAAAUACACGACUUGAAAUGUUGGGCAUCAAGCUUGUUUCCGCAGAAUUCUUUGAAAUAAAUUCAUUUUCUCUUCUUCAUUGACUUGGUUUGAAACCCACUCCCAUCCAUGCAAAUCCAAAUGCAUACGUAUUUUCAUCUGGUUGUGCUUAUUAAUAAAAAUAAAUCAAUGAAAUGCUCAAAUAGCAAGUGCACCCACACAUGUGGAAGCAGCCUGGUGCGGCCAAGCACCUCUCAUUCGUUUUAUGUGAUACAAUUGGUUUGUUGCACUCUUUGUGCUAAUUUUACUUUCUCGAUUUUGGAAGGUUCUGAUGAUGGUAGUGGAUAUGCUUGGAGUGUAGGGAGCGGGAAAGGGGUAUGAUAAGCAAAAUUCCUUGAUUCUCAUGCCUUUUGAAUGCUUAGAAUUCAAAGGGAUGUUAUUUCCCUUACACUGACCCCAGUCAUAGCAUUCAUUGUCUUCUAGCCAAACCAACAAUGCUUUUGAAUCUACAUUUGAGCAUUUACCUUAAGCACCAGUUUGCAUAAUGAGUUCUGUAUCCAAAGACUAUAUUCUUUGGAUGUUGGUAUUGUUAUUAUAUAAACAUUGUUUGGUUUUGUUUAUUUUUCUUGUCAGGGUUGUUAGUUGGAUGAGUUUUCAUACAGAGCCUCCUGUCAUAAAAUGGGCCCCUGGAAGUCUCAUGUUUGUUACGGGGUAAUCUGAGCUAUCAUUUUGGAAUCCUAAUGUGUCUAAACUAGGAGCUUACGAUGGGAGGAAGUAAAGUUUCUAACACUCAGCACCCUUAAGUAUCUGAAUAUUGAUGUCUAUCUAUUGCUGGGAGGGGAACUUGUUUGUAAGGAGAUGUUCAAUUUCCUAUAGUAGUAUGUAAAUGCAUCUGACUUACCUGCUAGUAACCUUUCCUAACAAGUUCUGAAGAAACAACAGUAGAUCUGGUAUCAGUACUUUAUUCAGAAGAGCAUUUCUUCUUACAUGCACAGCUAAGAGUACAUGAAUUGAGCUACUGAAGCCCUUCCUGACCAACCUGGCUAAGGCUCCUUUCAGUUUGUCCUCUUCAUGGUUCUUUGGCAGGCAACAGCGUAAGCAAUUACCUGGACUAUGAGGCCUUUUGUAGCGGGGUGGGCACUGCCUAGGCAGUUUUUGAAAAAACUAGGAGCUUUAUUUGUCAUUGACAUUUGUAGCACGAUUAGUUAUUACCUGGAUUAAGUUGUAUAUAUUACAUCGUAUACCUAAUCUGACAAAUAACAGGUUGCAAUCCAAGUUUUGUUGAUCAUGAAGGGUUUGAGCAUGAUAGUCCAUUUAGGUCAUUAGGUCUCCCUCGAAUUGCCACGUACACACUUCAAUCCUCUCAACGAGCGUCCCCGCAACGUCACACUCCACAAUAAUCUGAAAUAAUUUAAAACAAUUAUAUACUUCUGGCUGCUCUUAUCUCCCUUCUCACCAACCGAGUCACUGGUUGGUUACAUUUUACUAACACCGCCGAAUGAGAGAUCAUAAUCCCUAUUACGUGUCCACCCUAACUGAUCACAACAUUGUCAUUUUUUAUCUAGCGUUAGCAACGCGUUGUUCAGUUGUCAUAGCUUCGAAACCGCGUUAUUUGUUUAUACACUACAUUUUUGGACUCAAGGCACAAAAGGGAUAAUAAACAAUUGUUAUAAACAAUUGUUAUAUAGUCUGCAAGGUCCAUUCCAAUUGUGUUUGUGUAUAUAUAUUUUAGCUUUCUCUCCUACACCCAGGCUUUAUGCCUCUCGUGCCUCAGUUUGAUGUGAAGAAAUGGUCCAUCAAGGCCAUUGGUUAUAUAGUCAGCAAUAGCAAUAUUGCCUUUCUUCAACCACAGCAAUGUUUAUUGGGUACGCAGGAUCAAUUAUCUUCUUAGUAAUUAACAUAAUAAUAUAUUAUGUUUGUAAAUGUGUAAAUAAAUUUUAUUCAAUAUUUAUAGUUUUACAACAAUUUAAUAUUAAAAUUUACCAAACAUAUACAAUUGUUUUUAUAACUCACAGCUCCUUUAAAAAUAAGUUUUUGCAAACGUUUAAUUAAUUUUUUUAAAUUGAUUAUUUUUAUAGCACAGCUAACAUCAAUUAUUUUAAAAGCUACAGUAUUACCAAAUUGACUCCUUACUCUUUUUAUUAAAAUUAUUAUUUAAAAGUUCUAAUUGCAAUAUGUUACCAACUUUUAUUUCACAUCUAUAAUUUUUUUUUCACAACAGCUAUAACUUAAACGUCGCAUCAUCUUAAUACCAAAUAGGGCUAUAGUUAUUUGGGACCUUUUUUUUUUCCCCCCCUUUUCCCUCUUCUUUAGCAACCUACAAAAAACACUAGAAAUAAAACAGAAAAAUUGAGUAUGAAAUUAAGCAUUAGUUAAGUAUGAAGUUGGGUGAGUCGAGUAUAAAAUUAAGUACUUUUCUAUAUGAUUUUAAAUAAAGGGUUUUUUAAUAUUUUGCUUUGUGAUUUUGGAUAUAUUUCUACAAUACCAGUAAACUAUGUAAUAAGCAUAUAUUUGUUGUUUUGUUGUGAAUGGGACAUAUCUAGCGCCAUUUGCUCUAGGGAUGGCAAUGGGGCAGAUAUGGGUUGGAUCUACUUUGCUCCAAAUUCAAAUCCAUAAUAAAAAUCAAGAUCCGUAUCUACUCCAGAUCUGUCAUGAAUCCAUAUUUUUUGCUCCAUAUCCAGAUCCAAAAAAGAAAUAAAUAUCUAUAUCUACUCCAAAUCUUAAAAAAAAUUAAAAUCCAAAUCUGUUCUACAUCUGUCAUGAAUUCUAAAACUCAGUAAUAAAAAAUUAAUAAUUUUUUAGAAUGAAAAUUGAAGGCUUAAAUGUAUUGAUAAAAAAUAAAUUAUAUAAUUUUUCUCAAAAAUAUAAUAAAUAUUGUAGCUUAUACUUUUAUCUCAAAACAAUAAAUAAGAAAGAUAAUAAAAUAUCAUUCAAAAGUAAUUGUAGAAGUAAGAUCAAUCUAAUAUUCUAUUGUCUCCUUCAUCAUUCUAAUAUCCACGACACACCUACCAUCAUUUCUACAACAUUAAAUAAUGACAUAUAAAUUAAAUAUGAUUUAUAUUCAGUCCUUUAUUAUUUUUAUUAUGAUCAUAUUUGACUAAAUAUAUGAAUAACUAUAUUUUUUAAAAAUUAUUUGGCUUGCAAUUUGAAUAUUUAGGCUUGGCUGACCUUUAUAUUUACAAAACUAACCUUUAAGUUUUAAGAGUUUAAAUGCAUGGUAAAUACCACUAAUAUGUUAUGAAUAAAAUUUAUUAUUAUUAUAAUUCCAUAAUUGUUAAGAAACUUUUAAAAUAAAAUAAAAUUAAAAGAUGAGUGAAUAUGAAUGUGGAUUUAGAUAUUAAGAUAGAUCCAGACCUGCUCCAGAUCCGUCUUAGAUCCGCACAUCGAUAUUCAAAUUCGAUCCAAAUUCAUUUUAAACUGACCCAAAUCCGAUCCGAUUGGAUUUGGAUCACGUGGAUCUUGGGUCAAAUCCAAUCCAUUGCCAUCCCCAAUUUGCUCCCGUGACUGAUCUUUAUAACAGAUCCAAUUACCCUCAUUAUAGUCUUGAUCGAAAGCUAACAUAGCACAAUUCUGAUAUGUAAUGUGAGUGAUGGGAGAGUCACAAAUUAUUGUAUAAAUUUAUUUUAUCUAAAUUAAUUAGUAUAAAUUGAUAGAAAUAUAAAAUAAUAAAAAUAUAAAUCACGUAGACCAAGGUGUAUUUAAUAUAACUAAUAAAAUUUUACUCGAUCAGUUUAUAUAAGAAUUUGUAAUUUUAUUAUUACUCAUGGUACUUGAACAGUGGCUGAUUGGUCAGCUAGUGGUAUAAGUGGCAACGACCAAACUGUUGAGUCUCCACGUGGGUUUCAAAAUGAGUCAAGAGUCAAGAAAUUAGCUAUCAAGUUAUGAAAAAUAUUUGUAAACAUGUCUUUGAGAUGAUACAUUGUCAUAAUCAACAUCAUAUCCUAAUUGACAAAGAAGGGUUGCAAGGGAAACUAAGCAUGUGCCUUCAUUUUCACUUGAAAUAAAGCGCGAGGGAAAGAUCUCAUGUUAUCACAUGAUGCCGUGUGAUCACCUAGAAGCCCUUCCACACAUAUUUCUUCUUAAAUUGUCUUCUUCUAAUUUCUUGGGCCACCGCGAAACCACAAUGUCAAUACAAGGAUGAGCGAGUGUUGUUCAGCUCGCAGCAUUUGGAGCCGGAGCUCAGCUUCCCUUAUUUGAUGGUCGUUUGGUAGGCGUCGCCAAAGGGCAAAGAGGAUCCUCUGGCGUUCGUGGAGUUGGUCCUCAAUGCGAUUGAUUUGUUCUCCAAGUUGAGCAAGUCUUUGUACCAUAGCCAUAAAAUUAUUUACUUUGGACCGAUGCAAUUCUCUUCUAAAAUUUUCAGGGAACACUUUUCAUCUGCACCCAAAUGUUUCAUCAUAAUUUUAUUGUAUACACACUUGCUUCAACAGCUAUCACGGCUCACUCUUUUUGUUAAAUAUUGUUGUUGCCAUUAAUUUUGACAUCUUUGACGUUAAAAGACAACUUUACCCUUAUUUAUAUUUUUUAAUGCAAAAUUGCCAAAAAAACCACAACACCAAUUUCUAAUUCCAAUUGACUUGUGGGGAUAUUAAAAUUUAAUUUUGGCAUCUUUGACAUUAAAGAGAUAAUUUUACCCUUAUUUAUAUUUUUUAAUGCAAAAUUACCAAAAAAACCACAACACGAGUUUCCAAUUCUAAUUCACUUGUGUGGAUAUUAAAAUUUAUUAAAGGUUAGAAAAAAAGUAAAAAUGUUUUGUUCAAAAUAUCCCCUUUGCCAUCAUCCAUAAACGUCCAUUCUUCAUAACAAUCUAGUAAACUUGGAAAAAGCAAGAUCCCAGUCAAUCAACCAGCCAAAAUUCUUCAUAAAGUUUAGCUUUUCUUAAAAAAUUUUAAAUCUUGAGUUAAAAAUUUUAAUUCUUGAGACCCUAAAUUAAUUGAUAAUGAAAGUCACAUGUUUCUAUAACAAAAAUCUUCAAGAAUAACAGUACAAUGAAAAUCUUCAAGUAAAUAAAAAUCUAUAUUCAUAAUAUUUAUGAAUAAAUUGUAAAUAAUAUAGAGUGGUUUAUAAUUUUAUAGUGUAUUCACUAAACAAGAAUCGAAAUUAUUUGGAAACAUAACGAGUUAGAAUCAGAAUAUAUAGAAUCAAAAUAAGAAAUUGGAAUCAGAAUAAUUUAUUUACUUGAACUGCAGGAAUCGUAAUUAGAAUGAGUCAUUUACAUGUUUACUUUGUCUUAAAAUCAAAAUUGGAAUGAGUUAAAUUGUAACAAAUUACUAUAAAAUCCAUAAUUAAUUUUUAUCAUAAUAAUUAAUUUUUAUUUUAAUUAUUGUGAUUAUUAUUAUUAUUAAUAAAUUAAUUAUUAACAAUAAUUAUUGUUAAUUAUUAUUAUUAUUAAAAAGUUAACUAAGAAUUUAUUAUUAAUUAUUGUUAAUAGAUUAAUUAAUUAUAAUACUUUUUAUUCUUGUUAUUAAUAAUAAUAAUAAUAAUAAUCCAUUUACAAUUUAUAAUUAUAUUUAUAAUUAAGUGGAAAUUAAAGUGGUAGGGUCUCAACCAAAAUGUGGCACGAACACAUUUAUCCAACAGCAAGAUUUUUCGAUUGCCAUCCCCACUAAUUUGGUGUAAUGACUAAGAGUUAAUUGAAAAAUAUAUAGUUUAAUUUUACAUUUAAUUUUUUUUCUUUGUUGUAUUAAGAAUUAAUUGAAAAAUUAUUAUAUUCCCUUAAUUUUACCAGAAUCCCGUUGACUUAGACCCUAGUCUCUUGAUUAAAGCGUUUUCAAGUUCAAAGAUUCAGAUAACUCACUCGAUUAUAGGGCGUCUGCACCUUACGCUCGCGUUUGUUGUGAUGCCAGUAGCUGCUGUGACUGUGGCUGUCGUUGUCGAUUGUACUUGAAUUUUGCAGGAGAGCUUAAUAUCUUGUUUAGUAAUUAAGUGUUGUAUCAUUUAUUGUUAAAAAAUUAUAUUAUAAAAUAAAAAUUAAUAAUAAGUAAUAAAUAUGAUUUUUAAAAAUUAAUUUUCAUUAUAUAUUGUCAUUAAAUAAAUAUAAAAUUAAUUUAAUUUAACUGUAAAAUUAUAAUAAUUAAUAUUUAUUGAAUACUUUAGUAUUAUAACUUUUAAAAUUAUAAUGGACUAACUUCAAUCCCAAAAGAACCUGAAAUGAUUGUGGAGAUCGGGAUUUUCAAUUUCCUUUCUUUUUGGAACUAGUUUGGGAUUGUCCAAACACGCUAUGGUAUGCGUUUGACAUGGAGAAGGGGGGACAAAUCAAUUUUGUUUACUGCAAAACCCUAAAAAUAAUUAGUCAACUUGCGUAUACCCCUUUUGGACCCAUUUUGUCAGGAAAAAGAAAUUGUGGACCAUUUGCACUCUAAAUUUAACUUUAGAUACUGGUAUUUUAAUAAAUUUUUAUAUUAUUAAAUUAACCUUAAUAUAAGGAUCCAGCUACGGUACACAUGUUGUAUGGUAUCCCGCAUUUUGUUCAUAUAUGACUUUGCCUUUAAAUGUAACAUAAAACUUGCAUCAAUUGCAUAGAUGUAUUCUCUUUGGUUAUUAAUAUUGACACUCCUAUUGUUUUUCAAAAAAAUAAAAUGGUGAAAGGUUUGACACAUAAUUUUAGAUUAUUUUUAAAUUUUUUAUUUUUAUCAAUUGAUCUACUUUAUUAUUAAAAUUAAUGACAGUAUAAGAGCAAUAACUUGAAAAAACUAAAACAAAAGGAAUUACAUGGUCACCGUCUGGAACUGGAAAUGUUUUGAGUUUACUUAUCCUUUUGGUUCGCACCGCCCACGAAGCUUCAUAUUCCUACGAUAUGUCUUUUUUUUUUAAAAAUAAUAAUUUAUAAUCUGACAGCUGGAACAAAGUUUCGACUUUCGAGUGGGCAAAACGCAAAAACUACCACGACUACUUGAACAACUUCGUUACAUUUAGACAUUUAUCAUUUAAUCAGAGUUUGAUGAGCAGCGUUGAAGGAAAGUUUAUAGAAAUAACCCUUACUUUUUUUCUAUUUUCGAAUAGCAAAUAAAAUUUCCCUUUUUCAGUUAAACAGUUUCAAGUCUAGUAUUUACUGUUUGAAGGAGAAAAUUAUGGUGUAACGGUGGUACCGUGCUACUGUUGUACUCACCCGUUGGAUCUCAAUGAAUCCACUCAUUCAAGUGGAUUCAACGGCUGAAUGCAACAGUGGCACGAUACCACUGUUGCACCGUAGCCGGACCUCUAUUUCAAUUACACAAACAACAUGUAACUGUUUUAUAUAUACCUUUUUCUAGCGGGUUCAAAAAGUUUCAACCUUAUGGAAUGGCACAAUCUUUGUAUAUUAUUAUUUUAAUUAAUAACAAGAUUACUGAUCCUGUGUGCCCGGUAAACACUACUGUGAUUGAGGAAAAAGCGGUAUUGCUAUUGCUGUUUCUUACCAAAGGCCUUGAUAAAUAAACCAUUUCUUCACAUCAAACUAAGGCACAAGAGGUAUAAAGCCUAGGUGUAGGAGAGAAAGCUACAACAUAUAUGACACAAAAUCAAUUUGGAUGGACCUUGCUAAUCACGUCUGUGAAUGAAGAAGAUUCACCUCGAUGCCAUAGGAGAGCAAAUUAUUAGGGGGCAGGAUGGACAUGUCACAUGGUUAAGGGGGUCUCUAAAUCCCGAAGGGUACAAAAACCUAUGCUUUGAAGCUCACCUCACUAUCUAAAAUCAAAUAUGACUUGAAUGCGAAAUUACGUGUGCGGUAAGUUCUUAUUUGGGAAACUGUGUUGUGCGUCCCACAAACUCCAAAUGGGAGCUUGCCGCAUGUUCAAUCGUGCUUAUAGAGUGUGUCCGCAUGCAUCUAAUUGAGAUCUUAUUUACAGUAUAAUACACUUCUAAAAAUUUAGAUAGCAAUAUAAAACUUUACAACUAUAAUAUUCAUUGAUAAUAAAUUUAUUUAUUAUGAUUGUUCUCGUUGAAAACUCCUCAAUGGAAUUUUAUGAGUCGAAAAUAACGUAUGAUAGUUUAACUACCAAUAUAAGAAAAAAUAUAUUUUUCAAUAUACAAAACUAGGUUAUUGCUUAAUUUGCUUUUAAAAUCUUUUAAUAAUAACAAAAAUAUUCAUAUAUUGCAACACAUAGAGCAAACAUGAAUGCAUUAUAAAAUUAUAGAUUUUAAAACUAGACAAAAGAUUAAUCAAAAAAUGAAAAAUUAGAAUUAUGUAGACUUACAACUUAUGGGUCAUUGUUGAAAGACUAAACAAUUGAUUUUGCUCGAAUAGAAAACAAAAAAAAUAUUAAAGACUAGUCCAUUAACCAUUAUACUAACAUUUUUUAUGAUUGUUUUUUAUUUUAAUAUUUGUUCUCGUGUCUUUAAUUGAAUUUCAUGAAAUGUUAAUUGCUAAUUAAAUUAUUUAGAAUUAGACAUUUAAACGAGGGAUAAUAUGAAAUAUUUUAAAAUUACUAGAGUCACUUUUAAAUUUUACAAUGCAGCUGGGGCAUUUUUCAUAAAUAACAAACAAAAUACAUUUUUUUCAUAUAAUCAUCAAAAAAAAUUUAAAAGCCAGCCAGGGCAUGUGCCUCAGCUGGUCCCAUGCUGAUUCCGCCCCUGUACGUAAGACACACGCAUAUUAUUUUACAAGGUACCACCAAUUUUUGUCUUUUGUGAUGUCAAAUUUCAUUUAACUCCUUAUCUUUUUUGAUUUACGGUUUAUUUAUAACAUUAUAUCCUUUGACAGGUAACUUUUUAAAAUGAAUUUUAUUUAUAAUUUAUUUAUAAGUUUAUAUACUUUGGCUGGUGAUCUGCUCAAAUGUAAUUUUAUUUUAUUUAAUAUUAUUUAUCUUUCUAAAAGAAUAAAUAUACAAUAAGCCUGUGACUAGAUAAUAUUAAAUAAUAUUUUGAAUAAAAUAAAAAUAUUAAAAAUUUAUUCUUUUAAAUAAAAUAAAUAAUAUUAAAAAAUAAUAUUUAUUUUUUAGGACUCACAAUUGCUUAUUCUAUUUUAUUUAAUAUUAUUUAAUUUUUAAAAAUAAAUAUAAUAAUAAGCUUGACUAAAUAAUAUUAAAUAAAAUAAUAUAAAUAUUAUUAAAAAUAAUAGUAAUUUUUUUAGACUCAUUACUGAUUAGUUCAUUUUAUUUAACAUUAUUUAGUUUCAUGAAAGAAUAAAUAUAAUAAUAAGCCUUUGACUAUAUAACGUUAAAUAAAAUCAAAUAAAUAAUAUUAAAAAAAUAUUUUUUUUAUAAAAUAAAUAAUAUUAAAUUUUUAUUCUUUUGAAUAAAUAAAUAUAUUUUUUAAGACUCACAACUGAUUAUUUAUUUUAUUUAAUAUUAUUUAGCUUUUUAAAGAAUAAAUAUAAUAAUAAGUCUAUAACUAAAUAACAUUAAAUAAAAAUUAAAUACUAUAAAUAAUAUUAAAUAAAAAUUAAUUAAUAUUAAAAAUUAUAUUUAUUUUUAAUGCUCACUACUGAUUAUUUUAUUUUAUUUAAAUAUUUAGUUUUUUGAAAGAUUAAAUACAACAAUAAGCCUGUAACUAAAUAAUAUUAAAUGAAAUGAGAAUAAAUAAUUUUAAAUAAUAUUUUUUAAUAAAUAAAUGAUAUUAAAAAUUAAUUUUUAAAAUAAAAAAAUUAAUAUUAAAAUAAAUUUAUUUUUUAAGACUCAAUUAUAAUUAAACAACAUAAAAUUUUAAACAAUUUGGACUUAUGUGCUAAAAGUUUUAAUUAUUUAGCUCUUUUGCAUUUUUGAUAAAUAGCAAGGAGCAUAAUGUUAAUAUUUAAAUAAACGAUUCACUACCCUUAAAUCUAUCUUUUCAUUGAAUCCAAUGAUCAAAAAUUAAAACCAAUGACCAAGAAUUGAAACUACAAAAAAAUAAAAUCAUAUGGUAUCUUACAACUGUUGUAAGAUAAUUGAGUCUUUUAAUUACACGUGUUAUUUGGAACUUGUUAAAUUGGUCCCUUGUGGGUCCUCGUGGACUCUAAAUUAGCCGUACACCUUUUAAAUAGAAAUAAGUGCAUUACAAUUUUUUUCUAUUUUACUUUAUUUUUGAAAUUUUUUGGAAAAAGUGAUGACUCAUGAUAAUAGAAGAAGAAGAAUAGUAGGAUACAUGUAAUAUCGGUUUAUACUUUAUAUCACUUUUUACUUCUUUCUUUGAUUUUUUUUAAAUUUUUUAUUAUACUUUUUUGUGUCUUUGGGGUCCAAAUAUAUUGUGUAUAAAUAAAUAACGUGGCUUCUGAGUUUAUGGCAAUUUACCAAGCGUUAAUAAUGCUUGAUGAAAAUGUUGCAAUCAGGUAGGGCGGACACAUAUAGAGAUUAUGAUCUCUUAAUCAGCGGUGUUCGUGAAAUGUAGCCAACUGCUAAUUCGGUCGGAGACGAGGGAUAUCUAGUGCAACCAGAAGUUCAUAAUUGUUUUAAAUCAUUUGAGAUUAUUGCGGAGUGCAACGUGUCGUUUGUUAAGAGAAUUAAAAUGAGUCAAAAGGUUUAAGAAAUAAGCUUUGGCUGCUUGGAAAAACCGCUUUCGAGCCUCCACAAAGUAUUGUAGGGCUUAAAUUCUUUUCAAUUAUGAAUAGUAAUUAAGUGAAGACAGUUUUCUUUUCAAUAAUUACCUAAUUAUAAAUUUAUCAGUAAAAAUUUCAUUUAAUAUGAAUUGUAAUAUAAGAAAAGAAAAAAAAAGUAUUCACUUAUGAUAAUAUUCUUAUUUGUAAACGUGUCCUGAGAAUUGAGAUGAUACAUGAUCGUCAAUGUCAUAUACUAAUUGAAAGAGUAGGUUUGCGAGGGCCUGCCGUGCUAAGCAUGGGUUUUCAUUUCCCUUAACCGCUUGAAAUGAAGCAUGAGGGAAAGAUCUUAUUCCACCUAUGUUUUAUUAUUAAUAAAUAAUUUUUUUUUUAUCUAUUAACCAAUAAUUAUCGGAGCGAGUUUUACUCAAGAGAACUUCAAUAAUAAAAAAUGUUUGAUCUCACUGAAAUGACAAGUUAUUUAAGGUUAUUGAAAAUCUAAACAAAAAUUACUUUUAGGAAAAUGCUAAACGAAGAGAAUGGCGUGAGAACGCAACGUGAUAAUAUUAAAUGUAUAGUAAAUGUCAACUUUUAGCAUUUUCUCUUUCUCACCACGAGUAGCUUUUGCACGACAGAAAAACAAAACAACGUUCAUCACAAAGCUAAUUUUUCUCUCACCCAACGUGAAAAUCACUUUGGCUCAUUUAUUCACCAACGACCACCGAAUAGAUCUAGAGUAGUAGCAAGUGAGGGAGAGGAGUAGUAGAUCUGGAGUACUAGCGAGCGAGAGAGAGGAGGAAGAGGAGGAGGAGUAGCGAGUGAGGGAGAUGAGUAAAUCUCAACAUUAUUUUUUUCUUUCAUACUAGCCUUUUAAGGUUAUAAAAUUCUUUUGUUUUUAUUAACAAGAAUGCUGAAAGCUGCUACUGAAAGAAACGACAUUACUGUAUGUCAUUUCUCUCGGCAUUCUUGGUAAUUAAUUUAUAUUUGUACCACUCUAUUAAUUUACAACUUUGCCAUUCAUAUAAAUAAAUUUAAAAAAAAAAAGUAAAAUCUUAGGUCCAGCCUGAAUGGGCUCACAUUUAGCACUACUCUUACUUUUAUGCUAUCGCAUGAUAUCGUGUAGGGACGGCAAAAUACAGGUUUGGUCUAAGCUUGGAAGGCCAAGCCCAUUUCACGAGAGGCACAACAGGCUAGACUGGUCAAGCCUAAUGUGAGCCCAUUCAGGCUCAAGCUGGACCUAAGAUUUUACUUUUUUUAUUUUUUUAAAUUUAUUUAUAUGAGUGGCAACGUUAUAAAUUAAUAGUGGUACAAAUGUAAAUAAAAUAGUUGAUUUUUUGUAAACUUUGCAUAAUGACAAUUUUGUAAAAUUUGGACAGGCUGUAGCUCAUCUCAGUCCACACAGCCUCACCACUAGGUAUAAACAUGGAGAACAAUUUAUAAAUCCACCAAGCUAAAUUAAAGUCAAACACUUGACAUUAAGAAAUUUCUAAUAAUCUUAGAAAUAAACUAGUCGAUAAUCACUUGAGAUCAUUUCCUCACCCCAUAAUCCAUCAAUUAACUGAGAAAUGACAACUCACCAAUUAGUUUUUCAUCAGAACUCAUAACACAGAACUUACCCAUUCACAUAAUAAAAACAUUGACAUUAAUGAGAGAGUAGCUUAAUCAAAUAAUAAUCCAUUAAUAAAAUGAAAAUUAACAACUUGUACCUUCAUAGAUGAUUCUUGUGCACUUGACUUUCUAAGUAAAGAACGUCACUAUUCUUUUCAAGAAGGCAGCCACCACAAAGCAUAGAAGCUUCUUCAUAUAAUAGUACAACAAUCAAAACCUGAAACAUACGCAUCAGUAUUAAUUUAUUAUAAUUUAGCAGCAGUAAAUAUUUUUUUUCAAAAGUUAUCUGCAGUAAAUAUAAGAAUAACAAAGAAUAAAAUCUUAGAUCAACAACAGAGAACCUAAACUCUACAACUUGCUUGAACUACUAUCAACAUCAUACCACAUAAUCAAAUAGACAAAAUAGUGUAAUAUAUAAUUUGUAUUGACCUCCAUACUAUCACGUAAAAAAUAUUGUAUUAAAAACAAAGGGUAAUUUUUAGGGACCUCCCCUGAGGUUUACCGUAUUGACACAUAGAGAGAAUGUAUCCACGUAAUUACAACCACCUCCCCUCCCGUUAGUAUCCGGUUAGUUUGACUGUUAGUUGACUGUUGAAAUUACUAAAUUACCCUUCCCGCCAAAAUUAUAAGUUAUAAAAUAAGAGAAGAGAACCGAUAAGUAAUAAACUUAACGCUAGAAUCACAAAAGCUAAAAAAAGACCAAAUUACCCAUCUAUGUGAUGUGAUUUCAUUUACAUUAUUUGUUAUUAAAAAAACAGAAAAAAUAAAUUAAAGCUGCCAUUAUUACCGUUGUAAGUAAACGGUAAUAUUUUGAGUAGUAGCAGCAACUAUAAAAGGCCUGGGCAAGUUAGCAAAUGACCAUAGCAGAAUUUCAUCUUCAUCUUCUUCUUACGAUUUUAAGUCAUCAUCCAUUCAACUCUUGAACAGAAGCACUCAUCAUCAUCAUUAAAAGCAUUCAUCAACUCAUCAAAGGAAGCAUUCAAUUCACGACAACAGAAGCAUUCAUCAUCAGCAUCAUCAGAAUCAUUCAUUUAGUUCAUUGACAAAAGCAUUUAUUCAUCAAUUUAAGCAUUCAUCCAACUCACCAACAGAAGCAUUCAACAUAAUCAAGAUCAAACACUAUCUCAACCACAUGGAUUCUGAAAGCUCAAACACAUCCAGCCGAUCAAAUACACAACCAAUUUAUGAGCCAACUUGGAGGAACUUUGUUAAUGGGAGGCUGAUUAAGUUUUCAAAUCGAAUAUGUAGAUGUCGUAUGAGAGCCAAGGUGAUGAUAUCUGAAUCGGAUGAGAAUCCUCACAAGCUUUAUUAUAGAUGCCCGAACAUAACAACAUGCGGAUACUUCAAAUGGUGGGUUCCAGCAAGGGAUGAUUUCAACAAUGGAGCUGUGUUUGAGGGGAAUUUAAGUGCUAUUGUGCAUCAUGAUACCCUAAAUGCUAUUCAAUCAAAUCUGAAAGAAGUGAAGACUAUUAUGAAGAAGCUGCAAAGGUCAGGAUUUGGUGAAGGUGUUGUGAAGAUGAUUAUGUACUUGAACCUAGUUAUGUUUGUGCUGAAUUUAAUUAUGCUUAAGAACUAAUAUGCCUAAGCUAUCCUAUGUUUGCAGAAUGCAGUGAAGUGUAAAAUAUAGUGAUUUUUCUGUGUAAUGUAUUAAUGGAUAAAAAAGAUAAUGCAUGUGACAAUAAUCUAUUAUACAAACUGAUAAUAUUUAGCAUAGUAAGCGAAUAACACAGCACAAGCUCCUGUCCAUAAUUCAGCAAGCACACACAAUAACAAUAAUUUAUAAUUACAAGCUCUUGUCCAUAAUUCAACAAGCACACACAAUAACACAGCACAAGCUCCUGUCCAUAAUUCAGCAAGCACACACAAUAACAAUAAUUCAUAAUUACAAGCUCCUGUCCAUAAUUCAACAAGCACACACAAUAACAAUAAUUCAUAAUUACAAGCUUCUGUCCAUAAUUCAGCAAGCACGCACAAUAACACAACACAAGCUCCUGUCCAUAAUUCAAUCCUUAAAUAGAAUUACAACUAGUAAAUCCCUGAGCAAAAGUAUAAUAACAAUUUCAAGCACAUAACAAGCUUUUGUUAAAACUAACACUAUGAAGCACACACAACAACUCCUAUCACACAGGACAGCCGGUAAAUCCCUGAGCAAAAGUAGAGAUACAAUACAAAUUCAUUCUCAAACUGACAGUAUCAAGCACAAUAAACACAUACAGCAAGUCUCACUUUGUAAUAUCAAGCACAAACAAAGCAAAUUCUAUUGUUUCAAGUGACAGUCGCAAGCACAACAAACACACAAAGUAAGAAACCACGGCAGUAACUAAGUAAUGAAACUACAUAAACUAAAAUCAAUAAAGAACUAUGUAAUAAAACUACAUAAACAUUACUUGUGACUAUAAAUUAUAAAUUCAAAUGCAUUCCAGCAACAAUAAAGUGUCACAUGUCAUUACUGUCGCUACAUUAAUUUUUUCACCAGCUACCACAGCCUCUAUCUCCAUGUAAACAUGACUGCAAGUUAUAAAUAAUAGCACAUGGUAAGCAAAUAACAGCAAAAUCGUAACUAGAAUUGUAUAUUUAUAUAAUAAGAAACAAAUGUAUAUUUAUAUAAAAUUAAUAUAUCAUAAGGGAUGUUAGCAGAUGAACUUUAGUUGACCCCAACCAAAUUAUUAAACUGCAGUUAUCAUUAAUGCAUGCUUGGGCAUUUACAUGCCUUUCGAAAGUUUGUUGCAGAUGGUGAUUAUUCGAUCAUGAGUUGAAACACUUAUAAAUCCAUAACUAAGUUCAUCUACUUGCCAGAAAUCAUUUUGAUUGAUUAGUAACUUAUAACAAGCUUAAUUAACACUAACAGGGGAUGUGGAUGCUCUUUAAUCUAUAUAUAAAUGGGCAACUCAAAGUUAAAAUUUCAUAAAAAAAUCCUCUCAAAUUUGUCGGCUGAAUUAAUUUCAACAAAGUGGUCACUCGUAAAAUUAGAGACGGCCUUAAAUUUACAGUGACAUGUGCAUGCAAAGAUCUUUUAAUCUUUCUUUGAGCUGGGCUUUUAAUCCAUUGAUUGAACAUGGAAUCAUCGUCAUGCUUUGCAGACAACUUUACAAUUUCUUUUUCUUUAUUAUUUUUUUGAGUCUCAGGGUUGGUGGAAAUUGAAACGAAAAACCCAUUUUCAUUUUUAUUAACGCAAAAUCGUCCCACUCAUCUAUUGCAUCUGUUGCAUCUGAUUUAUAUCUUUAAAUUGUAAUAAAUGAGGAUUACCUCUUUUUCGCACCAAUUCCAGUUGCGAUUGAAGGCGUUCGUCGCCGGUACUUAGUUCGUUGCGCACUUGCGCCACCACCAGAGCUCAUCUCGUUACCUCUUUUUUGCACCAAAUCCUUAAUGAAGCUCUCCUUCACAGCUACAUAAAGAUGAAGAUGUUGUUCGGUGUUGUUUACGUGAAAGAGGAGGCUAAGUGUAACAUUCAUUUCGUGAAAAUUUUUAUUUGCUUUUGUCCACUGGUUAUUGCAGAGCACUGGUUAAUGGAGUAAACUCUUACAAUUUUCUCAGGCGUUCAUCCUCACAAAGCUGCACUUUUGAAUUCUUUUGAAUUUUAAAAGGCAAUUUUACAUAUUUACCCUCACAUACUGAUGCCAUACGUAACCGGAUACUAACGGGAGGGGAGGUGGUUGUAAUUAUGUGGAUAUAUUCUCUCUAUAUGUCAAUACGGUAAACCUUAGGGGAGGUCCCUAAAAAUUACCCUAAAAACAAAUUAUAAAUUGUUUAGUGAUCACAAUGGAUCCUGGAAAUGACAACAACUACAUUAUUAUAAUGAGUUUGACAUGUCAUUGUACAUGGAUUCGUUAUGAUGAAUCAUGAAACACCGUUGAGUAGUUAAUUCAGCCACUUUUCACCUAUAAAUUCGAUGGCAUACUUUGAAUACACAACAUGGUUAUAAAUAAAAAUUUAGAGAAUUUUUGUGGGAAAGAAUAAUUUUAUUGACAAAAGAUUAAGUACAAAAUUAUAACAUCUCCAUUUUUAAUAUAGCUGACAUAAGUUAUUUGAGUUAAAAAAAAAAAAAAGAGGGAACUUAGAUACGCCAUAUUAAAUAGGGCAGUAAUAAAAAAAAAUCUAAUUAACAAAAAUUAUUUGAGCAAAUGACAAAUAUUCGCUAAGAAACUCUUUUUCAUUUUUUUCCCAAAUAAUAAUCAAUGUUUUUUUCCACUACGCAUUGAAAGAGCUCGCAUCGACAUCAAUCAUGAACCAGUCGUGGCCUAUAUUGCCUGCAUUAUGAAUACCACCUAUGACCUUUAGAGCCUAACCGUUUAUCUCAGUCUAUUUUUAAUACUCAGUCACAGGUCCAGACCAUUCAAGUUCAGGACAUGACCCUACUAGUCCCAUUAUAUAUCUAUUUAAAUUUCUUUUUUUUAGAAUGUCUAUUUAGAUUUCUUAAAUUUAAAAAGCAAAUCAACAUCUAGCCCUUAAAAAAAAAAAUCUAAAAUCAACAAAGCUAUUAUUUUGAAGAUAUUUUGAAUUCCAAUUCCCAAUUAAAAUCAUGAAUAUAUCAGCUAUAUCAUAGCAUCAGCAUAACUAGUAAGUGGUGACAUCAAAUUUUCAAAUAUUUGGAACUGGAAGCAAAUAUCUAGUUAAUGAUUAAAGUAGCUGACGAAUAAAACCUCUUGUAUUAUCAUAGAGGCUGCCCCAAUAGCUUGCAAUAACUAUGGAUGGUGCAGUAAAGUUUCAGGAUAGAUGAAUAAACUAAAAAGCAAAAGAGAAAUAUCAGUUGCAGCAAGAACUACGUCAUCUCCACCUCGAUUAUUAUUCAAAUAUUAACACCAAAUGGCACUGAACAGCACAAGAGGAAGCAUCAUCCAUAUUUUAAAUGUAUCUGAAUAGCAUAAAUAUGAAAAUCAUUGCAGAAAGUAAAAGAAAAGAAAAAAGUAAAGAGAAAUUUAUCUCACAGCAUUCCUAUUAUUAAAAAUGUGCUCCGAGAUAUAACUUCAUGCACAUUCAGAAGUUCUCAGGCCAAAGAACAUUAUAGCAACUACAAAAACUCAUGAGCCGGCAGGUCUUGUCCCUGUACAAGGUGAAACAACUAAAAUUAUGCUUUUAAGAACUUUGCAAUAACUAAAAUUAUUACUCAAUACAUAUAGAAAACUUGGGCUCUGGAUACCUAUUUUCCCAAAUCUUGGGGUCUGUUCUUUUCUCCUAAUCAGUGAGGUGCAUGUAAAAUAUAUAUACACAGAGAGAUAGAGAGAGAGAGAGAUUAAUUAGUAUACAUUCCAUUGGUAGAGUUUCUAGCUUAGAAUUUAUAUCACAGGAAUUGCAUAUUGAAUUGAAUACAUAUGAGUGUGUAUUUUUAUUGCGGAGUCUAAUGAUAGAAAGCAGGCUUCAUUCAUUUUCAACAACAAGCAUUGCAAAGUUCAAAAUUUAUAUCACGGUUCAAUCAAUAGGGGAAUUCAUUUCCCAUCAAAACAUAGCAUGUGACAAGAAUGAACUCUAUAUAUAUGUAUAUGUGUGUGUGUGUAUAUAUAUAUAUAUAUAUGUAUGUAUAUAUGAACACAGGAAGAAAAUUAUUUCUAUCUGAAAAUCGAGAUCACUCAACCAAACAAUGGUACCUUCCAAUCUACCUAGUGUAUGUAUAUAGGCAUCCACUGAUUGAUACUUUGAAUUUAAUUAAUAAAUCAACUUCAGGUGUCAUGUUUCCACAUUAAAUAGAGAGAAUAACAAUUAACUAGAUAUGACAGAACUGGUUAAAAAUUUGCUCAAAAUAUACUAAAAAGAUCAAAUUUUAUUAUUUUUUACCUGCUUUCAUGUCUCUCCAAUGUCAGAUCAUGUCCUCAAGCAACUCUUUCGGCUUUCUUCGCCCAUUUUUCUUCUUUUUACAGCAUGAAGCUAAUACAAAGCCAAAUGAAAAAGUAGAGUAGUCAUUUCAAAUUCAAUUUAAUUGUCAAUUGAAAAGUUCAAUUGUUACCUUCGUCAACUGUAGAAUCAAUAGUUAAUGAAAUAUACAAUGAGAAGAGUAAAUAUUAAUAACGCACCAAUAUUACAAAUCAAUAGCUAAGGAUCAAGUGAAAUUUCACCUGCAAAUUAGGACAGCCGAGGAAGCAUCCAUAAACAUCGGAAUAAUUAUAUCACUGAAAUUUCAUUAGAGUAAAUUAGGACAGCAGAGAAAAAAAUAAACAAAGCAAUUUGCAAAGGACAAUUUUUCACCUAAUUUUUGUUAAAAAUAUCAAAAACUAAAUUGAAUUUUUUGGAGAGUAAUCAAGUUAUUUAUUUAAAAUACAUUUUUAAAUAUUUUUUUUAGAGUUUUGAACAAGACAAUUUUUUGAUAAUUGAAAUCAAGUACCAAAAUAUUUUUUAUACUGUUUUAAUUUCUCACUAAGAGUUAACUACGUAUUUUUUUUAGCACUGAUAUAUUAAAUAUUAUCAUUAAUAUACUUAUAUUUAUUUAAAAAAAAUCAAAACGCUAUUUCCUUAAUAUCAUUUAUGCAACAAAAUCAUCAAGGGAGCUUCUGUCUUUGUACACUAAAAAAUUAUAUAUAGUUAAUUCACUUGGUCAAAUAUCCAAAUAGUUGAAGUUAGUUUUUAUUGUUUAUUUGGUAAUGAAAUGGGUGCUAAGUGAGGUCUGGUAAAGCCUGAAGGAAUAAAUAGUGAUUUUAGAUUCAUGUGGGUGCUUUGAAUUAAUCAUUUUGUCAAGUUUCGCACCACCGACCCCAUUAAUUUCUAUCCGUUGCAUUUCAGUCAACAAAGCCAACGAAUAAUAGCUGCGGGCUGUCACAAUGCCUGUCAGUUACAGUGUUAUAUAACUUAGCCGCGGCCUUAGUUAGACUCAGUUCGAGCUCGUCUAAAUUUGGAGGGGCUUUUGGAGGGUUUGGGCCUGCUAUCAAUAGCUAAGGCUUGACCUGAGCUUGAAAAAGCCUAUCCCAGACUCUUAAUUUGCUAUCAUAGUUAGAAAGAAAUCUUUUGUAUGUCGAAAGAUUGGGUCCAGUUAUGUUACAACAGUGGUACGGUAUCACUGUUACUUUCAGUCAUUAGAUCUUAUUAAUACAACUGUACAAUUAUAGAUCUAAUGGCUAAAAGCAGCAGUUGUACCGUACCACUGUUGCAACAUAGUUUUGGCCUAAAAGAUUACACAAGUGGUGGAUUUUUGUUUCUUGACUAAUGUCUUUUUUGACCAUUUUCGUAUUUUGGUACAACUCAGAAGCGUGGCGCUUUACUCAGAUACUUAUCAUUGUUUUUUAUUCUUUUAUUUUGUCUAAGUUAUUACUGUUCAAUAUUCUCACUGUAAGGUUGACUUCAAGGGAUGAAAUCGUUUAGAUUAAAAAAAAAUAAAGGAAAUUCAUUCUCUUCAAUUUUUUUUUAUUUGUACUAAUGUUACAAAUAAAAUAUUAAAUAAUUAUUGAAACUAGUCUAUAUUAACUCAUAUUCGAGAAAUGUCUAUCUACUUACAUUUUGUAAGGAAAAAGAUUCUCUCCACUUAAUUGAAGAAACAAUUCACCACGGAUGCAAUAAUUAUUUCUUUAAUUUAAUGUAUUUUUCGAGCGUCUGGCUACCUUAUUCCUUUGUGCUUCAGUGGGAUGCAAUAACUUUUGCUGAUAGCCUGAUAGGCCCUACAAAUCAUAAUUUAGCAUAGAGAAAUGUUGUUACAUGUAGGGAUGAUAAAAAAGCUCGGGCCAGCCUUGUUCAUUUCCGUGGGCUUUUGCUGAAAUUUCCCACGUGAGGGCUUGGACAAGAGUUAAAGGAAAAAAACCUGGACUAGGUCUAACCCCUCUAUUUAAAAAAUAAUAAUAAUUUUAUAAAUUAAAAUAAAAAAUGGAAAAAUGAAAAAAGAAGGCUUAAAUCCCAAAUUCAUUUAUCAAUAACGAUAAACAAAAACUUAAAAUUAUAAUACUAAACUCUUUUUUAAGUGUUAAUUAAUUAAGAGAGUACUUGAAUUAGAAAAUUAAGUAUUAGAAAAUUAAAUCUCUAAAUUUUUAUUUGCUUUAUUUAAUAUUUUAUUUUGAAAUAUUUAUUUUUUUAAAUUCAUUGUUGAUUAUAACAAUUUGAUGAUUAUUAACUCAUUUUAAGUUUACAACAAUUUAAAAAUUUUGAAAAAAAAGUGAAAGCCCAAGCUCGGCCCAGCUCCACAUGGGCUCGGCCCUUACAUUUCCACUCUAAUGGCUUUGGGCUUGGGCUUGAAAAAACAGAACAUGCUCACAUUUUGCUAUCCUUGCCUGCAUGUAAGUUCAAAGUUGCAAAUUGAUGAAGUGGAAAUAUAGAAGAUUGAUAGAUUAGAAACUAAGUUUCUGAAUAAUGAAAUUUUAUUAGAAAAGUCUGAAUGAAUAAAACGAUAGCUUACCCCUUUUCUACUAAUCCCAAACAUCGAGAAUUUAUCAAAAUAGUAAAAUUUAAAAUAUUAUUUUAUAAUAAAAUUCUCCUAAUCUAAAUAAGAAAAACAAAACAAACGACAUCUAAUUUUGAUAUUUAAAAAAAUAAAAUUCUAAAAAUAAUAGAAAAAUAGAAAAACAACUUAAAACUGCAAAAAGACCAAAAAAAGAAGUAGAAUUUUUUACUUAAUUAUGGAGCAAGACAAGGCAAACAUUCUAAGUUUGAUUAGUCUCGUCGUAACUUUUGAAAUGAUAUAUUAUAUGCCUAAAAUGAACAUAUAAAGCCCAAGUUAUAACUCCUAAAAGAUACCUCCUUCAUGAUGAUCCUACGCAACUAUCUUACGUCGAAAAUGAAUGCAAAAGUUACAUUUCAAAUUAAAUUCAAAACAAUCAAUUCAAGCAUUAAUGCUGAGUUUUUUUAACCAAAAUACUCUAAGGAUUUUAUAAAUUGCUUUCUAAUUUUAUUUUGCAAAACACACCAAAUCAAAGUGAUUUUUCUCUUUUCUCUCAAACAAUUUCAACAUUUUGUAAUAGAGCUGAUGACAGGCAUUAGUAAACAAUGUGCAAUAGUAAUGCACAACAAUAUAGAAAAGCAAAUUGGUAAAGUGUAAACUAUGAAAUGAUAAAAUAGAGCCUUUUUUUUUUAAGAUCACAUGUUAAGUUAUUGGCAUAUUUUGUCAGGAUCAUAUACUUUUUUAGAUCUACGUGCUUUUGGUCAAAUUUAAUAUAAUCAAAAGUUUAAAACUGAAGUCCAUAUUCAAUAAUAAUAAACUAAUAAUAAUAGAUAAUGUAAUACUGACUAUUAAUUUAGAUCCUACGAUAUUAAAAUUCUUUUUUAAUACUUAAUAAAAAUAACAACAAUAAUAAGUUUUUUUUAAGGGUUAACUUAAUUGUUAACUUAGACUUACAUUGAGUCAUAAAUCAUAGUUUAUAACAACAUUAAUGCAUAUAUUCAUAAAAAUCAUGAUAUUUAUAAUUUAUUUAUUAAAAUCAUGAUAUCACCUAUUCAUUUAACAAAUUAUAAACAUAAAACAAUUAGAUUUUUUUUAAAUUAAGAAUUAAAUGAAUCUAAAAAACUUAAGCUAAUAAAAUGCAUUAAAGAUUCAAUUUCAAAUUUUUUUGCAAAAUUAUAAUUAUUCGUAAAAUUAUAAAAUUUCAAGUUUACUUUCAUUAAAAAGUUUUUACCUUAAUAUACUUUGACUCGCAUGUUAUUGAUAACGCAUAAGCCAUGUGCUAAUCCUCCAGUGAAACAUUUUUAUUGCGGUCCUUUUCACGUGCUGUGUUUUAGCCUAUCUUUAAUCAUAUCAUGCUUUUAAGGUCCACUUGCCUAAAAUUCUCAACUCAGCCCAGCCCACGUGCAUGCCAUGCCUCGUCGCUUACCCUACCAAAACGUCCUUGUGCCGUGCCACGCUAAACGGAUAUGUGUCGUGCAUGUGUCGUUCCACCUGUCACCUGGCCCAUUAGUCAUCUCUAGAAAACACCAUAUAUUUAUUUAGCGUGUUGCAAGCACUGUGUCGCAAGUUGCUCAAAUUUCCCGCAAACGGAGGCUAAAUUAGCGCGCACGGGUACGCUCAGUAAAAGUCUGCCCAAUAACGGGAUGCACUCAACAGCAAGGUGCGCUGAGCGAUGGGCUGCCUCAUAUAACUAGUGAGUUAUGGUGCACUUAGUAAGUGAAUAGCCCAUAAUCAACAAGCCUAGCCCAAUUUUCAGAUUUCUCUACACCUUGUAAAUGGCUAGAUUUUUAGGCAAGUUGCAUGAACUCUCUAUGAAAUAAGGGUGAGCACCCACUAUUUGCUCACCACCACACCACACACACAACACCUAGCAACUCAAAAACUCUCGUAAAAAUCUCUCUUAUAAUUUCUCUUUUGUGAGCAAUAAAAUAUUCUUUAGCCAUAUUGCUCUCUUCUCUCUAGCAGUAUUGCAAACAUCCUUACUUGGCUAGUUUGAGAAACUCUUUAGGCUUACUUAACAACUUUUGUACUAGAAGUUAUGUAAGUACUGCACGGGGUUGUUGUGCAAAAUAGUCAUCUCGUGACAACCGGCUUAGUUUUGCUUUGCACAUUUGCGCCCACAAUAAUAAAAGCCAAAAUAAGAUAUCAAAAAAUGUUGGGAUUUGACAUCAAGUAGAAGAGGUUUUGCCCACUCCAAAAUCAUCAAAAUGAUUAAUCAUCUUCUAUAUAACCUGAUGAUUUUUUUAACCUUUGAGAAAGCAACCACAGAGGUGGAACAAACUUCUACUCCUGGGACCUGACAUACGGUUAAUGAAGAAGGGUAAUUUCGUAAAAUUCCAAUCAAAAUUAGAAAAAAGGCAAGCCAUAUUCAAAAGUCAAUCUUGAUCAAACAAACGGCAGGAGGGACAUCUGUAAUUACAGCAUUUUCGAGGAAUUGUUUCUAAAAAUAACUAAAACGGGAAAACCCGAAUGGGAAAAUUGGAAAGCGACAAACACGAAAGUUCAAAGUUUGCUUGGUUGGGCUAUGUUCUGCGAGUGGGAGAGACCGAUUGUAGAAAGGGUUUCUUUUUUUCUUUUUUUUUUCAAAUAGACAUAUAGCCACGUGUUGUCUCAUAUAAAAAAUAAUACUUUAUAUAAGUCCUAGGUCAGUUGGGCUGGAAAACAUUUAAAAUCGAACAUAUCAGGCACGUUGUAAGUUCGCAAUUGGAGAAUCAUGUUGUCAGCCCCGCAACCCCCAAAUGGGAACUUUAGAUAGAAAAAUAUAGCAUCGCAAUGAUAAUAUUUAUUAAUAAUAAAUUUACUUAUUACAAUUGUUCUUGUCAAAGACUCUUUGAUGGUAUUUCAUGUGUUGAAAAAAUAUAAAAUAGUUUCAUUAUCAAUACAAUUAAAAACAUAUUUUUUAAUAUAUACAACUAAAUUAUCACUUGAUUUGUUCUUAAAAUGUUUUAAUAAUAGCAAAAAUAUGGAUAUAAUGCAACAUGAAGAACAAAUAUGAAUACACACACAUUAGGGAAUGGCAAUGGGAAGAAUAGGAGAGGGGACCGACAUCUCCAUACCCAUUUUCGAUAUUCUGUAUAUGUCCUCAUCUCCUCCCCAUUCCAUCAGAAUUACUUGAGAAAAUUUUCAUCCUCUCCCCAAAUAAUAACAGGGGAUUCCUGAGAGUCCCCGAUCUCCAAGUAAUUAAUAUAUUUUUAAUUUUUAAUUUUAAUUAAUUAUAUUAAAAUAAUUUUUUUAAUAAAAGUAGAAUUAAGGCGGUAGCUAGCUACCAUAGAAAAUUAGAAAUUAGGUUUUACGAUUUUGCCUUAAUUUUUGUUUUAUUAGAUAAACGUUUAAAAUAUUUAAUGAAUAUUAUAAAUUAAAAAAAAAAUUGGGCCAACAAGAUCCUGUCUGGCUUUUUUUAUGUCCUGAAUAGAUAUUUAAAAUUAUAACUAGUUAAGCAGGCUCAUUAAAGCAUCUGACAAAUUGUUACAUACAACCAGGAUAAUUAGAGUGCUAAUCAAAUAACCCAAAUUAUAGAUUCCCUAAUCAAACAAACAUAACAAAAAAAUUUUGAAAUGCAAUUUUUUUUUUCAGAAAUGCGAAUUGGCACCAAAUAAAAUUGAGCAAAAGCUAAUGCUGUCCUACAAGUUGACAUGGUCCUCCUUUAGCAAGGUUCAAAUAGGGAAGACCAUAGUAAAAAUAAGAGGAAAUAAUUUAACUUUAUCUAUAAAUCCUACAAUUUAGAUGCUAGUAAAAUAACUCCAAUCUGAAGCAUCAAAUGUACAAGAUUCGCCUCAUCAAAAAAAAAAAAAAAAAUGUAUAAGAUUCGUAAGUAAAAACAGGUUACACGAUUAGUUAUUACCUCGAUUACGUUGUAUAUAUUGCAUGGUAUACCUAAUCAGACAAAUAACGUGGACAUGAAGUGAAUAACUUAAUUUGAAUCUUGCUAUUUUAUUUUAUAAUUUUAAACUAAUUAAUUCAUGCACCCACAUUAUGCUUGCAUUAAGUGGAUACAAUACAACAGAAGUAUUCUACAAUCUCUUAUACGAAGAUUCUUAAUUCAUACUCUUAUUGGGGACUCUUUUUAAAAUUGACCUUUUCAUAAUAUUAUUUGUGAAGUAUAUUUUCAAACUAAUUACAGAAUAAUUUUAAAUUAUUGUAUAAACCGAUGAUUGAUAACACCGGGUAGACUAAUGAGACAAAGUCAAAACCAUUAGCCGGUCCAACAGCUCCACUCAUGUUAGCUUCCGUAAAGCACAACUCUAUCGACUCUCGUGACGUCUAGCAUCUUCGUUUAUAAAUACCCCACCUUCAGCCUCUCGACUCUCUCAAGACACUCCGACAGCAAGACUUCAGUUGGGGUGGGAACCGUUGGUGCUGGAAGAGGUGGUAGUCAUGGAAGCAAACAAUAUGGAGAUAUCGGCGGAGGCUGGUGGCCAGCCCCGCCGGAAGCUAUGAAUAUCCUCAACUGGAAUGUUCGGGGUCUGGGGAAUCCCUGAACAUUUCAAGCCUUAAGAAAAAUCCUCCAAUUGCAUGGUGCUCAGCUGGUGUUUUUGUGUGAAACAAAGGUAUCAACCAUGCAAAUGAAUGUGAUUGCAAAUAAGCUGAGUUUUGAGAAUUGCCUUGCGGUGAACUGUAAUGGAAGAGGAGGCGGAAUAGCAAUGCUCUGGAAGUCAGAUAUUGGGGUGCAAAUCAAUUCAUAUAGUUAGCACCACAUUGAUGCCGAAACUCAAAUGCCAAAUGGAAAUCGAAUGCGAGUUACAGGAGUGUACGGACAUCCGGAAACAGGUUAGAAAAAACACACUUGGAUGCUCCUUAGGCGGCUAGCGGUUUUAUCUUCUAGCCCUUGGUUGUGUUGUGGAGACUUUAAUGAAAUUUUACAUCCGGAAGAGAAGAGUGGCGGCAAUGACAGGAACGUGAAUUUAAUUAAUGAUUUCAGAGAAGUUUUGAGAGAUUGUGGGUUAAAGGAUGUCGGGUAUCGGGGGUAUGCUUUUACUUGGAAUAAUGGAAGAUAUGGGAAGGGAUUCGUUGAAGAAAGGUUAGACAGAUUUGUUUGCACAAAAGCUUGGAGUGACAGAUUUGUGGACUGUGAAGCAAGCAACCUGGACUUCGGAUCAUUGUCCCGUGUUGAUGGCUGUUCAAGUGAGAAGGGAGAGCAUGAACCAAAGGGGUAGACAUUCCUCGCGAAUCCAUUAUGAGGAUAUGUGGAGCUCGUAUGAUGUAUGCAAAGAAAUAAUUAAGGAGGAAUGGAGUUGGUUUAGAAACUGGAGCAGUGAAGAUCCAGCCCAAUCCUUUCGACAAGCAACAAAAGUUUCGAUGGGUAGGCUGUUGGGGUGGAGCAAGCUGGAGUUUAAAAAAGCGUGACAGAAAAUUAGAGAAGCUAAAGAAUCAGCUGCAGUAGUUAAAACAAAGAAGGGUGCAAUAUGAAAGUGGUGAGGAAAUUCGGAAGGUGGAGAAGCAAAUCCAAAAUAUUCUCAUGGAUGAAGAAAUCUACUGGAAGCAACGCUUAAGAGCAGAUUGGCUCAAGGAGGGGGACAAAAACACAAAAUUCUUCCACGGCAAAGCGACGGCAAGAAGAAAAAAAAAACAGAAUUUGGGGGAUUGAAGAUAAUUUCAGGAGAUGGAUUGAGAAGCCAAAAGAAGUAGAGCAUGAGUUUUGCAACUAUUUCACCAAUCUUUUUACAUCAACCCAGCCAAGCCAAGAUCAAAUUGCAGCAGCCUUGGAAGGAAUAACUCCGAGAGUUUCAGCUAGCAUGAAUGAGAGUUUGGGGGAGUCGUUUACAGCCGAGGAAGUCUUGGAAGCUUUGAGUCAAAUGUGCCCAACGAAGGCUCCGGGGCCGGAUGGUUUGCCAGCAGUGUUUUACCAAAAGCAUUGGCAUACGGUUAAGGAGGGAGUGCUCACCACUUUUCUGCAUAUCCUCAAUUCACAAGGUACCAUAGGCCCUCUAAACCACACUUACAUUGCUUUGAUACCAAAAAUCGGAAAGCCUAGGAAAGUGACAGACUUUAGGCCUAUUAGUUUGUGCAAUGUUAUCUAUAGAAUUGUAGCUAAAACAGUUGCUAAUAGAUUUAAGCAAAUUUUGCACAAAAUCAUCUCUUCGUCGCAAAGUGCCUUCAUCCCCAAUAGGUUGAUCACUGACAACAUCAUAGUUGGCUACGAAUGUUUGCACAAGAUAAGGCAUUGUAAAGGCAAGCGAAAUGGAUUAAUUGCAUUAAAGCUUGAUGUUAGUAAAUCUUAUGACAGAUUGGAAUGGAAUUUUUUAGAGCAAACUUUGAAAAAACUAGGCUUCUCGCAUCAAUGGAUUAGCUUGAUCAUGAGGUGCAUUAGUUCGGUUUCAUUUUCUGUGUUAAUAAAUGGCUCAGUGAAAGGCUUAAUUAAACCCAAAAGGGGCUUAAGACAAGGUUGCCCCCUCUCUCUGUAUUUGUUUAUUACAUGUGCAGAGGCUUUUUCCUCAUUGCUGCAGCAGGCUGAGCAACAACGACUUAUUCAUGGGCUAUCAUUUGGAAACGAUUUGAAGAUUUCGCACCUUUUAUUUGCUGAUGACAGCCUUGUCUUCAGCAGAGCUUCCAUGGCCGACUGUCAAAAUUUGAAGAUGAUCCUUGAGCGCUACUCCACAGCUUCCGGUCAAAUUUUUAAUUUCGAGAAAUCUUCUCUUUUUCUCAGUGGCAACGUACAUCAAGAUCAAGCUGAGGCAAUUGGGAAUCUCUUUCAGCUCAAUAUUGUGUCGAGACAUGAAAAAUACUUAGGCUUGCCAUCUAUGAUCGGGAGAAAGAGGAGCAGUUUUUUCAGUGACAUCAAGCUGAAGGUUUUCAAUAAGAUCUCAAGCUGGCAGCAUAAAUUUUUUUCUUGCGGAGGGAAAGAAGUCUUAAUCAAAGCGGCUGUUCAAGCCAUCCCAGCCUACGCAAUGAGCGUUUUUAAAAUUCCGAUGGGUGUUUGUGAUGAUAUUAAAAAAAUGGUGGCAAAGUUUUGGUGGGGCUCCAAGAGGGAAGGGAGGAAUAUUCACUGGGCGAAGUGGGAAAAGAUGAGUCAAGCUAAGUGUAAUGGAGGGAUGGGAUUUCGUGAUUUUUCAAGUUUUAACCGAGCCCUUCUAGCAAAGCAAGGCUGGAGGAUUCAGCACUGUCCAGACUCGCUGGUGGCAAGGGUCCUGCAAGCCAAGUAUUUCCAGUCAAAAAAUUUCUUGGAUGCAAAGCUCGGCUCAAACCCUUCAUAUAUUUGGAGAAGCAUUCUGUGGGGAAGGAAAGUAAUUUGCUCGGGCUCUAGGUGGAGAGUUAGCAAUGGUCAGAAAAUUCAUAUUCAUAAGGCUAAUUGGAUCCCACGGCCUUCCACAUUCCAACCAGUGGUUAAGCCAACUUUGCCUUCUGAUGCUAUGGUCUCUGAAUUAAUCAAUGAGGCAAACUGCUGGGAUAAGAAGAGGAUUUAUGAGCAUUUCGACAAAAUGGAUGCUGAUUUAAUUACUAAGAUUCCUCUGCCUCGAAGACCAAGGGAGGAUGAGCUGAUUUGGCAUUAUGAAAAAAAUGGCCAGUUCUCGGUUAAAAGUGGGUACCAAACAGCUCUCCAAAUAAAGUUUCCAGCCAUGCCUUCAAGCUUAGUGGUUUCCAAAAAUGAGUGGAAUAUUAUUUGGUCCCUUGCUUUGCCUCAAAAGAUCAAAAUUUUUGCCUGGAGAGCAGACAAAAACCAACUCCCCUCAGCUGAGAAUCUGUGGAAGAAAAAGAUAAUCCAGGAACCCACUUGCCAAGUGUGUGAAAUGGGAACGAAAAAUGCUUUUCAUGCUCUUGUGGCCUGCAAAUCGGCUGAGAAGGUAUGGAAGCUAAUCCAUUUUGAAGAUGAUAUUCAUGCAGCUCACAAUCAAGAUAUUUUAAGUUUGCUGCAUGCUAUGAAAAGAAUGAGAAGCAGAGCUGACCUGGAGCUGUUGGCAACAAUUUUUUGGGUAAAAUGGAAUGCUAGGAAUCAGUUGCUUUUCAAAGGAAAAAGGGAGAACCCCCAGAUUAUGGUAGCUAAAGUUGAAGCUAUGAUUGCAGCUUAUAAGAGGGUGCAUUCUCCAGCUGAGGCUUGCAGUGAAACAGAGCAGAGUGUACCUUCCCAGACAUGGAAUCCCUCUCAAGAUGGCUUCAUAAAAGUAAACAUUGAUGCAGCUAUCAGCUUCGAAAAGAACAUUGUAGGGCUGGGGGCAGUGAUCAGAGAUGAUUCGGGGCAUGUUACAGCAGUUGCUAUCAAGGUUUCUAAGUUUCAUGGAGAUGUUUCUUAUGCGGAAGCAGAAGCUAUGGAAUGGGGUAUGUUAGUGGCGAGAGAAGCAAAAGUGAAAGCUGUAAUUGUGGAAUCAGAUUCUCAAAGUGUGGUCAGUUUAGUUAACAACAAGCAGGGCAGCAGAUCCGAGAUCUAUUGGGUUGUUUCAGAAAUUCAGAAGGUAGCGGAAAACUUCGAACGUGUUAGUAUUAAGUAUACGCCUAGAUCUUGUAAUGUUAUUGCCCACUCUUUAGCUAAGUUAGCUUUAGAGAAGUGCGAGACUGUUGUGUGGAAGGGUUCAUACCCUUUACAAGUGAUGUAUCUCCUUUCAUCGUUGAUUUAAUUGAAAUCUCUUUUCAAAAAAAAAAAAAAAAAAAAGACACUCCAAAAAAAACUCCAAAGUCCAACAACAACAUUUUACAAUCUCUCUCAAUUUUUCUCGCUUCAGUUUACCAUCCUCGAACACGAACACGAACACGAACAUGAAUUAAGUUAAUUAGUUUAUGGAACACAAACUCAUCAUCAACAUCAUGUCCUAAUUGAAAAAGAAGGAUUGCGAGGGAAACUAAGCAUGUGCCUUCAUUUUCACUUGAAAUAAAGCGCGAUGGAAAGAUCUUAUGUUAUCACAUGAUGCCGUGUGAUCACCUAGAAGCCCUUCCACGCACAUUUCUUCUCAAAUUGUCUUCUUCUAAUUUCUUGGGUCACCGCGAAACCACAAUGUCAAUGCGAGGAUGAGCGAGUGUUGUUCAGCUUGUAGUUUUUGGAGCCGGUCCUGGGCUUUCUUUAUUUUUUUCAUCUUCUGCUGGUAGGCAUCGCCAAAAGGCAAAGAGAAUCCUCUGGUGUUCGUGGAGUUGGUCCUCGAUGCGAUUGAUUUCUUCUCCAAGUUGAGCAAGCCUUUGUGCCAUAGCCAUCAUUAUUUGCUUUCGAUCGAGCACUUUUCAUCUGCAACCAAAUGUUUCAUCAAUAUUUUGAAGUAUACACACUUGUUUCAACAGCUAUCCGGAUCACGUUAAAAGACAAUUUUGCCCUCACUUAAAGUGUAAAAUCACUAAAAAAGCCACAACAGUAGUUUCAAAUUCCAAUUGACUUGGGUGGAUAUUAAAAUUUCUUAAAGGUUAAAAAAAAAGUAAAAAUGUUUUGUUAUGGGAAUUGAAAUAUCCCCUAUAUCUUCAUCCAUAAUCGUCUAUCCAUGAUAACAAUUUAAUAAACUUGAAAAAGCAAGAUAUCCAAUCCCAGUGAAUCAAACAGCCAAUUUUCUUCAUAAAGUUUAGCUUUUGCUUUUAAAAAUUUUAACUCUUGAGACCUUAAAUAAACUCAUAUUCAAAUUUACAUUUUCUAUAAUGAAAAUCUUCAAUUUACCCUUUUAAUAUUUUGAAAAACGGGUCCAGCUACAAUACAAUUGUAGUUUCAUACCUAUUUUUUUGUCUUUUUGUGAUCCAACCAUUGGAUCCAACCUAAGAGUUGCAAAGUCUAUUCCAACAACUUGGAUGUUAUUAUUUGGUUAUCAACAAUAUGGUCCCUUAUGUUUACUAAAAGAAUAAGAAAAAAUUAAAUUUCAAAAUUUUGACACAUUGGUCCGUUAAAAUAUUUUAUUAUCAAAGGUAAUUUAGUAAAUGAACAUAUUUAUAUAUUAAAAACAUGGAUGAAUUAUUUUAACUUGCUAAAAUACUCUCAAAUUCCAUUUACUUAAAAUACGAAUUAGAUUUAAUAAUACUAUUUUGUAUUUAGUGUAACACAAAAUUAGACAAGUUUUUAUAUAAAUUUUGACAAUAUUAAAAUGAAAAAUAAAUAAAUAUUAAACAAAUGCUUGGAUAGUCAUUUAAAUUCAUUAUAGAGCUUAUAAAUAAUAUUUUCAAAAUAAUAAAUUUCUAUAUGUAAAUUUGAAAUUAUGUAAAAUUACUUAGACUUUAUCACACAUAUGAAGCUGAUCAAUUAUUUAUUUGAUCUGAAAAUAAAUUAAUUGUAUAAUAUUUAUUCUAUUACUUAAAUUUAAAAUUUGUUGAGAAGGAGAUAGAGAGAAUAUUUUUUUUAGAAUUUUAAAUUAUUAUAUUUUAAUUGGGUUUAUUACAUAAAAUUAAGUUUUUAUUAUUUGCAUAAAACAAUAGGAAUUGUUGAAGAAAAUGCCAAAUAAAUUUUUUAGAAUUUUGAAAUUAUUAUAUUUUAAUUGGGGCUUAUUGUAUAAAAUUUUUAAAACUUAUAAUUUUUAUUAUUUACAGAAAACUACAGGGACUGCUAAAGAAAAUAUCAAAAUAGUGUUUGGUACAACGGGGUAAGAUAGUUUUGCUCUUGAAAAACAUUAAUUUACUUCUAUUUAUCAGUCAAAAGACUAAAAUAAAUGGAGAUAUGAUGAUGAUAAACUUUUUAACUUUUUAGUGGUAUUUGAUAAAUAUAAAUAAAUUGAAAAUUCUCGCUUUUACUUUUUAUUGGGCAUAAGUUAAAAAUCUUACUCUCUAUUUAUUAUGCUUUAACAAGAGAAAGAAAGAAAACGGAAAACAAAUCUCUUCUAUAGCAGUCUUAAAAAAAUUUUCAGCUGAGACUUAACCCAUAAAUUUUUAAAAACUUUUUGGUGGAUUCAUAUACAUUGAACUAGUCUUCUUUCUAUAUUACAUGGAUUAAAUUUUGAAAUUAGGGCAACCUAUUGUUAAAUCUGCCUUUCAAAUUAUUGACUUAAUAUUGCCCAAAAAAAAAAAAAAAAAUUUUCCUAUUACAGAAUUUUUCAUUGUUGCAGGAAACUGGAGUCGCAGCUGACAGUGCUCAAGGGCAAUCCUUAAAUUAAAUUUCAUUGCAAUCUUUGAAAUUUAAAUUAUUUGAGAAAAAAAAAAUCUUUGCAUAAUAUUGAACAACGCAUUUUCUUGUAUAAUAUCAAUGAAACAAUGCAUGUGAGGGGAAUAAAAAGAAUAAGACAGUAAUUAGCACUAUUUCAAGCAAAGAAAUCUGGGCACUAAUAUAUUUUCUCUGUUACUUUGCAAAAUUACUGCAUGUACAUGAGAUGAUUGCUUGCUACUGUAGUAUUGUGUAAGGUGAAACAUUUGAAGAAGAAUCCUUCUAAACUGGUAGUGUUGGUCGUUGUUGUCCUGCCGAGGAAGUGUCAUUAGAUUGAAACCUACUGCAAAUAUUGAUACAAAAUGGCUUCAAGGUUUCGUUGUAGAGCUGACGACAAGCUUCUGUAAGCAGCGCCCCAUAUUGAUGCACAACAAUGAUAAUGGACGAGCAAAGCCAUGCAGUGUACAAUAUGAUAUGACCAAUAUCAGAGCGUGGAACAAAUGUGGAGGCUAGCGAGACUGCAGAAACAGAUCCGGAGACUCGUGCUACAAGGGCCCAAGAUUGGGAAGAAUUCUCUUGAUGAGCUAAAUGUGCAUAACAAUAAAUGGCUGUGGUUAUGAGAAAAGACCAUAUAUUUGUUGUGUGUGUUUCAAGCAAGCGCUCAGUUGUGCCUUGCGUAUUUGCUCCCACGAUGCCGAUGAGAGCUGGAAUGAGAUAUCCAAACACGUUAUGGUAUGCGUUUGACAUCGCAGAUAAAUAAAAUUUGUUCCUGCAGAACCAUUAAAAUACUAUAUUAAGGAAAGUAUUAGAUCCAUUCCUUUAGAAAAACAGGAAUUUAAGAGAUCAUUAUGUAUUUAGUCUCAUUUAAUAUUAGUUUAAUUUUUUCAAGUCAUAGUUAUUGUGAAAAAAAAAUUAUUAAAUACUUUUAUUGAUUGGUAAGGAUUUAAAAAGGAAAUUUGGGAUUUUUUUUUUGUUUUCUUGUGAACAUUGACGGUAUAUAUGUAGGGUAAAGUUUUAUUUUUAAAUACACGUUGUGGCUCAGGUCAGAGAGAGAAGGGAGACGGUCAAGAUUGCUGGGUUGACUUUCUUUUCCCGUCAGCCAUUUUGUAAUAGAUUGAUCAGAGCAAUCAUUACCUGCAAAACUUAACACAGCACCAAAUUAACAACCAACAUUUCAAUUGAAACAAAUCUACUUGAAAAUAAAAGAAAAAGCAACUCCAAAUCAAAAUCGAAAUGAAACCUUAUCAGAGAGACAGCCGCAAGUAUGAAGAGACAAGCACGAUCCUGAAGGACUAUUACUCCAAAUCAAAAUCGAAUUAUAAGAGAGAAAGCCGCAAGUACGAAGAGAGAAGCGCGAUCCUAAAAGAUCUGAAGUCGUGUUGUAUAUAUGUCUUGUAUAGAUUGACAGAGCAAUCAAAGGCCGUGUCGACCAGAGCAAUCGAAGAGUAGAAGAGAUAAGAGAGGAAAAAAGAAGAAGAGGAGAACUGCAGCAGCAAAUGAGCAAGGGCAGUAUUUAUAGGACAAACUGAGGCCUAUAAAGGGUCCACUAGUGGACCAGAGCAAUCAAAUGUGGAUUUGAGACUAAAUAUCGACGAAGCUUUUGUGUAUAUAUUGUUUUCGUGAACUUCUCAUCUUUUAUUUAAUUGAAUUGAUAAAGGUAAUGCGAUGGAGUUGGAGUUUUACAAAGUAACUCCAAAUUUUACAAAGUAACAUCGAUAAAGUAGUAACAUCGAUAAAGUAACAUCGAUAAAGUAAUAUUGUAAGUAAGGAAAAAAGCCAAUAUUUUCCAUGUUAGGAACAUCGAUAAAGUAGUAUCAUGAUCUUCAAAUUCAAUAAUUCGGUACUGGAUUUUUUAAUAGCUGAUGGUGGUGGAAUUUCUGCAUGAAAAAGGUAGGAUAUAAACCAGAAAAAUCAAUAAAGCAUGUCAUGCAUGUUACAUUGCUACUCCAAGCGAGUAAAUUUUUCUACAUCGGAUAUGACUUGUUACGAUCAAGUUAAUAAAAGUUCAAAUCAAGAAAGAAAUCUCGACGUAGACUAUGUCGUGGACAGCGGGACACGUAUGAUGAAUCAGAUGCUGGUUACUCUUCAUAUAGUUCCUGUACAACAUAAUGAUUACUUACAAUAUUACUUUAUCGAUGUUACUUUAUCGAUGUUACUACUUUAUCGAUGUUACUUACUUUAUCGAUGUUACUACUUUAUCGAUGUUACUUUUCAAGUAGAUUUGUUUCAAUUGAAAUGUUGGUUGUUAAUUUGGUGUUGUGUUAAGUUUUGCAGGUAAUGAUUGCUCUGAUCAAUCUAUUACAAAAUGGCUGACGGGAAAAGAAAGUCAACCCAGCAAUCUUGACCGUCUCCCUUCUCUCUCUGAACUGAGCCACAACGUGUAUUUAAAAAUAAAACUUUACCCUACAUAUAUACCGUCAAUGUUCACAAGAAAACAAAAAAAAAAUCCCAAAUUUCCUUUUUAAAUUCUUACCAAUCAAUAAAAGUAUUUGAUAAUUAUUUUUUUUCACAAUAACUAUGACUCGAAAAAAUUAAACUAAUAUUAAAUGAGACUAAAUACAUAAUGAUCUCUUAAAUUCCUGUUUUUCUAAAGGAAUGGAUCUAAUACUUUCCGUAAUAUAGUAUUUUAAUGGUUCUGCAAGAACAAAUUUUAUUUAUCUGCGAUGUCAAACGCAUACCAUAACGUGUUUGGAUAUCUCAUUCCAGCUCUCAUCGGCAUUGUGGGAGCAAAUAUGCAAGGCACAAAUGAGCGCUUGCUUGAAACACACACAACAAAUAUAUGGUCUUUUCUCAUAACCACAGCCAUUUAUUGUUAUGCACAUUUAGCUCAUCAAGAGAAUUCUUCCCAAUCUUGGGCCCUUGUAGCACGAGUCUCCGGAUCUGUUUCUGCAGUCUCCUUGAUCUCCACAUUUGUUCCACGCUCUGAUAUUGGUCAUAUCAUAUUGUACACUGCAUGGCUUUGCUCGUCCAUUAUCAUUGUUGUGCAUCAAUAUGGGGCGCGGUUUACAGAAGCUUGUCGUCAGCUCUACAAUGAAACCUUGAAGCCAUUUUGCAGUCAGCUCUAUAACGAAACCUUGAAGCCAUUUUGUAUCAAUAUUUGCAGUAGGUUUCAAUCUAAUGACACUUCCUCGGCAGGACAACAACGACCAACACUACCAGUUUAGAAGGAUUCUUCUUCAAAUGUUUCACCUUACACAGUACUACAGUAGCAAGCAAUCAUCUCAUGUACACGCAGUAAUUUUGAAAAGUAACAGAGAAAUCAUAUUAGUGUCCAGAUUUCUUUGCUUGAAAUAGUGCUAAUUACUGUCUUAUUCUUUUUAUUCCCCUCACAUGCAUUGUUUCAUUGAUAUUAUACAAGAAAAUGCGUUGUUCAAUAUUAUGCAAAGAUUUUUUUUUUCUCAAAUAAUUUAAAUUUCAAAGAUUGCAAUGAAAUUUAAUUUAAGGAUUGCCCUUGAGCACUGUCAGCUGCGACUCCAGCUUCCUGCAACAAUGAAAAAUUCUGUAAUAGGUAAAAAGUCUCUUUUUUGGCAAUAUUAAGUCAAUAAUUUGAAAGGCAGAUGUAACAACAGGUUGGCCUAAUUUCAAAAUUUAAUCCAUGUAAUAUAGAAAGAAGACUAGUUCAAUGUAUAUGAAUCCACCAAAAAGUUAUUAAAAAUUUAGGAUUUAACACUUGGAAAUGGCAAUUAGGUACUACCUCAAGAGAUUUUACAGCUUGAACCAACCAAGGGGGUAUGUUUGCAAUUGCUGUGACUAAGUAUAAAUAGAUGGUUGGUCAGUGGUAAGAACCAGCCUUCUAGCAUCUUUAGGCACAAAGAACUCAAGAAAAAACCCCACAUGAGACACAAGACCCAAUGCUCAGCAUGCAGCAAGCUUAUCUAGAUUCAGGUGCUUUAAGAAUCAAAUUCACAUUACAUGAAAAGUUCACUAUUCAGAAUGGCACUCUGUAUGACAGCAAAGAGAUAAGUGGAAGAAAAAAAAUCUGAAAAUCAACAUACCUUUUUCUUUGUGAUUAGGUAGUCGAACCCCACUAACUCGCUUAUUUCAAGCAGCCAGGUCAGCUCAACACGGUCGUCUUGUAUCCUUCAAGAUGCACAACCCUUGUGAAAUUUCCAUCCUGGUUCCUACUAAUUUGCUCCACAAUUGCAUUCCCAAUCUAUUUAUGUGAAUCGUAUUUCCAGAGAUCAACUCGGCAUUGGCAAGGUCCAUCCAUAUUGUUUUUGCAUAUGUUGUAGCUUUCACUCCUACACCUUUACGCGUCUUAUGCCUCAGUUUGAUGCGAACUCAUGGUUUGUCAAGGCCAUUGGUAAGAGUCAGUCAGUCAGCAAUAGUAAUAUCUGCCUUUCUUCAAUCACAGCAGCGAGUAUAGGGCACGCAGGAUUAAUAAUCUUCUUAUUAAUAUAGUAGUUCAAAGUUUGUCACAUUCCAAAUGGUUGAGACUGUUUGAAGCCACCAGAAAAAGUAAAUAUACAAAAGUCAGUCUUCCACUUAACUGAUAGCAAAUACUAUAUGAAAUAUGAAAAAUUACUUCAGCUACAUUGUCUUACCAGUUCAAGGAUAAACUGCAACAGAGAUUCAAUUUUCAGUCUCCUACGAAUAAUUCUUUGGAGGGCCAAAAAAAGAGGAUUAUCUAAUCCAUUAUGUACAAACCACAAAAGCUUGCUGAGAGGCAUAUUACACCAUUUUCAACCAGUUAAACUCAUAAAUUUGAACCUUUAUACUCUCAUAUCCUCUUGAACCAUAUGGUAUUGGGCAUUACGAGCAUUGUACUCACCAGAUCUCAAACUAAAAGACAUGAAAGUUAAUCCAUAAGGUAGGUAUAUCUUGUAAUUUGACCUGAUUUGAUCGUGGGAUCUGGGCUGCAACAACUGGACGGGAUCUCAAAGGGACUUGCUGGAAUCUUGCAUGUUCAACUUCCUGCUACGACACCACUAUUAACAUCCCAAUUUUCUUAUGAAAACACACGGAGAUAAUAGAAUGAUAUCUCAAUGCUUCAAGCCAUUCACAAACAUUUUCCAUGUAAUUGGUUGCAAUAUCAGACGAGCUUAAUCCUGCCACCAAUAAUCUGCUUCACCUUGAAGCACGAAUAAGGCAAACACGCUAUCCUCCACUCGUCAUUCGGCCUCAACAGAUCACUGGGGGAAGGUUAAAGCUCGUGUGAUGAGUUGUUAAAGGGAAAAUACCCAUUUUGAUAAAUAUGCCAAGAAGAAAUCACUACAGUCAAAGGGUAUAAAUAUCCUAAUACAAGUCUAUGUGAUCAUUUCUAAAACCACGCAAAGAAGUCGGUGUCCUUUCCCCACAACAAUAAAUAGAAAUCACCAUACUUCCAUGAUUAUCCAAAGAGCGCGAACCCUGCCACAUCAUAAAAACUAUUAUAAAUCUAUUUACAGAAUUUCACCAAAUCAAGAAUAAACUUGACUGAAAGGAGGCAUCGUGUGAUAUUUGCAUCCCCACAAUUUCUUAUCAGAUUCGAUUCAUAAAACAAAUAGGAACACAUAUAAAAUUCAAAUAAAAUUCUUUCAAAAAAAAUUUCAGUGCAGUGGAAUUGAAUUAAUCUGAAGGAAAAAAAAAUGGUUGGUAUGUGGAAAUUAUACUUGAAACGUUGUCGUUUUUGGCAUAAUUGCUGUGAUAUAUUUAUUUGUUUGUGUUUUUAUUUCUUUUUUCUGGGUUUUAGGGUCACAAUCGGAGAGAGAAGACAAGGUCUCGUUGGAACUCUCUGAAGAAGUUCUUCAGAGCAUGGAAAUGGGCAUUUCUUUUAGAGAUUAUGUAAGAGAAUCUUCUAAUAAGUUUCUGUCUGAGGAACAUACUUGAUUUGCGUUUUAAAUGUAUCUGUUUGUUAAUUCAGUGUCGUUUUGUAUUGAUUCGUACUGUAACAGAAUGGGAGAAUUAUUAGUUCCUUGGAUCUUCAUAAAUCAUCGAGUUAUUUGGUGACGGCUAGUGAUGAUGAAUCUAUACGGCUGUACGAUGUCUCUGCUGCCACGUAAGUUGAUCCUCUGUUUCUUAGGAUUUUAUGUUGUCUCUUGGGAAGUGCUUUUAACUAAGAAAUGGCUUUUGAAUAAGCAUAAAAAGCUGGUUUCAAUCUUGCAAUGUUUGUUUGAAAUUGCAGGAAUAAUAAAGUGUCUUUUGAAAUCAAAGGAACCCUUGAAGUGUUUUUCUGGGGAAGUGCUUGAUAUCUGCUUUCAUGGAUAGAACUUUUUGGAUUAGGAAACCACUUGUAGUGCUGUUUGAAGAAGUGCUUCAUAUAUGUUUCAAAGUGAUUUUACUCGAGGGUACUUUCCAUUAAAGCACUGCUGAACGUAUCCUCUGCGUGUUUGAUGAGCUCAUGAAAGCUACUGUCUUUCUAAGAUGGAGAAAAAUGCUUUUUAGAUGAAACAGAAAAAAAAAAAAAGGAGAACCUUGGAGUGGUUUUCAGGGAGGUGCUUAAGGGAAAUGUAAUUGAUAUAUUUUUCAAGAACUUUUGUAAAAGGGCCUUUUCUUUUUCUUUUUUGUUUUGUUUGCAUAAGCUCUUUCUAUAAGAGCACUGCCAAAUGCACUUCAGUUGUCUUAGCUGAGCUCAUGAUAGUUGGUAUUGCAAUUGUUGCUGAGAGCCUUAAUUGAAAUUUCAGAUGUUUGAAGACAAUUAACAGCAAAAAAUAUGGGAAUAUUUGUGUUUUGUUUGUUGGUGGAUUGCUUUACUAGGCACUUAUUUGAUACGUUCAUUUAUUCAGAAUCUCUACGGCUUCUUUCCUCGCACGAUAACAAGUACUUGCGUUACUUCAAAGGUCAUCAUAACAGGUUUGUAAUUCACUUAUUCUUGUAAAUAUUUCGUAAUUAUUAUUAUCUGUAUUAUGUUUUACUGCUUCUAGGGUUGUUUCACUUAGCCUGUGCUCCUCCAAAGAUUGCUUUAUCUCUGGUUCUCUUGGUCAAUCUGUUCUGCUCUGGGAUCAACGGGCUGAGAAAUGCUAGGUGGAUAUCAUGCCAUCCACCAUUUUCAAUUGUAUUUAUGAUCUCUGUUGGCAAAUACGGGUCUUUUGCGUGUUCAAGGAAGGCCUGCUACAGCAUAUGAUGAUCAAGGGCCUGUCUUUGCAGUUGCCUUUGGAGGAUACAUAAGAAUGUUUGAUGCUCGUAAGUAGGAGAAGGUUAAAAUUAAUAUUUAAGAACAUCUUGGAAGUUUAUAUGUCGUACUUUUAUCAUGCACUAAUUUGGUUAAAUUUGGAUACAUCUUCUCUGAUGGUGGAGAUGUAUCAGAUUCUGAUGCUGUAAAGUUCAGCAAUGAUGGGAGACUUAUGCUUCCGGCCUCUAUGGAAGGACAUAUUCAUGUGCUUGACUCAUUCCAAGGCACACUUGUGAGUUGACUUUUUCUUUCUUCAUCUCCCAAAUGUAACAUAUUGUACGUAUAUACCCCUCUAUACACUGGAAUCUCUGUUAAUGAGCUUCUGUUUACUCUUGUUUUUAUUUAUCCACUUAUGAUGCCAAGCCAGUUUCUCGCAAUUCCACAUUGGAGGCAUCUUUCAGCCCGGUAGAGUUUCUCCUUUCAGUUCUUAGGGCACGGUGACUUGGAUAUUUUGUUAAUAUUUGCUUUUGACUGUUUUGAUAAUUUAUAUUAAAGUUCUUGCACUUGUGCUGUAUAUAAUUCUCAAAUUUGUUACCACCUUGUUGGUAUAUUGAAAUACACGACUUGAAAUGCUGGGCAUCAAGCUUGUUUCCGCAGAAUUCUUUGAAAUAAAUUCAUUUUCUCUUCUUCAUUGACUUGGUUUGAAACCCACUCCCAUCCAUGCAAAUCCAAAUGCGUACGUAUUUUCAUCUGGUUGUGCUUAUUAAUGAAAAUAAAUCAAUGAAAUGCUCAAACAGCAAGUGCACCCACACAUGUGGAAGCAGCCUAGUGUGGCCAAGCACCUCUCAUUCGUUUUAUGUGAUACAAUUGGUUUGUUGCACUCUUUGUGCUAAUUUUACUUUCUCGGUUUGGAAGGUUCUGAUGAUGGCAGUGGAUAUGCUUGGACUGUACGGAGCGGGAAAGGGGUAUGAUAAGCAAAAUUCCUUGAUUCUCAUGCCUUUUGAAUGCUUAAAAUUCAAAGGGAUGUUAUUUCCCUUACAUUGACCCCAGUCAUAGCAUUCAUUGUCUUCUAGCCAAACCAACAAUGCUUUUGAAUCUACAUUUGAGCAUUUACCUUAAGCACCAGUUUGCAUAAUGAGUUCUGUAUCCAAAUACUAUAUUCUUUUGACAUUGGUAUUGUUAUUAUAUAAACAUUGUUUGGUUUUGUUUAUUUUUCUUGUCAGGGGUGCAAGUUGGAUGAGUUUUCAUAGAGAGCCUCCUGUCAUAAAAUGGGCCCCCGGAAGUCUCAUAUUUGUUACGGGGUCAUCUGAGCUAUCAUUUUGGAAUCCUAAUGUGUCUAAACUAGGAGCUUACGUUGGGAGGAAGUAAAGUUUCUAACACUCAGCACCCUUAAGUAUCUGAAUAUUGAUGUCUAUCUAUUGCCGGGAGGGGAACUUGUUUGUAAGGAGAUGUUCAAUUUCCUAUAGUAGUAUGUAAAUGCAUCUGACUUCCCUGCUAGUAACCUUUCCUAACAAGUUCUGAAGAAACAACAGUAGAUCUGGUAUCAGUACUUAUUCAGAAGAGCAUUUCUUCUUACAUGCACAGCUAAGAGUACAUGAAUUGAGCUACUGAAGCCCUUCCUGACCAACCUGGCUAAGGCUCCUUUCAGUUUGUCCUCUUCAUGGUUCUUUGGCAGGCAACAGCGUAAGCAAUUACCUGGACUAUGAGGCCUUUUGUAGCGGGGUGGGCACUGCCUAGGCAGUUUUUGAAAAAACUAGGAGCUUUAUUUGUCAUUGACAUUUGUAGCACGAUUAGUUAUUACCUGGAUUAAGUUGUAUAUAUUACAUCGUAUACCUAAUCUGACAAAUAACAGGUUGCAAUCCAAGUUUUGUUGAUCAUGAAGGGUUUGAGCAUGAUAGUCCAUUUAGGUCAUUAGGUCUCCCUCGAAUUGCCACGUACACACUUCAAUCCUCUCAACGAGCGUCCCCGCAACGUCACACUCCACAUAAUCUCAAAUAAUUUAAAACAAUUAUAUACUUCUGGCUGCUCUUAUCUCCCUUCUCACCAACCGAGUCACUGGUUGGUUACAUUUUACUAACACCGCCGAAUGAGAGAUCAUAAUCCCUAUUACGUGUCCACCCUAACUGAUCACAACAUUGUCAUUUUUGAUCAUUCACAAAGAGAUUAAUUAACUCGGCAUGAUCUGCAAGGUCUGUCCCAAUUGUGUUUGUGUAUAUAUAUUUUAGCUUUCUCUCCUACACCCAGGCUUUAUGCCUCUCGUGCCUCAGUUUGAUGUGAAGAAAUGGUCCAUCAAGGCCAUUGGUAAUAGUCAGCAAUAGCAAUAUUGCCUUUCUUCAACCACAGCAAUGUUUAUUGGGUACGCAGGAUCAAUUAUCUUCUUAGUAAUUAACAUAAUAAUAUAUUAUGUUAAUAAAUGUGUUGUUUUCAAUAGAUUUUGGGGUAGGAAAAGUCAAAUCAAUCUAGAACAAUGAAUUUGUAUUUUUGGGGGAGACGGGGUACCUCACUUGUUUGUUGUGUGCGAUGUGGUGUAUCUAAAAUCCGAGGGAGGUGAGAAGCGGAGAGAGAGUGGUAACAAUGGUGAAAGGUCAAAACCAAGAGAGAUAUUCUUCAAAAUGAGCUUCACACCUGCAAAACAGUGAAAUAGAGGUUAGAGGUGAAGUCGGGGUAUCCCGGCGUUCAUACUCUGACGCUCAAGUUAGCAAACUCAAGCUUUUAUGGUCAAGAGAGCAGGCUAGCCCUCUGUAAAUUAGGGUUUACGAUUGAAGAAAACCUAUUUUUUGGAGUGUAAGUGUUAAUGGUGAGUGAGAACAUGAUGGAGAAUGAAACCUAGGCACCUUUAUAUAUGGAGUACCUCAGCAGCCACGUGGCGUACCCUUUUUGGCUAACGUCCUUUACAUUUUUAUGAUUUUUGGGCCGUAAUGUGCAUGUUCGCGGCGUAUCUCAUCUUUUGGAGACGUGGCGCACGCUGGAGAGUGGUCCAAGGUACCUCUGCAGUAGCUGUCGGGUAGGUGGCUGAGGACCACUGUCCUUGGGACAAUGUCCUUCACUUUUGGCAAAGGUAGCAGACGGCUGUCCCCCCCCAUUUGGUACGACGUUUUUUAUUCCUAAUUCUGACAAAAUCAAAUAUUAUCCUUCAAGAUAUGGAGAUAUUUCCUAUGGCGGACUUUUUCAGAGGAUUCUCCUGAGUCGGACCUGUCGGGUACCUCAAGUUAUUUGAGGUACCCCGAUCCAUGUGAGGUACCUCGAGUUAAUCUGGGGUGAAGUAGGGUAUCUCUAAUUAUGCUGGGUACAUUUAAUUAUGCAGAGUACCUCAAAUCAUGUCGGGUACCUCGAAUCAUACGGAGUAGCUCGAGUUAUCCCGGGUAUCUUGAAUUGUGCUGGAGUUAUUCCGGGUACCUCGAAUUAUACGGGGCACUCCAAUCUAUACGGGGUACCUCGAGUUACUCUGGAGUUAAGUGGGGUAUCUUUAAUUACUCCGGGUACCUUUAAUUAUUCGGGGUACCUCUAAUCAAGCCAGGUACCUCUAAUUACAUCGGGUACAUCUAAUUAUGCGGGGUGCCUCUAAUCAAGUCGGGUACUUCUAAUUACGCGGGGUACCUCUAAUUGCGCGGGGUACCUCUAAUCAAGCCAGAUACCUCUAAUUACGCCGAGUACCUCUAAUCAUGCGGGGUACCUCUAAUCAGGCAGGUACCUCUAAUCACGCCGAGUACCUCUAAUCAUGCGGGGUACCUCUAAUCAGGCAGGUACCUCUAAUCACGCCGAGUACCUCUAAUCAUGCGGGGUACCUCUAAUCAGGCUGGGUACCUUGAGUUAUUCUGAGUACCUUGAAUUAUGUUGGAGUUAUUCUGGGUACCUUGAAUUAUGCUGGAGUUAUUCUGGGUACCUCGAAUUAUACGGGGUACCCCAGUCUAUGCGGGGUACUUCGAGUUACUCUGGAGUUAUGCGGAGUACCUCUGACCGUGCCGAGUACCUCAAAUAAUGGCAGGUACCUCUAAUCGUGCGGGUUAUCUCUAAUCAUGUCGGGUACUUCGGAUUGUACUGAAGUUAUUCCAUUCGUCGACACGUGGCGUUCUGCUAUCUUUCUUAUUUUUCCCCCAAACAACAUCCCCCUAGUUUCUUUUGGCGAGAAGUAUUGGAGACAAAAGAAAUUUACAUAAAAAGUAGGAGCGACACGUGGCGAUAUGAAGUUUAGCUGGAUGGGCAGCUGAAUAAAGGACGCCUCUAGGGGUACCCUCAUGAAGGGAAGAUCUCUGGAGUGAACAAGACUUUGAGGGGACACUUUGAUGAAGUUUCAGAGGGGAAGGCCCAUAAGGUGGAAGACCCUAAGAAGCUUUAAGUUAAGCUUGAGGACUUGGUACCUCGACAAAAGAACAUAGUUGACAAUGCUUUUGAGCGCAUCAUGACCGAGGAAUGGAGUGUUGAUAUGGGGCUGGUGGUGCCAAGAGUAGAGAACUAGGUAGAUAAGCCGGCUAUCUUGAAGGCAAUUGAGAAUAGCAGGGCUCCCCACACAUCUUGGUCUGAAAGCCCAUGGAGAUCAACUGGAUUACCUCAGAUGAAGUCACCAUAAGGUACCCCUGAUACCGACGCUUGCGUUUAUGCUAUUUCUAGCACUUUUGUUGAUCCCCUUAUCCUAAAUGAUGAACGUGAAGAUAACCAUCCUACUAUGUAACAUUGUUUGGCAUUACCGACAAGGCGUAUGGGGUACCUCGGGUACCCUUAAGCUUGGAUAUCCCCUGAGUUAUCUAUUACUUCAUGGCGGGAUAACCCAACUUUAUCAAACAUAUGACGAUUCCUUCAAAUAUGCUUGUUGUUUAUCUCAAGCUUUCUUAGAGUUCCUCUUAGUGUACACGAGAAAUAGUUUUCUGUCAUAGGGUACCCUGAGUACUAUGGGUACCCUUAAUCUUGUCUCAUCAGUGUAUCGCGGUUUACUUAGACAUGUUGUUGCGGUUAAUUCAUGGCGGAACAACCUAAUUUCAUCAAGCUUUCUUAGGAUUCCUCUUGGUGUAUUUGAGGAGUGACUUUUUGGCGUAAGGUACCUCGGAGGUACCCUUAAUUAGUGUAUAGCGAUUUUCAUAGAAAUGCUUGCCGCAAAUCUUCACAAAACUUGUGGCAAUUCCUUUUGAGAGAUGAUGGAAAACCUCAUGAUCCACCAUUCACUCUACAUCAAAUAUGCAAGAUAAAUAGUAAUAUAGGUGAGCUGUUCGCCUACCCUUAUGCAAAAUGGUUGAAAAUUUCACGAUCCGCCAUUCGCGUGGAAUCAAAUAGACAACAUAGAUUACGGGUGGACGCGGUUCGGUUCGGUUUUUUACUAUAUUUUUCAUAAUCGUUCGAUUACGAUUAUUUUAAAAUCAUAAUCGCGAUUAAUCAAAUUACCGAAAUAAUCAAAUACUCGAUUAAUUGAAAUAAUUCGAUUCGGUUCGGUUCGAUUAUUUUGAUUAUGGGCCUAUUUUGGGCUUUUUCAAAUUUAAAACCUUAAAUUAAUAAAUCUACAACAAACAUAAAAAAUUAACAAACAAAAAAUCAAAAUAUGUCUCAAACAAUGUUCAAUAACACAUAACAUGUUCAAAUAACAAGUUCCAAUAAAAAUAAAUCAUAAUCUCAAUUACUCCUCAGCUUCUUGUUCUUGUUGAGCUACUAUUGGCCUACCAAAUUCUACAUUAACAAAUUAAACAAAAAUAUUAGAAUGAUUAUUUAAGAGUGAAAUAACCAAAACAACAUAUCAAAAUAUAGUACUAACAUAUUACCUGCUUUAAUAAUUUCAUAGAAUUCAGUUUCCUCCUAAGUAGGUUGUGUUAUCCGUUCUCUUAAUAGAGUUGAGCGAAGCCAAUUUUGAGUGCAAAUUAAUGACUCAACAGUUUUAUGAGUUAAAAAACUUCUAAAGGGAUCAAGAACACGCCCUUCUGUGCUAAAUGCCGAUUCCGAAGCUACAGUAGACACUGGAAUUGCCAAAACAUCUUUGGCAAUCUGAGACAAAAUCGGAUACCUAUGUCCAUUCAACUUCCACCAAGCCAAAAUAUCAAAAUGGGCAUUACUAGUACUCUCAUUAGCAUCCGUCAAGUACUUUUCAACAUCAUUUUUCGAACAAAUGUCAUCAUUUGAACUUUGCUUUAUUAUUUUGAAAGAUGAAAAAAGAUCAAUUGACAUUAUACUACUACUAGCACUAGCACCAGCACCACCACCACCACCACCACCACUACUACCAUUAUGGAUAUCACCAUAACAAACACCACCACUAUUCCUCACAUCACUCCCACCAAUAUAGCUAUUAUAUAGCUUCAUCAACAACUCUUUAAUGUUAGAUUUCAAUUCUUCAACCUUUCUAGAUUUAUACAUGUUACUAAAACAAAAUGUAACAAACUCCAAUUUACAUCUAGGAUCAAGCACAUUUGCUACAAAUAAUAACAUGUUAACCUGAUCAAAGAAUUACCCCAAUAUUUAGCAAACUUUUGUUCUAUUUUUUCGGCCAUUUUUCUUAACAAAUCAUCACUAGAAGUAGCAAGUGACUUCAAAUGAAUUAGAACUCUUGCCAUUUCAUUUAAGUAAUCAUUGGAAGUGACAUCAAGAGAGCUACUAAAUUUCAAGGUCACACAAUAAAAAACCGAUAAAAAAUUUACUAACCUCUUUGCAUUUCCCCAAUCGUCAUCGCUCGGUGGCCCCUCCCUCUUCUUUUCACCCUCCUCCUCAACAAACCAAAUAACAUAAUGUCCAUCAUCUUCCUUCAUCCUAUCAAAUGCUUUUUCAAACACAACCGCUUUAUGCAACAUCAAAUAUGUUGAAUUCCAUCUAGUAGGCACAUCCAACACCAUAAGCCCUCCAUAUGAGAUUUUCUCCCUAUCAACACAUGUUUUAAACUUUUGCAAUCUUGCUGGAGAGGAUCUAACAUACUUUACUGCAUUGCGAAUACUAGCUAUUGAAUUAUUCACCUCUACCAACCCAUCUUGCACAAUCAAAUUUAUUAUGUGUGCCGAACACCUCACAUGCAUAUAUAAACCAUUCAAAAUCAUUGAAUUCACACUCCAAUUUGCUAACUUCUUCUUCACAUAAGUUAUUGCAACUUUAUUGGCACUUGCAUUGUCCACUGUAAUUGUGAACAACCUCUCAAUCCCCGAAUCAAUCAAACAUGUCUCAAUUAGCUUCCCAAUACCAUCUCCUUUAUGAUUAGCUAUAGGUGUGAAACUAAGAAUUCUUUUGUGCAACACCCACUCCGCAUCAAUAAAAUGAGCAGUAAUGACCAUGUAGUUAGACAUUUGAAUUGAUGUCCACGUGUCUGUGGUAAUACACACCCUCUGCUUGCUUGCACCCAAGACACUUUUUAACAACCCUUUUUCAUGCUGAUACAAUUCAAGAAUAUCCCUUGUAAUUGUUCUUCGCGAUGGCACAUCAAAUCUUGGGCAACAAGUUUGCAUAAACUCUAAAAACCCUUUGGCCUCCACAAAGCUAAAAGGUAAUUCAUCCUUGACAAUCAUCUUCACAAGUGCCAUUCUACAAGCCUCUUGACUAAAUCUGCCACUAACUUUAACAACUCCAUCAUCUUUAUCUUUUCCCUUUUGACGGAAAAGUACUUGUUGCUUCGGAUCCCCUUCAACCUUCACAUCUUGAUAUAACCUACAUCUAUCCAAAUGAUUCUUCAAAUUAGUGGUAUUUCCUCUAUUAGCUGCAAAGGUUUUAAGACAAUGAUGACAUUUUCCUUUGUUUCCACAAGAUAGUUUGGUAAAAUGAGCCCAUUUGAUCUCAAAGGUAUUUUUCUUUUUUUCCCAUCAUCAACCUCCACCUCUUGCACUUCCUCCUCAUCAUAAUUUUCCAUUCUACACAAAAAAAAAUCAACACCACAGCAGCAACAAAUCAACACAACAGCAGCAACAAAUAAAAAAUCUUGGGGAUUAACCAACCAUUUAAAGACACUUAGCAGAGGGUCGUGACUAGAACUUUUUUUUAAUAAUUUUGGCAUUGUUGUUGUCUAAUGUUGCCCAUUUAUGAAAGCAACAAAUUUCUUGUGAAAAUAUUAUAUAGAAAUGAGCUUUCAAUAAUUGUUUGAAUAAAAAAUUUUGGAAGUGGGACAGUCCUUGAAGAGUUGAAAACAUUGAUCAAGAUAGACUACUUGUACUUUGCUUAUAUUAAUGAUCACGAGUUUAAUUUAGAGAUUUGAGCCCAAGUCCCUCCAUUUACAUUAUUAAUCAUUUUUUUUAUUAACGCUAAUUGAUUAGAGGAAUGUGAUAAUGAAAAGAUGAAAAUACCUGCUCAAAUGCUUUGCCGAGUACAUACUUACAAAUCCACUAGUUUAGCUUUUAAUCACAUAUAUAAACCACCAUCGUCACAAAAUUAUCAUAUAUUACACAAUAAUCAAAGCAAAUUAUUGAAAAUCUAUGAAGCUAACCAACUCGGCUCAUCUAAAUCUACUCCAACAGUAAACACUCACAAGUCCAACAACGUUAAACUCUGUUUCAAGUUUUACUGUUUUUACUCUCGGCAUGAGCACAUCAUCAUGUGAAACCAUUAAAAUCCAAGUAAUAGCAAACUCACAAGUUGUAGCUUCGUGGAGAUCACUCGGCGACGAGCAGCAGCGGCGACGCGGCAGCAACAACGAUGGGCACGAGCAGCGGUAGCAGCAGCGACGGGCACGAGCAGCGGCAGCAGCAGCGACGGGCACGAGCAGCGGCAGCAGCAGCGACGGGCACGAGCAUCGGCAGCAGCCGCGGCGGGCACAGCGGCAGCAGCAGCUACGAGCACAAGCAGCGGCAGCAGCAACAACGAGUUCAGGGGCUGAAGGUCACGAGUUCAGUGGCUGAAGUGAAGAUCAGUUUACUCACUUUAGGUUUAGUUUAGGGAUUCCGGAUUAUUAUUCGGUUUAUUUGAUACUCGGUUCGGUUUUUCAGUUUUUUUUUUAAACCGAAAACCGAACCGACUGGUUUUACUAUUUUCUCUAUAUUACUAAUUCGGUUUUUUGGGUGUAAAAAAUCCGUAAAAAAAUGAACCGAACCGAACGGUUCGGUUCGGUUUUCGAUUAAUCAACUUUUUUUGCCCACCCCUAACAUAGAUUAAGAUAAAGGUGGCUGCUCGCCUACCCUUAUGCAAUAUGGUCGAAAACCUCAUGAUCCACCAUUCUCUGGAAUCAAAUAGACAACAUAGAUUGAGAUAAAGGUAGCUACCCGCCUACCCUUAUGCGAGAUAGUCGAAAACUUCAUGAUCCACCAUUCGCAUGGAAUCAAAUAGACAAUAUAGAUCGAGAUAAAGGUGGCUACUCGCCUACCCUUAUGCGAGAUGGUCGAAAUCUCAUGAUCCACCAUUCGCAUGGAAUAAAAUAGACAACAUAAAUAAAUAUGAAGGUGGCUGCUCGCCUACCCUUAUGCGAAAUGAUUGAAACCUCAUGAUCGACCAUUCGCUCAGAAUCAAAUAUGGCGAACAAAUAAUGAUAAAGGCGGACUUGAUGUUAAGUAGAUUAUCAUGAUUGGGGAUAGGUCAGGUACCUCGGGUACCUUGGAGUAAAGUGAUCUCUGGAUACCCUAUUGCAUCAUAAUAAACAAUACUUUUACUAGUAGUAUGACUUUUCUUUGUUGGAUCGGUGGCCCAAAUCGAGUCUUCAAUCGGGGUACCCCGUUUUUCAUCUUUGGGUAUUCGAGGAUCCAAAGAUGCCUCCAAUUCAAAUUUGGGCUUAAUUUGGUCCCCGUGGGGUACCCCCACAUAACUAUAGAGUAACUAGUUAUGGGGUACCCUACUAUCGAGGCCUCGGUGGUGGCUCUCGCUGAUCCGGUGGUGGCGAUCUUGGAGGUUGGGGUACCCUUGAGGUACCCUGAGCGUUAUACCCUCGUCCCCGCAGGGCAGCCCGUGGAGGGCUCCGUGCUCGGGGUACCCGUGGUAUUGGAGCCUUCAUCCUCUUGGGCUUUUCCUUGUUCUUUGUAACAUCGGCUUUAUCUUCUUCGCGCUUCAAUUGGCAUUUCUCGUCCAUCUCCACCUGCUGCAAUGCCCGGGAACGGGCUUCCCCAUAUGAAAGUGGGCGCUUCUUUUGAAAGGAACGCCAUAACAUGCCCAACCGUAAAUUUUUCUCAAAAUGGGUCAUUGUGUAUUAGUUUCCAAAUGCUCCGGUUCGCAGCACCUCUUGGUGGAAACGACUCACAUACUUCGCUAAAGGGUCGGCUUCCCCUUGCUUGAUAAAGGCAAGUUUAGAGGCUACCCUAUCUUGAGUGGAAGCAUAGGAAACGCUUUCGUAAAUUCGGAUAACAAUUGGUAUAGGGAAGAUAUGCUACCCGUUUUCAAAUAGUGAAACCAUGACUUCGCGGGGCCCGUGAGUGAGUGUGUAAACAUCCUACACAUGGCGCUCUCAUCUAUACCCUUGAUAAGCAUUUGAUCGCGAUAUAGCUCAGCAUGCUCCGAGGGAUCAGUGGUACCCAAGUAUUAGGGUAUCUGAGGCAUGGCGAACGCCUCGAGGAGAGCUGCCGUCCGAAUCUCCAUAGUGAAUGGCGAUUGGUAGGUCAUUGGCGUUGGAGCAGGUGUGAUGUUUUGCUUCUCGGAGAGGAGCUUCACUUGGGCUUCCAGGUUCUCCAUUUUUUUCACAAGUUCGAAGGGUACUCUCGGGGUACUCGAUGAUGUCACCGCCAUUUGAGAAGCCUUUUUGGCGUUUAACUUCUCACGGAGAUCCUCAUGGAUACGCUUUGCACGCCUCAUACCCUGGCUGCUACGGGAAUUGUAAGAGGCGAUGGAACGCUCAUCUCGGGAGCCCACGGUUUGAAACUUAGAACGGGUACCUGAUGGCCUAUGCUUUGGCUUACUGGCCUCGGGUACCUCUCUUCUAGCCAUAGUUUGGUCGUCCGUUUUAGGUGGUGGAGCAUCUAGCGUUACUGGUGAAAGUGAACUUUCGGGUGCCCGAGAUCCAACCGCCCUAAGUAUUGCGUGGGCAAGAUCCUCGAAACGCUUGUGAGAAAUAGGUUCCUCAUCUUGGCGAACACCCGUCGAUUGCUUGAUACCUUUGCCCUUGCUGAUGCGGGCUACCCUUCUUGCGGGAUCACUACCUUCACUGCUGCUAUCAUCUCUCAUCCUUGUAGGAUCCGCCACUAAACCUUCGGGCGGUACGUUGGGUGCCAUGUAUUGGAGUACACACAACAACUAGUUUGGUAACCGUGGUGGAGGCUUUUUGUACGCUUCCCCACAGAUGGCGCCAAUUGUUUUCGAUAGAUUUGGGGUAGGAAAAGCCAAAUCAAUUUAGAACAACAAAUUUAUAUUUUUUGGGGAGACGGGGUACCUCACUAGUUUGUUGUGUGCGACGUGGUGUAUCUAAAAUCCAGGAGAGGUGAGAAGGGGAGAGAGAGUGGUAACAAUGGUGAAAGGUCAAAACCAAGAGAGCUUCACGCCUGCAAAACUGUGAAAUAGAGGUUAGAGGUGAAGCCGGGGUACCCCGGCGUUCACACUCCGACGCUCAAGUUAGCAAACUCAAGCUUUUAUGAUCAAGAGAGCUGGCUAGCCCUAUGUAAAUUAGGGUUUAAGGUUGAAGAAAACCUAUUUUUUGGAGUGUGAGUGUUAAUGGUGAGUGAGAAUAUGAUAGAGAAUGAAACCUAGGCACCUUUAUAUAUGGAGUACCUCAGCUGCCACGUGGCAUACCCUUUUUGGCUAACGUCUUUUACCUUUUUAUGAUUUUUGGGCCGUUAUGUGCAUGUUCGCGGCGUAUCUCAUCCUUUGGAGACGUGGCGCACGCUGGAGAGUGGUCCAAGGUACCUCUGCAGUAGUUGUCGGGUAGACGGCUGAGGACCACUGUCCUUGGGACAAUGUCUUUCACCUUUGGCAGAAGUAGCAGACGGCUGUCCCCCCUUUUGGUACGAUGUUUUUGAUUCCUAAUUCUGAAAAAAUCAAAUAUUAUCCUUCAAGAUAUAGAGAUAUUUCCUAUGGCGGAUUUUUUCAAAAGAUUCUCCUGAAUCGGACCUGUCGGGUAACUCAAGUUAUAUGAGGUACCCCGAUCCAUGUGAGGUACCUCGAGUUAAUCUGGAGAGAAGUGGGGUAUCUUUAAUUAUGCUGGGUACCUUUAAUUAUGUAGAGUACCUCAAAUCAUGUCGGGUACCUCGAAUCAUGCGGAGUAUCUCGAGUUAACCCGGGUAUCUUAAAUUGUGCUGGAGUUAUUCUGGAUACCUCGAAUUAUACGGGGUACUCCAAUCUAUGUGGUGUACCGCGAGUUACUCUGGAGUUAAGUGGGGUAUCUUUAAUUACGUCGGGUACCUCUAAUUGUGCGGGGUACCUCUAAUCAAGCUGGGUACUUCUAAUUACGCCGGGUACAUCUAAUUAUGCAGGAUGCCUCUAAUCAAGUCGGGUACUUCUAAUUACGCCGGGUACCUCUAAUUGCGCGGGGUACCUCUAAUCAAGCCAGAUACCUCUAAUUACACCGGGUACCUCUAAUCAUGCGGAGUACCUCUAAUCAGGCCGGGUACCUCUAAUCACGCCGGGUACCUCUAAUCAUGCGGGGUACCUCUAAUCAUGCUGGGUAUCUCGAGUUAUUCCGAGUACCUUGAAUUAUGUUGGAGUUAUUCUGGGUACCUUGAAUUAUGCUGGAGUUAUUUCGGGUAUCUUGAAUUAUACAGGGUACCCCAGUCUAUGCGGGGUACUUCGAGUUACUCUGGAGUUAUGCGGAGUACCUCUGACCGCGCCGGGUACCUCAAAUCAUGGCAGAUACCUCUAAUCGUGCGGGGUACCUCUAAUCAUGUCGGGUACCUCGGAUUGCACUGAAGUUAUUCCAUUCGUCGACACGUGGCGUUCUGCUAUCUUUCUUAUUUUUCCCCCAAACAUGUGUACAUAAAUUUUAUUCAAUAUUUAUAGUUUUACAGCAAUUUAAUAAUAAAAUUUACCAAACAUAUACAACUAUUUUUAUAACUCACAGCUCCUUUAAAAAUAAGUUUUUGUAAACAUUUAAUUAAUUUUCUUUACAAUUAAUUAUUUCUAUAGCACAACUAACAUCAAUUAUUUUAAAAGCUACAGCAUUACCAAAUUGGCCCCUUACUCUUUCUAUCAAAAUUAUUAUUUAAAAGUUCUAAUUGCAAUACGUUAUCAACUUUUAUUUCACAUUUACAAAUUUUUUUCACAACAGCUAUAACUUAAAAGUUGCAUCAUCUUAAUACCAAAUAGGGCCAUAGUAAUUUGGGACCUUUUUUUCCCCCAUUUUUCCUCUUCUUCAGUAACUUAAAAAAAAAAACUAGAAACAAAACAGAAACAUUGAGUAUGAAAUUAAGCAUUAGUCAAGUAUGAAGUUGGGUGAGUCGAGUAUAAAAUUAAGUACUUUUGUAUAUGAUUUUAAAUAAAGGGUAUUUUAAUAUUCUUUGUGAUUUUGGAAUAUUUCUAUAAUACCAGUAAACUAUGUAAUAAGCAUAUAUUUGUUAUUUUGUUGUGAAUGGGACAUAUCUGGGGCCAUUUGCUCCCGUGACCGAUCUUUAUAACAGAUCCAAUUACCCUCGUUAUAGUCACUGGAUCGAAAGCUAACAUAGCUCAAUUCUGAUAUGUAAUGUGUGAUGGGAGAGUCACAAAUUAUUGUAUAAAUUUAUUUUAUCUAAAUUAAUUAGUAUAAAUUGAUGGAAAUAUAAAAUAAUAUAAAUAUAAAUUACGUAGACCAAAGUGUAUUUAAUAUAACUAAUAAAAUUUUACUCAACCAGUUUAUAUAAGAAUUUGUAAUUUUAUUAUUAGUCAUGGUAAUUAAACAGUGGCUGAUUGGUCAGCUAGUGGUAUAAGUGGCAACGACCAAACUGUUGAGUCUCUACGUGGGUUUUCAAAAUGAGUCAAGAGUCAAGAAAUUAGCUAUCAAGUUAUGACAAUAUUUGUAAACAUGUCUUUUAGAUGAUACAUUGUCAUAAUCAGCAUCAUAUCCUAAUUGACUAAGAAGGAUUACGAGGGAAACUAAGCAUGUGCCUUCAUUUUCACUUGAAAUAAAGCGCGAGGGAAAGAUCUCAUGUUAUCACAUGAUGCCGUGUGAUCACCUAGAAGCCCUUCCACGCAUAUUUCUUCUCAAAUUGUCUUCUUCUAAUUUCUUGGGCCAUCGCGGAACCACAAUGUCAAUGGAUGAGCGAGUGUUGCUCAGCUCGCAGCAUUUGGAGCCGGAGCUUAGCUUCCCUUAUUUGUUGGUCGUUUGGUAGGCGUCGCCAAAGGGCAAAGACGAUCCUCUGGCGUUCGUGGAGCUGGUCCUCAAUGCGAUUGAUUUCUUCUCCAAGUUGAGCAAGUCUUUGUACCAUAGCCAUAUAAUUAUUUACUUUGGACCGAUGCAAUUCUCUUCUAAAAAUUUCAAGGAGCACUUUUCAUCUGUACCCAAAUGUUUCAUCAUAAUUUUAUUGUAUACACACUUGCUUCAACAGCUAUGACGGCUCACUCUUUUUGUUAAAUAUUGUUGUUGCCAUUAAUUUUGACAUCUUUGACGUUAAAAGACAACUUUACCCUUAUUUAUAUUUUUAAUGCAAAAUUACCAAAAAACCAGAACACCAGUUUCUAAUUCCAAUUGACUUGUGGGGAUAUUAAAAUUUAAUUUUGGCAUCUUUGACAUUAAAAGAUAAUUUUACCCUUAUUUAUAUUUUUUAAUGCAAAAUUACCAAAAAAAACCACAACACAAGUUUCCAAUUCUAAUUCACCUGUGUGGAUAUUAAAAUUUCUUAAAGGUUAGAAAAAAAGUAAAAAUGUUUUGUUCAAAAUAUCCCCUAUGCCAUCAUCCAUAAACGUCCAUUCUUCAUAACAAUCUAGUAAACUUGGAAAAAGCAAGAUCCCAGUCAAUCAACCAGCCAAAAUUCUUCAUAAAGUUUAGCUUUUCUUAAAAAAUUUUAAAUCUUGAGUUAAAAAUUUUAAUUCUUGAGACCCUAAAUUAAUUGAUAAUGAAAGUCACAUGUUUCUAUAACAAAAAUCUUCAAGAAUAACAGUACAAUGAAAAUCUUCAAGUAAAUAAAAAUCUAUAUUCAUAAUAUUUAUGAAUAAAUUGUAAAUAAUAUAGAGUGGUUUACAAUUUUAUAAUGUAUUCACUAAACAGGAAUCGAAAUUAUUUGGAAACAUAAUGAGUUAGAAUCAGAAUAUGUAGAAUAGAAAUAAGGAAUUGGAAUCAGAAUAAUUUAUUUACUUGAACUGCAGGAAUCGUAAUUAGAAUGAGUCAUUUACGUGUUUACUUUGUCUUAAAAUCAAAAUUGGAAUGAGUUAAAUUGUAACAAAUUACUAUAAAAUCUAUAAUUAAUUUUUAUCAUAAUUAUUAUUUUUUAUUUUAAUUAUUGUGAUUAUUAUUAUUAAUAAAAAAUUAAUUAUUAACAAUAAUUAUUGUUAAUUAUUAUUAUUAUUAAAAAGUUAACUAAAAAGUUAUUAUUAAUUAUUGUUAAUAGAUUAAUUAAUUAUAAUACUUUUUAUUCUUGUUAAUAAUAAUAAUAAUAAUAAUAAUAAUAAUAAUAAUAAUAAUAAUCCAUUUACAAUUUAUAAUUAUAUUUAUAAUUAAGUGGAAAUUAAAGUGGUAGGUGUUAACAUAAAUUAUUCUUGAUUGAUUUUGAUGAUAACAAACAUGAUUAAGAUUGAUUAAUCGAUUUAAAAGCUCAACAUAAUUUUCAUCUAUUUUGACAAGUUUCAUAAAGUAUUUUUAUAAAGAUUUGGAGACAAAACAGUCAUCUUGCAAAAUAGUUCACUGCAGCAGUUUUUGUGGAAAACGGCGAUCCGACAUGUGUAGUAAACGGCUCGCCGAUUUCAAGCAGAAAUGGAGAUUAGCCUCUGGACGAAAACGGCACACCGACAUUUGUGAUAAACGGCUCGCCGAUAUCAACCAGAACUGAAGGGUAGCCUCUGGACCUAAACGGUGAACCAACAUGUGUGAUAAACAGCUCGCCGAUAUCAACCAGUAGCCUCUGGACCUAAACGGCGAUCCGACAUCUAGAUAACGGCGAUCCGACAUCUAGAUAACGGCGAUCCGACAAUUUGAAAAAUCAGCCCAACGGUCAUAUUGACCAGUCAAACGGCGAUCCGACAGUGUGCAGAAAGUCAAUAACGGCUAGUUUUCAGCAGCAGCUAUAAAUAAGCUCAUUCAAAUUCAAACAAAGAUUGAUCACAACACGACCAUUGAGCAAAUAUUCGAGAAUACAAUCUCCAUAGAGCUUAGAACACAUUCUUGCUUCAUCUAUUCACAUAUUAAGCAUCAUUGUGUAAUCUUAUAUAUUGUGAGAGGCAAAACAGUUUGUAAUCUUUUACUUUGAGUGAUUGUAAGUGUUGGGAUACACUUGGGUUAAGAGAUUAGGGAUAAUCUCUUGUUGUAAAGGUCCAUUGACACCUUGGAAGUCAAGUGUAAGCAUUUGAAGCCUUGGAGGCUUGCUUAGUGGAAUCCUCAAGCCCGGAAAGCUUGGAGGCGUGGACGUAGGCGAGGUUGGCCGAACCACGUAAAAAUCUCGGUGUUUGAAUCCCUCUUCCCUUAUCUUUUUAUAUUGUGAUCAUCCUAAUUGUUGUUGCUUUAAAUUUGAUUUAUAAUUGCAUUAAGAUUUUCUUUAAUAAAUUGAAUAGUUUUUUAGAAUCUCAAUUCACCCCCCCUCUUGGGUUGCAUACUUGUAUUUCAAUUGGUAUCAGAGCCUCGUUCUCUUGUUAAGACUUAAUCGUCUAGAGUAAAAGAUCCAUGGCAACCCUAAAUGACUCAACCUUUAGAGAAGGGCAAUCCACAACUAGACCACCAUUUUUCGAUGGUAAUGACUAUGCUUAUUGGAAAACUAGAAUGAGAAUCUAUUUGCAAACCUUAGAUUAUGAAAUUUGGGAAGUUGUUUGUGAUGGUCCAUUCAUGCCUACGUUCAAAGAUGAAGUAGGAGAUGAUAUUCCUAAACCAUCGAGUCAAUGGAGUGAGUUAGAAAAGAGAAAGAUGUCUCUAAACUCCAAGGCUAUGAAUGCUUUGUUUUGUGCCCUUGAUAAGAAAGAAUUCCAUAGAGUAUCUAGUUGUGAAAGUGCACAAGAGAUAUGGAACAAACUUGAAGUUGUCUAUGAAGGGACAAAUCAAGUGAAAGAGUCUAAAAUCAGUAGAUACACUCGUCAAUAUGAGUUGUUCCAAAUGGAACAAAAUGAAAAUGUGUAUUCUAUGUAUACUAGAUUCACGGACAUAGUGAACACCCUAGGUGCCUUAGGGAAAACCUUCUCAAAUAGUGAGAAAGUUAAGAAAAUCAUUAGGUCACUUCCAAAAGAAUGGAGACCUAAAAGAACCGUCAUUGAAGAGGCCAAAGAUUUAAAUACUUUACCUCUUGAUGAUUUGAUUGGUUCUCUCAUUUCAUAUGAAGAGGAUUUAGCUGCAGAAAAAGGACAUGAGGAGAAGAAGAAAAGCAUUGCUCUCAAAGCUUCAAAAUAUGAGAGUGAUGGGGAGAGUGAACCAGAUGAUGAAGAGCUAGCCAUGCUAGCAAGGAGGUUCAGAAAAUUCUUCAAGAAAACCGGAGAGCGAAGAAAUUUCAGAAACUUCAAGAACCAUAGGGAGAAGAAGGAGGCAAUCACAUGCUAUGAAUGCAAGAAGCCUGGACAUAUAAGAUCGGAGUGCCCACUUAUCAACAAACUCAAGAAGAAAGCAAUGGUUGCAACUUGGGAUGAUAGUGAGGAAGAAUCAAGUGAUGAAGAAGGAUCGCAAGAAGUAUCAAACCUAGCACUCAUGGCAAUAGGAGGGGAUGAUGAUCUCAAUGAGGUAAGUGAUCCCACCUAUGAUGAAUUGUAUGAUGCUUUUAAAGAUUUGCAUGAUGAGUUGAUGAAGAUUGGUAAAAAGAAUGUAUGUCUUAAAAAGGAAAUGGCAAAGCUUAAAAAUGAAAAUGAAUCUCUAAAUGCAAGAAUUGUAUGCCUAGAAGUAGGGAACAAAACAUUGCAUGAUGAAAUUGCAUUAUCAAAUGAGAAACCUAGCAUCUUACAUGAGCAUUUAGAAUCACACAUAGAUGAGUUGAAAAAUGAGAACGAAAUGCUCAAGAAAAAGAGCAAUGAAUUAAAUGAAAUUGUUUUGAAAUUUACAAAUGGGCAAAAGAUGUUGGAUAAUAUGCUUAACUCACAAAAAUGUGUUUUUGAUAAAGGAGGACUUGGAUAUAAGCCUAACUUGAAGCAAAAGUAUUAUAAGAAUUAUUUUGUUAAAGCUACCUCCAUAAAUGAUCAUAAGAUUGUAUGUCACUAUUGUAAUCAAAAUGGUCACAUGAAAUAUAGAUGUCCCGUAAAAAGGAAUGCAUAUUAUGGUGUCAAAUGCAUUUGGGUUCCAAAAGGAACCGUUGCUAACUCUCAAGGACCCAAAAAGCUUUGGGUACCUAAAACUUGAGACUUUUUCUUGUAGGGCUUGAAGAAGAAGAAAAAUAAAUGGUACUUGGACAGCGGUUGUUCAAGGCACAUGACCGGAAACUAUGCAUGGUUCUCAAGCUUCACCAAAAUUGAAAAUGGUGGAGACGUAUCUUUUGGAGACAACUCAAAAGGAAAAAUUCUUGGAAUUGGAAAUGUUGGUAAAGUCUCUUCAACUCUAAUUGAGAAUGUAUGUAUGGUUGAGAACUUGAAACACAACUUAAUUAGCAUUAGUCAAUUAUGUGACAAAGGUUAUAAAGUUAUCUUUGAUAAAUUUAGUUGUGUUAUUGAGAACUCAUGUGAUGGCAAAACCGUAUUUGUUGGAAAUAGAUGUGGUAAUGUUUAUAUCAUUGACAUAGAAUGUGCAUCUACUCUUGAUAAAUGUUUUUCGGCAUUGCAUGAUGAUUGUCGGUUAUGGCAUAGAAGGUUAGGACAUGCAAGUAUGGAUUUGAUUUCAAAAAUUUCGAAAGAUGAUUUAGUUAAAGGUCUUCCGAAAAUUGGUUUUCAAAAGGAUAAGAUUUGUGAAGCUUGUCAAUUUGGAAAACAAAUUAAAACUUCUUUCAAGAAUAAAAACCAUAUUUCUACUUCAAAACCUCUUGAACUUCUUCACAUAGAUCUUUUUGGGCCAUCUAGAUAUGCAAGUCUAAAUGGCAAAUAUUAUGCAUUUGUGAUAGUGGAUGAUUAUUCUAGAUAUACGUGGGUAUUAUUCUUAGCCAAUAAGGAUGAUGCUCUUGAUGCUUUUAAAGUGCUUUGUAAGAAAUUACAAAAUGAAAAAGGGCGUGGUAUUGUAUGCAUUAGGAGUGAUCAUGGAGGAGAAUUUGAAAAUCAUGCAUUUGAGAUUUUUUGCAAUAAUCUAGGCAUUGAGCAUCAAUUUUCAUCACCUAGAACUCCACAACAAAAUGGAGUUGUUGAGAGAAAGAAUAGGUCUAUUCAAGAAAUGGCUAGGACCAUGCUAAAUGAAAAUGCAUUACCAAAAUAUUUUUGGGCCGAAGCCGUCAACACCGCUUGUUAUGUUUUAAAUCGGGUGUUGAUUAGACCUAAUCUUAAUAAAACUCCCUAUGAGCUUUGGAAAAAUAGAAAACCCAACAUUGGCUAUUUCAAAGUUUUUGGAUGCAAAUGUUUUAUUUUAAACACAAAAGAUAAUCUUGGUAAAUUUGAUCCAAAAUCUGAUGUUGGCAUCUUUCUUGGGUAUUCAAACUCAAGUAAAGCUUAUAGAGUUUAUAAUAAAAAAACUUUAGUUGUGGAGGAGUCCAUGCAUGUUACGUUUGAUGAAUCUAACCCCUCCUCUACGGAGAAAGGAGUUGCUAAUGAUAAUGCAGAUGGAGAGUUACAAGAAGAAUCAUCAAAAGAGAAUCAAGAGAAUGCACCACAAGAAAAUCAAGAGGAUAGACAAGAAGAACAAACAAAUAUGGAGCUGGAACAACAAGAUGGUAUUUCUCAAACACUCCCCAAGGAGUUGAGGUAUGUCUCUUCUCACCCUAAAGAUGUAAUUUUAGGAGAUCCCUCACAAGGUGUUACAACUAGAUCAUCAUUUAGGAAUACUUGUGAGCAUAAUGUAUUCAUUUCUCAAAUUGAACCCAAAUCCUUUGAGGAUGCGGAAAAUAAUGAAUCUUGGAUUAUGGCAAUGCAAGAGGAAUUAAAUCAAUUUGAAAGAAACAAUGUGUGGGAAUUAGUUCCUAAACCGGAACAUCAAUCCGUCAUAGGUACUAAAUGGAUUUUUAGAAAUAAGAUGGAUGAAUCCGGUGUGGUUGUAAGGAAUAAAGCUAGAUUGAUUUUGAUGAAACUUUUGCACCCGUUGCUAGACUAGAAUCAAUUAGAAUGUUGUUGGCAUUUGCAUGCCAUAAAGAUUUCAUCUUAUUUCAAAUGGAUGUGAAAAGUGCUUUCCUAAAUGGGUAUGUUAUGGAAGAAGUGUAUGUAAAACAACCCCCUGGCUUUGAAAAUGAAAAGUUUCCAAAUCAUGUUUAUAAGUUGCUUAAAGCCUUGUAUGGAUUAAAACAAGCACCUAGAGCAUGGUAUGAUAGACUUAAGAAUUUCCUGUUGGAAAAUGAUUUUUCAAUGAAUAAAGCGGAUACUACUCUAUUUGUUAAGCAUAAGAACCAAGAUAUACUUAUUGUUCAAAUUUAUGUUGAUGAUAUUAUUUUUGGUUCUACUAAUGAAUUGUUGUGUAAAGAAUUUUCAUCGUGUAUGAGCAAAGAAUUUGAGAUGAGUAUGAUGGGAGAGUUGAAGUACUUCCUUGGACUUCAAAUCAAACAAAACGAGGAAUGAAUUUUCAUAAAUCAAGCCAAGUACGUAAAAGAUCUACUCAAACGAUUCGACAUUGAUGAAUCAAAGACCAAGAAUACACCAAUGAGCACAACAACCAAGCUGGACAAAGAUGAAAAAGGCAAAGAAGUGGAUAUCAAAAUGUAUCGAGGUAUGAUCGAAUCCCUACUUUAUUUGACUGCAAGUAGACCCGAUAUCAUGUUUAGUGUAUGUUUGUGUGCAAGAUUUCAGUCAUGUCCCAAGGAAUCUCAUUUGCUUGCUGUUAAAAGAAUUUUCCGUUAUUUGAGUGGAACCAUAGAUAUUUGCCUUUGGUAUCCUAGGGGAACUCAUAUAGAUUUAACAUGUUAUUCUGAUGCGGACUUUGCCGGUUAUAAAGUGGAUAGGAAAAGCACUAGUGGUACUUGCUAUAUUCUAGGACACUCUCUUGUUUCAUGGUUUAGCAAGAAACAAAAUUCUGUCGCACUUUCAACUACCGAGGCUGAAUAUAUAGCUGCCGGAAGUUGUUGUGCACAAGCACUUUGGAUGAAACAAACACUUAGAUAUUAUGGCAUUAAUCUUAAAAAAAAUUCCUAUUAAGUGUGAUAAUACUAGUGCUAUUAAUCUUUCAAAGAAUCCCAUUCAACACUCUCGAACCAAGCAUAUAGAAAUAAGACAUAAUUUCUUGAGAGAUCAUGUUCAAAAGAGAGACAUUGCAUUAGAGUUUAUUUCUACGGAAAAAUAACUUGCCGAUAUUUUUACAAAACCACUUUGCGAAGAACAAUUUUCCAAAAUUCGGCAUGAACUUGGGAUGAUGAAAUUUUCACAUUAACAUCUUUAUUCAUGCUAUUGAGUCUAUUAACAUUGAUUGAUCUAUGACUUGAUGCUUUAAUAUCUAUGAAAUGCUCAAUCGUAAUAUACAUGUGAUGUGUAUGGAUAUUUGAAAAUGUAUGAAUUAAUUGUUGCAAUACAUAUAUAUAUUCAUGAAUUAUGCAUUGAACUGGCACUCAAAUCAUUUUGGAUCAAUAAAAUGAUCUUGAAAUGUAUUAAUAAGUAGCCAAAUAUCAAAAUACAUGUGCGAAAUCAUAAGUUGUAGAAAACGGAUUACCGUUAUUUCAAUAAACGGCUAACCGUUUUGGGCAGAAACAAUGGAAAGUUUUUCUGGGCGCUAUCGGUUCGCCGAUAACUAUCUAUCGGUUCGCCGAUAACUAUCUAUCGGCUCGCCGUCCUGAUACAAAAUUUUGAGGAGACUCCCUGGACCCUAUCGGCUCGCCGUUAUUUCUAUAAACGGCUCGCCGUUCUGAUGAAAUUUUUUGGAGGACUCUCUGGACUCUGUCGGCUCGCCGGUUUCUUUAUAACGGCUCGCCGUUAUCACGCGUAAAUUGAACAGUCCUUCGUCUUCUUCCUCAUUUCGGCUUCUCUUUCUCUCUCUCUCUCUCUCUUCAGCCCGCGACAGCACCAGUUCUCUACUCUCAAAUCCAUCACUUUUCUUGUCAUUUUUCAUCAAAUUGAUGCAUUACAAACCAUUUUUAUCUUCUCUAGAACCUUUUAACCGACUCAAAUCCUUCUCUUUCAUCUAAAAAUUGAAAAAUCUUCUUUUUGAAACCCUAGAACCAGCCGAGCCUUCCUUGCUCAAAUUAACCCAAAUCUCUUCCUUUUUCCAAUCACAUUUCCACACGCAAUCACUAUCUCAUCUCUCAAACUUCAUUUCCACAAAUUUUUUUUCUCCCAACACAUCCAUGGCGGAACGACCACAAAGGCGUGCUCGAACCAAGCACACUGCUCCACGCCGUUCUAGUCCACCCAGGUCUCCUCCUCAAGACUUCGAGAGUCUUCAUUUUCCCGAUGCUACCUCUGCUCAGCGAUUUCGUGAGAAAUUCAUUGGUAAACCCGUAAUUCCCUCUUUUUCUCUUAACAUCUCGGAGUUUUCGGAUAUUACUGUUUGUGGUAACUCCAUUACUCAAAUGCUUAAUCAUUGGCAGCAAGCAUUAAGUAUUGAAGAACCUAUUUAUGAAAAUCUAGUUCGAGUCUUUUAUUCUAACAUAGAAUUCUCCUCUACUCGUCGUGACGAGCUUCAUACUUUUGUAGGAGGAAUUCGCAUUGAACUAGAUGAACCCGAAUUAUGUAGUAUUCUAGGAAUUGCUUAUGGAGGGUUAGAUCUGUACACUGCUAGGAAAGAACUUUCUUUUAGUAAUUUUCGUCAUGUGGAUGGUGUACGGAACAUUUUUCGUCGUCGGGAUCUUUCCAAUGACAUCUGCUCUCUGUCCUUCAGGUCUCAACUCCUCCCUUUUCAGAUUCGAAUUCUUCACAUUAUUCUCCAACACAUGGUCACUCCUAGACAGGGUCACACUGAUGAGGUCACUAGGCUUGAUAUUGGUCUAUUAGAUUCUCUUAUCCGUCGACGCCAUGUGAGCCUAUCCUACACUAUUAUGUGCCAUAUGCUGUCCACCCCUAAAGUCUCCAAUCGAUCUCUUCCUUAUGGCAGCAUCAUUACUAAAAUCUUGAACCACUUUCAUGUUCCUAUCAUCGAGCCUGUUUUUCUCGAGACUCGUAAGCUCGGACGAGAAAUUAUUUCUGCCAUCAGAUUCUUUAAGAAGCGUGGGAAAUGGGAUAAGACCACAUCCUCUAAAAACGAAGACACAUUGCUUGCACCAUAGGAUGAUCGCAUGUUGAAUGACGUCUACUCCGAGGAUGAGCUACCUGAUUUCCGUCUUGGGGCUAGACCGCGUGUUCCACGCCGAGCAGCUGCACCAGCAGCACCUGCAGCACCAGCAGCACCUGCAGCACCAGCAGCACCUACAGCACCAGCAGCAGCUGCAUCUCAGGAUGACGAGCCUACCGAGAUUGCCGUCCCUCCUGCGGCAUCAGCUGUUCCUGAGGAUCGCUUCCAGCAGCUUCUCGACCGAGUGGAUGCCCUGUCCCAGCAGCAGCAGCAACUUCGAUCUGAUUUUACAACCUUUCGGGAGCAAAUUUCUGAUCAGCAGAUGGAGUUAAUUGCAGGACAGCGUCGCAUUCUCGGCUACUUUGGAUAUGACCCCGGCAGCUCGUCUUCACAGCCCCCAUCUUAGAUUUCUCUGCCCCUCUGACAUUCGCAUAGACAUCUUUCAUUUCAUUUGCCAUAUGUGUAUGAUAUUAUUUGUGUUCUGUGUGUUAUGUGUUUUGUGAUUAUGCUUUUGAUAAUUCUUGUUGGACAUAUGCACUUAAUUUCUGUUUGGGUUGUUUUUGGUAUUAUAUUGAUUAUAUUGCUCAUUCUGGAAGUGUGAAUUUGUUGGUAUGGAGGUUGGUUGAUAUGGUGGUAUAUUUAUAUGGAAGUGUUUUUCUUUUUAACUCUGUGUGUUGUUGAGGAAAUGCUCAUAUUUCAGGGGAGACUCUGCCCAAAUUUCUCCAAACAUAAGUCAUUCAUCUCGUCUCUUUCUUUUUGAUGAUGAAGGGGGAGAGAAAUUGGCAAAAUGCAAAAUUGGUUUUGGCAAAAUAGUAUUGGCAUGCAUGAGUUUACUGGCAUAAAUUUUUUUUUAAAAUCAAUCUGUCGUGUUUAAAAUUUUGAGAUUAACAGUUGAAUAUUUUUUAACAAGGGAGUUAACAAGUCUUUCAAAAUUUCACUUAGGGGGAGCAAAAUUGCACAAGUAUUUUCUUGAAAAGUUUGUCAUCAUCAAAAAGGGGGAGAUUGUUAACAUAAAUUAUUCUUGAUUGAUUUUGAUGAUAACAAACAUGAUUAAGAUUGAUUAAUCGAUUUAAAAGCUCAACAUAAUUUUCAUCUAUUUUGACAAGUUUCAUAAAGUAUUUUUAUAAAGAUUUGGAGACAAAACAGUCAUCUUGCAAAAUAGUUCACUGCAGCAGUUUUUGUGGAAAACGGCGAUCCGACAUGUGUAGUAAACGGCUCGCCGAUUUCAAGCAGAAAUGGAGAUUAGCCUCUGGACGAAAACGGCACACCGACAUUUGUGAUAAACGGCUCGCCGAUAUCAACCAGUAGCCUCUGGACCUAAACGGCGAACCUAUAUGUUGAUAAACGGCUCGCCGAUAUCAACCAGAACUGAAGGGUAGCCUUUGGACCUAAACGGCGAACCGACAUGUGUGAUAAACGGCUCGCCGAUAUCAACCAGUAGCCUCUGGACCUAAACGGCGAUCCGACAUCUAGAUAACGGCGAUCCGACAAUUUGAAAAAUCAGCCCAACGGUCAUAUUGACCAGUCAAACGGCGAUCCGACAUCUAGCUAACGGCGAUCCGACAGUGUGCAGAAAGUCAAUAACGGCUAGUUUUCAGCAGCAGCUAUAAAUAAGCUCAUUCAAAUUCAAACAAAGAUUGAUCACAACACGACCAUUGAGCAAAUAUUCGAGAAUACAAUCUUCAUAGAGCUUAGAACACAUUCUUGCUUCAUCUAUUCACAUAUUAAGCAUCAUUGUGUAAUCUUAUAUAUUGUGAGAGGCAAAACAGUUUGUAAUCUUUUACUUUGAGUGAUUGUAAGUGUUGGGAUACACUUGGGUUAAGAGAUUGGGGAUAAUCUCUUGUUGUAAAGGUCCAUUGACACCUUGGAAGUCAAGUGUAAGCAUUUGAAGCCUUGGAGGCUUGCUUAGUGGAAUCCUCAAGCCCGGAAAGCUUGGAGGCGUGGACGUAGGCGAGGUUGGCCGAACCACGUAAAAAUCUCGGUGUUUGAAUCCCUCUUCCCUUAUCUUUUUAUAUUGUGAUCAUCCUAAUUGUUGUUGCUUUGAAUUUGAUUUAUAAUUACAUUAAGAUUUUCUUUAAUAAAUUGAAUAAUUUUUUAGAAUCUCAAUUCACCCCCCCUCUUGGGUUGCAUACUUGUAUUUCAGUAGGGUCCCAAUCAAAAUGUGGCACGAACACAUUUAUCCAACAACAAGAUUUUUCGAUUGCCAUCCCCACUAAUUUGGUGUAAGGACUAAGAGUUAAUUGAAAAAUAUUUAGUUUAAUUUUACAUUUAAUUUUUUUUUUCAUUUUUGUAUUAAGAAUUAAUUGAAAAAUUAUUAUAUUCCCUUAAUUUUACCAUAAUGCCGUUGACUUAGACCCUAGUCUCUUGAUUAAAGCGUUUUCAAGUUCAAAAGAUUCAGAUAACUCACUCGAUUAUAGGGCGUCUGCACCUUACGCUCGCGUUUGUUGUGAUGCCAGUAGCUGCUGUGACUGUGGCUGUCGUUGUCGAUUGUACUUGAAUUUUGCAGGAGAGCUUAAUAUCUUGUUUAGUAAUUAAGUGUUGUAUCAUUUAUUGUUAAAAAAUUAUAUUAUAAAAUAAAAAUUAAUAAUAAGUAAUAAAUAUGAUUUUUAAAAAUUAAUUUUCAUUAUAUAUUGUCAUUAAAUAAAUAUAAAAUUAAUUUAAUUUAACUGUAAAAUUAUAAUAAUUAAUAUUUAUUGAAUACUUUAGUAUUAUAACUUUUAAAAUUAUAAUGGACUAACUUCAAUCCCAAAAGAACCUGAAAUGAUUGUGGAGAUCGGGAUUUUCAAUUUCCUUUCUUUUUGGAACUAGUUUGGGAUUGUCCAAACACGCUAUGGUAUGCGUUUGACAUGGAGAAGGGGGACAAAUCAAUUUUGUUUACUGCAAAACCCUAAAAAUAAUUAGUCAACUUGCGUAUACCCCUUUUGGACCCAUUUUGUCAGGAAAAAGAAAUUGUGGACCAUUUGCACUCUAAAUUUAACUUUAGAUACUGGUAUUUUAAUAAAUUUUUAUAUUAUUAAAUUAACCUUAAUAUAAGGAUCCAGCUACCGUGCAUCUGUGGUAUGGUAUCCCGCAUUUUGUUUAUAUAUGACUUUGCCUUUAAAUGUAACACAAAACUUGCAUCAAUUGCAUAGAUGUAUUCUCUUUGGUUAUUAAUAUUGACACCCCUAUUGUUUUUCAAAAAAGUAAAAUGGUGAAAGGUUUGACACAUAAUUUUAGAUUAUUUUUAAAUUUUUUAUUUUUAUCAAUUGAUCUACUUUAUUAUUAAAAUUAAUGACAGUAUAAGAGCAAUAACUUGAAAAAACUUUUUAAUACAUAAAAUAUUUUUUUAUUUUGAAAACAAUAGAAUAUCAAUUUAAUAUAUAGUAAAUAAUUUGAAUAUAUAAUAAAAAUAUAUUAAUUUAUCAAUAAUAAUAUGACCAAAUGACAAUGUUAAAAAAUUUCAUAAUAAUCAAUUAUGGUUUAAUAUUCAAAUAUAAAAAAUAAAAAUAUACUCUUAAAUGUGAAUAGUAGAAAUAUAUUAGACUUAUAUGCUAAAAUUUCAAAACUUUUAAAUUUUUUAUUUUUCAACAAAUAAGAGGGACUGUAAAGUAAUUUAUCAAAAACCGGUGGUUCCUUGAACCCGGGGCAAUAAUUUACUAUUAAGAACGAUUAUAGUUUAAUAAAUUUUUAUCCUAUAAACUUUUAUCUACUGUAAACCACAUUAACAAUGAAAUGUUGAAUCAAUGUUCACAUCAAGUUACAUGUUCUAUCUCUUAUAACUGAAACAAAAGGAAUUACAUGGUCACCGUCUGGAACUGGAAAUGUUUUGAGUUUACUUAGCCUAGAAGAAUUAACCCUUAUCCUUUUAGUUCGCACCGCCCACGAAGCUUCAUAUUCCUAAGAUAUGUCUUUUUUUUUUUUAAAUAAUUUAUAAUCUGACAGCUGGAACAAAGUUUCGACUUUCGAGUGGGCAAAACGCAAAAACUACCACGACUACUUCAACAACUUCGUUACAUUUAGACAUUUAUCAUUUAAUCAGAGUUUGACGAGCAGCCUUGAAGGAAAAUUUAUAGAAAUGACCCUUACUUUUUUUCGAUUAUACGAAUAACAAAUAAAAUUUUCUUUUUUCAGUUAAACAGUUUAAAGUCUACUAUCUACUGUUUAAAGGAGAAAAAUAUGGUGCAACGGUGGUACCGUUGCACCGUAGCCGGACCCCUAUUUGAAAUAUAUAGCAAAUGAAAUUUUCCUUUUUUCAAUUACACAAUCAACAUGUAACUGUUUUGUAUAUAUCUUUUUCUAGCGGCUUCAAAACGCUUCAACCUUAUGGAAUGGCACAAUCUUUGUAUAUUAUUAUUUUAAUUAAUAACAAGAUUACUGAUCCUGUGUGCCCGGUAAACACUACUGUGAUUGAGGAAAAAGCGGUAUUGCUAUUGCUGUCUCUUACCAAAGGCCUUGAUAAAUCAACCGUUUCUUCACAUCAAACUAAGGCACAAGAGGUAUAAAGCCUAGGUGUAGGAGAGAAAGCUACAACAUAUAUGACACAAAAUCAAUUUGGAUGGACCUUGCUAAUCACGUCUGUGAAUGAAGAAGAUUCACCUCGAUGCCAUAGUAGAGCAAAUUAUUAGGGGGCAGGAUGGACAUGUCACAUGGUUAAGGGGGUCUCUAAAUCCCGAAGGGUACAAAAACCUCUGCUUUGAAGCUCACCUCACUAUCUAAAAUCAAAUAUGACUUGAAUGCGAAAUUACGUGUGCGGUAAGUUCUUAUUUGGGAAACUGUGUUGUGCGUCCCACAAACUCCAAAUGGGAGCUUGCCACAUGUUCAAUCGUGCUUAUAGAGUGUGUCCGCAUGCAUCUAAUUGAGAUCUUAUUUACAGUAUAAUACACUUCUAAAAAUUUAGAUAGCAAUAUAAAACUUUACAACUAUAAUAUUCAUUGAUAAUAAAUUUAUUUAUUAUGAUUGUUCUCGUUGAAAACUCCUCAAUGAAAUUUUAUGAGUCGAAAAUAACGUAUGAUAGUUUAACUACCAAUAUAAGAAAAAAUAUAUUUUUCAAUAUACAAAACUAGGUUAUUGCUUAAUUUGCUUUUAAAAUCUUUUAAUAAUAACAAAAAUAUUCAUAUAUUGCAACACAUAGAGCAAACAUGAAUGCAUGAUAAAAUUAUAGAUUUCAAAACUAGACAAAAGAUUAAUCAAAAAAUGAAAAAUUAGAAUUAUGUAGACUUACAACUUAUGGGUCAUUGUUGAAAGAUCAAACAAUUGAUUUUACUCGAAUAGAAAACAAAAAAAAUUAAAGACCAGUUCAUUAACCAUUAUGCUAACAUUUUGUUAUGAUUAUUUUUUAUUUUAAUAUUUGUUCUCAUGUCUUUAAUUGAAUUUUAUGAAAUGUUAAUAACUAAUUAAAUUAUUUAUGAAAUUGUUCUAUUAUUUUGCAACAUCAUCAAAUGAUGAUUUCUUGUUCCAAAAAAUAUUAAUUAUCCAAAAAAAUUUACACUAAUGGAGUUGGUACACACAUCAAUCAAGCAUGAAUCGUCAUAUCCUAAAAAUGUGUAAACAUACAUUUAUCGGCUACGAAAGAAAUUGGAAGCAAGCAAAGCAAUUGGGGAUAAGUUUCCCCCAGACAUUGGGAUGUGUCAGUGAUUUCAACUUUUCUUUAUUUUCUUAUAGCUGAUUGGUAGAAAUAAAGCAGCGGCUGUUAAUGAAUUUGCGUAUAGUUGCUUCCCAAUCAGCUUGCAUGAUAUUGAUAGGCAAAAGAAUUCGCCUCAAUUCUGAAUUCUGAUAUUAAAAAACUAAUUCAUAAUAUUGACGUGAGGUUAAGGUUAAUUAUUCCCUUAGCAUCAAUCACCAAAAUAAGUAAAGUAUAUGCGAAAAGUAUUUUAAAAGAAAUCUUAGUUACCAUUAAUAUUAGAAAGAACAUAAAAUAUUUAUCAAGUACAAAGUCUAUUAGUCUUAAAGCAACAACAUCUUAAAGGCCACAGUCUAUCUAGGUGUAUGGAUUUUUGUUGUUUCAAGUUGGAGGUGAUUAACAACAAUUAUUAGAUUGACACGAUAUCAUCCACUUUAACCUUAAAAAAAAACCCACUCAAAGUUAAAAGAAUGAACUCUUUUGUUAGUUUAAGAACUUCAUUAUUAAGAAAAAGGAAGAGGAAUUUUGUGGGGCAUGAUCGUAGAAUACAAUUAAAGAGCCAAAAGAUGAUAGAGGGUCUCACAUAAUUAAGUGGAAAGCAGUCAAAAAGUGGGAAAAGGUUGUUCUUUUCUUCAAUGUUGUUUGAUUUACUUUAGAAUGAUUGAAGAAGAAAGAUCACUGUGGUGAUCUAAUGAAAGAGCUGUUUUCCAUUUGCAAUUAAACGGAAAACGAAACUUACAGAGAAGUUGUGCACAUUUGCACGUCAUAUGCUUUAUAAUCGAUCCUAUUUUUCUACGAGAACGUGAUUGAUUGGUACACAAGUUGUAUCACCUAACCAGCUAGCUCCAUGUUGCCUUAGUUAAUCUGCUACUUAAUUAACUGCUUUAUUGAAGCACUCACAAAUUAAACAAUAAUAAUUGAGUACAUAUAUGCACUAUUCUUAUUAUGUGAGUGAGAUAUUUAAGCCAGGGACGUAGCCAGGAUUCUGAUCAAGUUGGGGCACAUUUAAAAUCAAACAUGACUCAAAUGCGCGACUACACGUGCGGUAAGUUCUUAUUUGGGAAAUUGUGUUGUGCGUCCCACAAACUCCAAAUGGGAGCUUGCCACAUGCACAAUUGUGCUUAUAGAGUGUGUCCGCAUGCAUCUAAUUGAGAUCUUAUUUAAAGUAUAAUACACUUUUAACAAUUUAGAUAGUAAUAUAAAACUUUAUAACUAUAAUAUUCAUUGAUAAUAACUUUAGUUAUUAUGAUUGUUCUCGUUGAAAACUCCUGAAUGGAAUUUUAUGAGUAAAAAAUAAUGUAUGAUAGUUUAACUACUAAUAUAAGAAAAAAUAUAUUUUUCAAUAUACAAGACUAGGUUAUUACUUAAUUUGCUUUUAAAAUCUUUUAAUAAUAACAAAAUUAUUCAUAUAUUGCAACACAUAAAGCAAACAUGAAUGCAUUAUAAAUUUAUAGAUUUUAAAACUAGACAAAAGAUUAAUCAAAAAUGAAAAAUUAGAAUUAUGUAGACUUACAACUUAUGGGUCAUUGUUGAAAGACCAAACAAUUGAUUUUGCUCGAAUAGAAAACAAAAAAAAUAUUAAAGACUAGUCCAUUAACCAUUAUACUAACAUUUUUUAUGAUUUUUUUUUAUUUUAAUAUUUGUUCUCGUGUCUUUAAUUGAAUUUCAUGAAAUGUUAAUUGCUAAUUAAAUUAUUUAGAAUUAGACAUUUAAACGAGGGAUAAUAUGAAAUAUUUUAAAAUUACUAGAGUCACUUUUAAAUUUUACAAUGCAGCUGGGGCAUUUUUCAUAAAUAACAAACAAAAUACAUUUUUUUCAUAUAAUCAUCAAAAAAAAUUUAAAAGCCAGCCAGGGCAUGUGCCUCAGCUGGUCCCAUGCUGACUCCGCCCCUAUACGUAAGACACACGCAUAUUAUUUUACAAGGUACCACCAAUUUUUGUAUUUUGUGAUGUCAAAUUUCAUUUAACUCCUUAUCUUUUUUUAUUUACGGUUUAUUUAUAACAUUAUAUCUUUUGACAGGUAACUUUUUAAAAUGAAUUUUAUUUAUAAUUUAUUUAUAAGUUUAUAUACUUUGGCUGGUGAUCUACUCAAAUGUAAUUUUAUUUUAUUUAAUAUUAUUUAUCUUUCUAAAAGAAUAAAUAUAACAAUAAGCCUGUGACUAGAUAAUAUUAAAUAAUAUUUUGAAUAAAAUAAAAAUAUUAAAACUUUAUUCUUUUAAAUAAAAUAAAUAAUAUUAAAAAAUAAUAUUUAUUUUUUAGGACUCACAAUUGCUUAUUCUAUUUUAUUUAAUAUUAUUUAGUCAAAUAAUAUUAAAUAAAAUAAUAUAAAUAUUAUUAAAAAUAAUAGUAAUUUUUUUAGACUCAUUACUAAUUAGUUCAUUUUAUUUAACAUUAUUUAGUUUCAUGAAAGAAUAAAUAUAAUAAUAAGCCUUUGACUAUAUAACGUUAAAUAAAAUCAAAUAAAUAAUAUCAAAAAAAUAUUUAUUUUUUUAUAAAAUAAAUAAUAUUAAAAUUUUAUUCUUUUGAAUAAAUAAAAAUAUAUUUUUUAAGACUCACAACUGAUUAUUUAUUUUAUUUAAUAUUAUUGAGUUUUUUAAAGAAUAAAUAUAAUAAUAAGUCUAUAACUAAAUAACAUUAAAUAAAAAUUAAAUACUAUAAAUAAUAUUAAAUAAAAAUUAAUUAAUAUUAAAAACUAUAUUUAUUUUUAAUGCUCACUACUGAUUAUUUUAUUUUAUUUAAAUAUUUAGUUUUUUGAAAGAUUAAAUACAACAAUAAGCCUGUAACUAAAUAAUAUUAAAUGAAAUGAGAAUAAAUAAUUUUAAAUAAUAUUUGUUUAAUAAAUAAAUGAUAUUAAAAAUUAAUUUUUAAAAUAAAAAAUAAUUAAUAUUAAAAUAAAUUUAUUUUUUAAGACUCAUUGAUAAUUAAACAACAUAAAAUUUUAAACAAUUUGGACUUAUGUGCUAAAAGUUUUAAUUCUUUAGCUCUUUUGCAUUUUUGAUAAAUAGCAAGGAGCAUAAUGUUAAUAUUUAAAUAAACGAUUCACUACCCUUAAAUCUAUCUUUUCAUUGAAUCCAAUGAUCAAAAAUUAAAACCAAUGACCAAGAAUUGAAACUACAAAAAAAUAAAAUCAUAUGGUAUCUUACAACUGUUGUAAGAUAAUUGAGUCUUUUAAUUACACGUGUUAUUUGGAACUUGUUAAAUUGGUCCCUUGUGGGUCCUCGUGGACUCCAAAUUAGCCGUACGCCUUUUAAAUAGAAAUAAGUGCAUUACAAUUUUUUUCUAUUUUACUUUAUUUUUGAAAUUUUUUGGAAAAAGCGAUGACUCAUGAUAAUAGAAGAAGAAGAAUAGUAGGAUACAUGUAAUAUCGGUUUAUACUUUAUAUCACUUUUUACUUCUUUCUUUAAUUUUUUUUUUAAUUUUUUAUUAUCCUUUUUUGUGUCUUUGGGGUCCAAAUAUAUUGUGUAUGAAUAAAUAACGCGGCUUAUGAGUUGAUGGCAAUUUACCAUGCGUUAAUAAUGCUUGAUGAAAAUGUUGUAACCAACUGCUAAUUCGGUCGGAGAGGAGGGAUAUCUAGAGCAACCAAAGUUCAUAAUUGUUUUAAAUUAUUUGAGAUUAUUGCGGUGUGCAACGUGUCGUUUGUUAAGAGAAUUAAAAUGAGUCAAAAGGUUUAAGAAAUAAGCUUUGGCUGCUUGGAAGAACCGCUUUCGAGCCUCCACAAAGUAUUGUAGGGCUUAAAUUCUUUUUAAUUAUGAAUAAUAAUUAAAUGAAGACAGUUUUUUCCCUAAUAAUUACCUAAUUAUAAAUAUAUCAGUAAUAAUUUCAUUUAAUACGAAUUGUAAUAUCAAGAAAGAAAAAAAAAAAGCUAUCCACUUAUGAUAAUAUUCUUAUUUGUAAACGUGUCAUGAGAAUUGAGAUGAUACAUGAUCAUCAAUGUCAUAUACUAAUUGAAAGAGUAGGUUUGCGAGGGCCAGCCGUGCUAAGCAAGGGUUGUCAUUUCCCUUAACCGCUUGAAAUGAAGCAUGAGGGAAAGAUCUUAUUCCACCUAUGUUUUAUUAUUAAUAUAUAAUUUUUUUUAUCUAUUAACCAAUAAUUAUCGGAGCGAGUUUUACUCAGGAGAACUUCAAUAAUAAAAAAUGUUUGAUCUCACUGAAAUGACAAGUUAUUUAAGGUUAUUGAAAAUUUAAGUAAAAGUUACUUUUAGGAAAAUGCUAAACGAAGAGAAUGGCGUGAGAACGCAACGUGAUAAUAUUAAAUGUAUAGUAAAUGUCAACUUUUAGCAUUUUUCCUUUCUCACCACGAGUAGCUUUUGCACGACAGAAAAACAAAACAACGUUCAUCACAAAGCUAAUUUUUCUCUCAUCCAACGUGAAAAUCACUUUGGCUCAUUUAUUCACCAACGACCACCGAGUAGAUCUAGAGUAGUAGCAAGUGAGGGAGAGGAGCAGUAGAUCUGGAGUAGUAGCGAGCGAGAGAGGGGAGGAAGAGGAGGAGUAGCGAGUGAGGGAGAGGAGUAAAUCUCAACAUUUUUUUUUUCUUUCAUACUAGCCUUUUAAGGUUAUAAAAUUAUUUUGUUUUUAUUAACAAGAAUGUUGAAAGCUGCUACUGAAAAAAACGACAUUACUGUAUGUCAUUUCUCUCGGCAUUCUUGCGAAUUAAUUUACAUUUGUACCACUCUAUUAAUUUACAUCUUUGCAAUUCAUAUAAAUAAUUUUUUUUUUUAAAAAGUAAAAUCUUAGGUCCAGCCUGAAUGGGCUCACAUCUAACACUACUCUUACUUUUAUGCCAUCGCAUGAUAUCGUGUAGGGACGACAAAAUAUAGGUUUGGUCUGAGUUUGAAAAGCCAAGCCCAUUUCAGGAGAGGCACAACAAGCGAGCCUGGUCGAGCCCAAUGUGAGCCCAUUCAGGCUCAAGUUGGACCUAAGAUUUUACUUUUUUUUUUAAAAAAAAAAUUAUUUAUAUGAGUGGCAACGUUAUAAAUUAAUAGAGUGGUACAAAUGUAAAUAAAAUAGUUGAUUUUUUUGUAAACUUUGCAUAAUGGCAAUUUUGUAAAAUUUGGACAGGCUGUAGCUCGUCUCAAUCCACACACAGCGUUACCACUGGGUAUAAACAUGGAGAACAAUUUAUAAUUCCACCAAGCUAAAUUAAAGUCAAACACUUGACAUUAAGAAAUUUCUAAUAAUCUUAUAAAUAAGAACUAACUGACAACUCACCAAUUAGUUUUUCAUCAGAACUCAUAACACAGCACUUACCCAUUCACAUUAUAAAAAUAUUGACAUUAAUGAGAGCGUAACUUAAUCAAAUAAUAAUCCAUUAAUAAAAUGAAAAUUAACAACUUGUACCUUCAUAGAUGAUUCUUGUGCACUUGACUUUCUAAGCAAAGAGCGUCACUAUUCUUUUCAAGAAGGCAGCCACCACAAAGCGCAGAAGCUUCUUCAUAUAAUAGUACAACAAUCAAAACCUGAAACAUACGCAUUAGUAUUAAUUUAUUAUAAUUUAGCAGCUGUAAAUAUUUUUUUUUCAAAAGUUAUCUAAAGUAAAUAUAAGAAUAACAAAGAAUAAAAUCUUAGAUCAACAACAGAGAACUUAAACUCAAAAACUUGCUUGAACUACUAUCAACAUCAUACUGCAUAAUCAAAUAGACAAAAUAGUGUAAUAUAUAAUUUGUAUUGACCUCCAUACCAUCACGUAAAAAAGAUUGUAAUAAAAAUAGGGGUGUCAAAAAAACCCGCCCGGACUGGACCUGGCCAAUCCGGUCCGGGCAAAACCCAGACCGCAUGCGCUGAAAAUGAGGGUUCGGGUUUAAGAAUUUCAAACCCGGCCAUUUUCGGGCACAGGUCCGGGUUCAACACCAAAAACUCAGAACUCGGAACCGGACCCGGUUUCUAAAUUAAAAAAUAUAUAUAUAUAAAAACAAAAAUGUCAAAACCCAAAUCCCUAAUUGGCUAAUUCCUGAUUGAAAGAGGCAUAAGCAGCAAGCCAGCAAUGCUGUCACCGGCAUCAUCUCUUCUCGUCACCGUUGACAUUCGGCAUCAACCACCACCCACCGUCACCGUCGCUCGUCGGCAUCAUCUCUUCUCGUUUGCUGACUCGGCUUGGCACGCGGCUUUACUCGGUUGCUCCAUCUCCAGUGGCAGUGCGGCUGUGACUCAGUGACAGUGAGUCGUUCGUGCAGGUGAGGCCUGCUUCUGGGAUAUUUUUCUAGGAUUUGGCCUCUUCGAGUUGCUUGGCCUGCUUCCUGACAUGUUCGACAGCUGCGAUUGCAGAUUCCUUGGAGUCCUUAACAACUUUGAGCUUGGUGGUCAACUCGAGCAUGGUUCUUUUAGCCCUCUCAAGAUCGCCAAGUGCUCGAGCUCUUGUGCUUUCAGAGCUCUCUAACAGUUUCUUAGUUCUUUCGAUUUCUUUCCGGGCCAAGAGAAGCUGCGUCGUCAGCGCCACCGUCUCCAACUCUCCAUCGCCACUUUCUCAACCACCAUCUCCAACUCUGCUUCUCAGCUUCUGCAGGAGAGAAUUGCAUGCCAUAUUGCCAUUACUAUUAAGUUACUAUAUGCGGGUUUCUAAGCCCAGACCAAAAACCCGGACUCGGGAGGUGCCGGGUUUGCGCCCGGCCCGCACCCGGAAAAUCGGAUUUUAACCCGGGUCCGGGUUUUUUGUCCACUCAUCCGGUCUGGUCCCGGGCAACACCAAAACCCGGACCAGACCCGGAUUUUGCCAAGCCUAAAUAAAAACAAAUUAUAAAUUGUUUAGUGAUCACAAUGGAUCCUGAAAAUGACAACAACUACAUUAUUAUAAUGAGUUUGACGUGUCAUUGUACAUGGAUUCGUUAUGAUGAAUCAUGAAACACCGUUGAGUAAUUAAUUCGGCCACUUUUCACCUAUAAAUUUGAUGGCAUACUUUGAAUACACAACAUGGUUGUAAAUAUAAAUUUAGAGAAUUUUUGUGGGAAAGAAUAAUUUUAUUGACAAAAGUUAUUUUAAGUACAAAAAUAAUUUUAAGUACAAAAAUUAUAACAUCUCCAUUUUUAAUAUAGCUGACAUAAGUUAUUUGAGUUAAAAAAAAAAGGAGGAAACUUAGAUACGCCAUAUUAAAUAGGGCAGUAAUAAAAAAAAAAAUCUAAUUGACAUAAAUUAUUUGAGCAAAUGACAAAUAUUCGCUAAGAAAGUCUUUUUCAUUUUUUCCCAAAUAAUAAUCAAUGUUUUUUUCCACUACGCAUUGAAAGAGCUCGCAUCGACAUCAAUCAUGAACCAGUCGUGGCCUAGCUAUAUUGCCUGCAUUAUGAAUACCACCUAUGACCUUUAGAGCCUAACCGUUUAUCUCAGUCUAUUUUUAAUACUCAGGACAUGACCCUACUGGUCCCAUUAUAUAUCUAUUUAAAUUUCUUUUUUUUAGAAUGUCUAUUUAGAUUUCUUAAAUUUAAAAAACAAAUCAACUUCUAGCCCUUUAAAAAAAAAAAAUCUAAAAUCAACAAAGCUAUUAUUUUGAAGAUAUUUUGAAUUCCAAUUCCCAAUUAAAAUCAUGAAUAUAUCAGCUAUAUCAUAGCUUCAGCAUAACUAGUAAGUGGUGACAUCAAAUUUUCAAAUAUUUGGAACUGGAAGCAAAUAUCUAGUUAAUGAUUGAAGUUGCUGACGAAUAAAACCUCUUGUAUUAUCAUAGAGGCUGCCCCAAUAGCUUGCAAUAACUAUGGAUGGUGCAGUAAAGUUUCAGGAUAGAUGAAUAAACUAAAAAGCAAAAGAGAAAUAUCAGUUGCAGUAAGAACUACGUCAUCUCCACCUCGAUUAUUAUUCAAAUAUUAACACCAAAUGUCACUGAACAGCACAAGAGAAACAUCAUCCAUAUUUUAAAUGUAUCUGAAUAGCAUAAAUAUGAAAAUCACUGCAGAAAGUAAAAAAAAGAAAAAAGUAAAGAGAAAUUUAUCUCACAGCAUUCCUAUUAUUAAAACAUCAUUCAUUCAGUCUCUGGCCAAAGAACAUGAUAGCAACUACAAAAACCCAUGAGCCGGCAGGUCUUGUCCCUGUACAUGGUGAAACAACUAAAAUUAUGCUUUAAGAACUUUGCAAUAACUAAAAUUAUUACUCAAUACAUAUAGAAAACUUGGGCUCUGGAUAACUAUUUUCCCAAAUCAUGGGGUGUAGCUGUUCUUUUCUCCUAAUCAUUGAGGUACAUGUGAAAUAGAGAGAGAGAGAGAGAGAGAUUAAUUAGUAUACAUUCCAUUGGUAGAGUUUCUAGCUUAAAAUUUAUAUCACAGGCAUUGCUUAUUGAAUUGAAUACAUAUGAGUCCGUCUAUUUAAUGUUAAGUCUAAUAAUAGGAAAGCAGGCUCCAUUCAUUUUCAACAAGCAUUGCAAAAUUCAAAGUUUAUAUCACCGUUUAAUCAAUAGGGGAAUUGAUUUCCCAUAACAAGAAUGAACUCUAUAUAUAUGUAUGUAUACACCAAGAACACAGGAAGAAAAUUAUUUCUAUCAGAAAAUCAAGAUCACUCAACCAAACAAUGGUACCUUCCAAUCUACCUAGUGUAUGUAUAUAGGCAUCCACUGAUUGAUACUUUGAAUUUAAUUAAUGAAUUUAAUUAAUAAAUCAACUUCAGGUGUCAUGUUUCCACAUUAAAUAGAGCGAAUAACAAUUAACUAGAUAUGACAGAACUGGUUAAAAAUUUGCUCAAGAUAUACUAAAAAGAUCAAAUUUUAUUAUUUUUUACCUGCUUUCAUGUCUCUCCAAUGUCAGAUCAUGUCCUCAAGCAACUCUUUCGGCUUUCUUUGCCCAUUUUUCUUCUUUUUACAGCAUGAAGCUAAUACAAAGCCAAAUGAAAAGUAGAUUGGUCAUUUUAAAUUCAAUUUAACUGUCAAUCAAAAAGUUCAAUUGUUACUUUCAUCAACUCUAGAAUCAAUAGUUAAUGAAAUAUACAAUAAGAAGAGUAAAUAUUAAUAACGCACCAAUAUUACAAAUCAAUAGCUAAAGAUCAAGUGAAAUUUCACCUGCAAAUUAGGACAGCAGAGGAAGCAUCCAUAAACAUAAGAGUAAUUAUGUCACUCUGAAAUUUCAUAAGAGUAAAUUAGGACAGCAGAGAAAGAAAUAAACAAAGCAAUUUGCAAAGGACGCGGGCAUAAACAUAAUAGUAAGUAUAAAAUAUCAAACUGUAAGAAACAAGCAAAGAAUUCAAGAGAAGCAAGACAAACAAAUCAAAAACAAACUGAGAAGCAGGAAGAGUUGUGAUGGUAAAUCUUCAUCUUAAGCAGUUGAAGAAAACGAAUAAGGAUCGACCAAUGAAAUGAUUGCAAACUCAUUGGAAAUACAAUGCAAACCUUAAAAAUCAACAGUGAAGGAAAACAUAACCCAGCCCUAAGUUAAUUUGAACCAAUCCCUAAAUUAAUUUUAAAAAACAAAGAAAUCUGCUAAAAUUAUUACCGCUGAGUGAGAACGAGCAAUGUAUACUGGUCCUUCUUGGUGCGAUCGAGAAGUGAGAUCAGAUUGGAAGUGACGGUUGAGAUCCAGAGAACCAUGGAGACUGAUUCUUCAUCUCCGUAAUUUUCCCCUUUUUUCUAAAAUGCUAUUUUGCAUUUUUGCUUCCUCUGUUUUUUUUUUUUUUUUGAAUAGAAAAUAUCUUCAUUUCAAAGACGAAAAUAAGUACAGCAAAUGAGGAGGGAAUGACCCCAUCCACACAACAGUUUCAAGUCUCUCUAGAGCUAGUUUUGCUAGAGAGUGGGCUAAAACAUUACAAGAUCUAUGAGUAUAUUCAACACAUACAGAUUCAAAUUUCUUCAACAUACUUUGCACCUCUGAAACAAUCCAGAAGAUCUCGGCUCUGCAGCCCUGGUUGUUGUUUACCAGCUUAACAACCUCUUGAGCAUCUGAUUCCACCACCAGCAAACAUGCACGAUCAGCAAUCUGCAGGCCCCAAUCAAUUGCUUCUGCCUCUGCAUAAGCAGCUUCCCCAAAGUAUUUUGAUACUUUAAUAGCAGCUGCAAUCACAUUCCCAUUCUCAUCUCGAAUUACAGCCCCUAGGCCUGAAAUUUGCUUCUCUGAGUUGGUAGCAGCAUCCACGUUGACUUUGAAGUACCCUCUUUGGGGAGGAUUCCAAGCCUUUUGGAUCAAGCUUCGCUGAUUGCCAAUAUGAGCAGCUGCUGGUAAUUGGGUUCUUUGAUAAGCUUCCAUCACAGCUUCAGCCUUGGAAACAAGGAUUUGAGGAUUAUCUUUUUUGCCUUUAAAAAGCCAGCUAUUCCUUGCAUUCCAAGUCAUCCAGAGAAUCACCACCAGAAAUUCCAUAUCAGCUUUGCUUCUCCUUGAAUUUAAACUCAGCAAUAAACUCAGGAUAUCUUGAUCACUACUACCCUUCAGAUCAUCUGCAAAUCUGGUGGUUUUCCAGAUUUUCUUGGCAGCCUUGCAGCCUACUAGAGCAUGAAAGAUAGUCUCCAUUCCAUUUUUGCAGAGCUGACACAAGGGUUCCUGAAUAACCUUCCUCUUCCAGAGAUUUUCAGCUAUUCCUUGCAUUCCAACCUUGCAGCCUACUAGAUGCUUCCUCUGUUUUUUAGUUUCCGUAUUUCGAUUUUGUUUUUAAUUAGGCAAGGAAAAAAAAAAAGGAAGAUCGGGCCUUAUAUGAAAAGAAAAAUAAGAAAAGGGGCCCUAAUGUAAUUUUUUUCAGCCUAAGCAUUCGAUUAAAAUAUUUCAUUAUUUCCGUGGACAGAUUGCCCUACAAAAAAUAUAUAAUAUUUUUCACAUUAGUCCGAGGAUUCGUCAAUGUCUUUGUAAAAAGCACAUGUUAUCAAAGGUAAAUAACACACUAGAAAUGUUUAAUCAAUAAUACUGUUGUUUGUUGUAGUGAUAACUACUAAUUGUAUAUUAAUUCUUUAAAAUAAUUACACAUUUAUCAUAAUAUUAUUUAUUUAUUUUAUAAUUGAUAUAGUACUUUAAAGAUAUUUUAAAAAUUUUCCACUUGACAAUACUUAAUAAAGGGUAAAGUUUAAAUUUGUCGGAAAAAGUUUUUGAACAAUAUUGAACAAAGCGUUUACUUGUAUAACAAAAGAAUGCGUAUGAAGAGACAAAAAGAGUAAAGGCAUGAGUAUGACUAUUAUCACAGAAAUUAUUUUUAUUUCAAAGAUUGAAAUGUAAACAUUAAUAUAUUUUGUGGAAUUUUCUCCGUUACUUUUUAAAAUUACUACGUGUACAUGGAUGACUGUUGCAACUGUGCAAGACGAAACAAUUUAUUUGGAGAAAAUUCCUUCUAGAUUGGUAGCGUUGGUCGUAGCUGUCGGAUCGACGAAGUGUUAUUAGCUCGAAACCUAUUGCAAAUGUCAGUGCAAAAUGGCUUCAAGGUUUCGUUGUAAAGCUGACGACAAGCUUCUAAAAACAACGUGCCAUAUUGAUGUACAACAACAAUAAUGACAGUGCCAAUCCACGUUGUGCACAAAAUGAUAUGGCCAAUGUAAUAACGUGCAAUAAAGGUAGAGAUCAAAGAGAUUGCUGAAGUAGAUCCGGAGACAAUAGCAAUAAGGGCCUAAAAUUGGGAAGAAUUUUCUCGAUGAAGUCGAGACUUGAGGUCCGCUGAAUGUGCAUAACAAUAUAUGGCUGUGGCAAUGAGAAAAGACCAUAUAUUUAUUGAGUGUGUUUCAAGUAAAGGCUUAGGUUUGCCUUGCACAUUUGCACCCACUAUGCCGAUGAGAGCUGGAAUCAAAUAUCCAAAAAUGCUGGGAUAUGACAUCGAGCAGAAGAGAUUUCGCCCACUGCAAAAUCAUUAAAAUGAUUAAAUCAUCUUUUUUAUAUCCCAUUUUUUGAAAAAAAAAAUUAAAAUUGAAAAGCUCUUGUAUUAAUUUCCUCUCAGUUUGUCUAUCAAUUUUUUACUUUUAGCCGAAGCAAUUCUCCUCUAAAAAUUUGAGGGAGCACUUUUCAUCUGCACCCAAAUGUUUCAUCAAAAUUUUAUUGUAUACACACUUAUUUCAAUAGCUAUCACGACUCACCAUUUUCUGUUAAAUAUUUUUUUUGCCGUUAAUUUUGAUAUCUUUGAUAUUGAAAGACAAUUUUGCCCUUACUUGAAGUUUUUAAGUGUAAAAUCACCAAAAAAACCACAACACUAGUUUCAAAUUCCAAUUAAGGUGAGUGGAUAUUAAAAUUUCUUAAAGGUUAAAAAAAAAGUAAAAAUGUUUUGUUAUGGGAAUCAAAAUAUCCCCUAUACCAUCAUCCAUAAUCGUCCAUCCAUGAUAGCAAUUUAAUAAACUUGAAAAGGCUAGAAAUCCAAUCCCAGUGUAUCAAACAGCCAAUUUUCUUCAUAAAGUUUAGCUUUUGCUUUUAAAACUUCUAACUCUUGAGACCCUAAAUAAACCCAUAUUCAAAGUUACAUGUUUCCAUAUAACGAAAAUCUUCAAUUUACCCCUUUAAAAUUUUGAAAGCAUUAAUUUACUUCUAUUUAUCAGUCAAAAGAUUAAAAUAAAUGGAGACACCUUGAUGACAAACUUUUUAACUUUUUAGUGGUAUUUGAUAAAUAUAAAUAAAUUGAAAAUCAUCAUUUUUAGUGGGAAUAAGUUACUAAGAGAAAACAAAUUUGUUCUAUAGCAGGCUUAACAAAAUUUUCAGCGGGGACUUAACCAAUUUUUUCACGGAAAUUAAAUUAGCAGAACAAAAACACUUUGAAGUGGACUGCAUAUAUAUAUACUCAAAAACAACAUACAACUUGAGUCAAUAAUGGCAAAGAAAAUGAACGUACACAGAAGGAUUCGGAUUCGGAUGACGAAGAAUGCACUGACAGCUUUGCAUUUAUAUAUAUAUAUGGAGCAAACCCUGGAUUGAGUUAUCUUUUUCAGGGUAAAUAUGGUAGGGAACAGCAAACCCGAUCAAUUUUUAAAACAGGAAAAACAAAAACAAAAACUGAAAUGUAAACUCAGCUUGAAACUUGGGAGGGAGGGAAAAGGGGCGGAAAAUCGGUCACUUUGAGAGCAUCUAAAAUCUCUGCUGAAAAAAAUUAUCCCGUGCAGGGGUAUUUAUAUUUUCAAUUGCGUUGAUGCCGCGAGUCCACGGCUGGAUAAAUACGUGGGUUUCGAAGAAAUAACGUUUUGCUUGCAAGCACUGUUGAACAUCUCAAUUAUCUUUGUCCUUCGUUUACGUCUCAAACUUUUUCCCUUUGACUAGGGUCUACCUCUGUCGUUUUGUAGAAUGGUAGCAAAAUACGGGCUUGGAUUGAGUUUUUUCAAGUUUAGGCACAAGUCCAUCAGAGUGGAAGUGUGAGGACAGGGUCUGGGCCGAGUCCAUUGAGCUUUUAAUUAUUUUUUUAAUUAUUAUAAACUUAAAAUAAAUUAAUAAUAAUUAAGUUGUUAUAAUUAAUAGUAAAUUAAAAAAUAAAUAUUUUAAAAUAAAUAAUAAAUAAUAAAUAAAGUAAAUAAAAUUUUAAUUUUUUAUUACUAAAUUCUUCAAUUCAAUCACUUAAAAGUGAAUUUAGUAUUAUAAUUUUAAUUUUUUUUAAUUCAGUAUUGAUAUAUGAAUUAAGAAAUUAAGUUUUCUUUUACUUGAGCCCUUGUCCAGCCUCUCAUAUGGAAAGUCCGGACCAAAACCCGUAGAAAUGAGCUUAGGCGCUCAAACUCGGGCUUUUUUGUCAUCCUUACCUUUAUUGUUGUUUCUUUAUUUUAUUUUAUUUUUCAGCUCCCAAACAAAAGAAUGUUAAAAAUGACUAAUGGGUUCCCCUCUCAUGUUCAACGCCUACAGGGCUUCUAUGCUUCAUGGGGAAAUUUAAUAAAAUCGGAGUCAAAUCCACGUCAUAUAAUGUGAUGACAAUAUAUAUAUUUAGUAUAAUUUAUUUAAUGAUUAUAAGUGUUUGUUUAAUUUCAAUAUCAAAAUUUUUAUUAUUAUUCAAUUAUUUUUUGAAUAGAACUUUUAAGAUUAAAUAAGAUACUUUAUCUGUAUUAACAAAAAUUUAAAUUUUAAGAUUUUAGAGAUAGAGGUUGAAAAGUUUUCUUAAAAUGUUAAAAUAUCUAAAAUAUCGUUUACUUAUUUAACAAUCUUAUUUUAUUUUUUUAUAAGGUAACUUAAAAUCUUAUCUAUUAAAGUAAUUUUAUAAUUUUUAAUAAAAAACUCUUAUUGAUAGUCAAACAACUAAAAUUUUUUAAAAAAAAUUUUAUUUAUAAAAAUUCUACUAAUAAAAUUCUGCUUAAAUAAAUUCUAUUUGGAAAGUUAUACAAAUAGGAUUUAAGAUCCACAUUAUACUGGUACAAGACACAAGAGUGCUGACUGACCAAUUUGAACCGGGUGCGCUUCCCACCUAAAUAUUUCUCAAUCUGAGUUGGAAGGUGUGUCAGAAAGGUGACUUCAAAACCAGGAUUUCAACCAACUGUUCUCGACUAAAGUCCCUCCCCAAGGUUCUGAAGAACAAAACCAAUGAAGAUUGUCAGGACAGCAAUCCAUCAGUUGCAGUGAUCCAGUGGUUCAACGAUGGUCCCUUUCAUCAUUGAUAUGUAUAACAGAUUAUCUUCCGGUCUUGGAGCGUUUUAUUCCAGCACUGUUGAAGGGCGACAUACUAGGACUCAUACUCGGACUCAUGCUUGGGCUUUCUUCUCUUAGAGUACCAUUCAGCAUAGCUAAUUCCCGCAGUUGUUGCUUCUUGUAAUGAUCCAAGGAUUCAUCCUGCAUACAGAGAUUAGUUUGAACAAGCAGGAAUUAAGAGAGAUGCUAAAGGAAAGAAUAUCAACAAAGUUCAGAGAAAAUACAAGAGUUUUCCUGUUCAUACCACGGGCUUCAAGUGGGAAUUUAUUAUAUCCUCUGGAAAUUCAGCCUCCACUAACACGUGCAGUGGUUCAUUAAGAUGCUCAUAUCCAGGCUUAUCUUUAAGUUUUUCUUCCUAGAGAACCAAAAAGUAAAGGAUUAUCAAGAGAAACCAAGAUAGUAUAAUAUUGUCAGGCAACAUCCAAUAUUAGGAAUACAAAGAAAUAGUUUGCAAAUGCAAGACGCACUUUCCCAUUGUAGAACAUGAAGAACAGGAAAUGAGUCAUGAUUUCCACUUAAUAGAUAAACUAGUAAUAAUAUAAAUUCAUUUCCAGUGCAUAUGCCAUCAAUGAAAAACAAAACUACUCAAAAUAUCUAGCUACUCCUACCACAAUGAAGGAAAAGCGCCACAAUCAUACCAGCUGUCUACGUGAAAAGAAUUAUGAGAGGGGAAAAUGCUAUAAUUUACCUGCAAGUAGGGGUGUUCGCGGAUCAGAUUUUACAGAUUGGACAUCAAUCUAUAUCCGAUUCAUGAUUUUGCAGAUUAUAAUUUUUCAAUCCAAUCCAAUCAACGGAUUGAUAAAAUUCAAUCCAAAUCCAAUCUAUACAUCUGCGGAUUAGAUGCGGAUUUGACUCAAUCCAUAUCCAAUCCACCAUUUUGCACAUUAGUUUUCGAAUUAAAAAUUUUUAGUUCUCUCCAACUAAUGAAAUAAAAAAAAAUCUAAUAUAAAAAUAAUUUUGCUACCAAUUAAAUUUAAAAUUGAAUAAAAUUUAAAUAAAUUAAUUGUUUAAAUAAAGCUAAAAUAAUAUAUUUAAAGUUUCAAAAUAUAACACACCGAGACUAAUUAUUCAAAUAAAGAUACAAUAAUACGUUCAAAGUUUCAAAAUAUAACACACCAAGCUUAAUUGUUCAAAUAAAGUUACAAUAAUACGUUAAUAUAACACCGAAAUUAAUUGUUCAAAUAAAGCCACAAUUAAUUCAAAUCCGUGUCAAGAGUGUAUCCAACCAGUAUUGAGUGUUGCUAGUGUGUGUGAGUGUGACGGCGAGAAAGUUUAGGGUUUUUUGUUUGUAAAUUGUUGGUGACUUGACAUCAUGUUACUUUGCUUUUGGGUGACUUUGCAAAUUGUUGGUGACUUGGCGUUAUGUUAAUUUGCUUCUGCUAGUGCAUGUGACUUUGCUUUUAUUUUGUUUUAUAAUUUUUACAAGUUAUAUUUGUAUAUUUGAUUAUUUAAUUAAUUUUCAUUUUAUAUUAUUAUUGGGUAAUGACUAAGAUAUGUUAUAGUGUUUAUGUAACUAUGUAAUGUCACAUUUAUAAUUUUUUUAAUUAAAUUUAUAAUAAUUUUUUAAUUAUAUAUAUAUAUAUAUAUAUAUAUAUUUCUAGAGGAACCAUUACCCCUAUUGAAAGGUCACUUUUGUUUGCUGAUAAAUUUCCCGAUAAAAUUCUUGAAAAAACCCAAUUACAAAGAUUUCUAGGGAGUUUAAAUUAUGUUCUUGACUUCUGUCCUAAUAUCAAUAGGAUAUCCAAACCUUUGCAUGAUAGGUUAAAAAAGAAUCAUGUUGCUUGGACUGAAGAACAUACUAAAGUAGUUAAACUCAUAAAGAACUCUGUCAAAAGCAUUCCAUAUUUAUAUCUUGCAAACCUUGCAUUUCCUAAAAUUGUUGAAACUGAUGCUUCUGAUUUAGGAUAUGGAGGUAUAUUAAAACAAAAAGAAUUUGAUAAAGAACAAAUAGUACAAUAUGUUUCUGCACAUUGGAAUGAUUGUCAGAAAAACUAUUCUACUAUUAAAAAAGAGAUUCUUUCUAUUGUUUUAUGCAUAUCUAAAUUCCAAAGCGAUUUAUUAAAUCAAAAAUUUCUACUUAGAAUUGAUUGUAAAGCUGCAAAACAUGUUUUAGAAAAAGAUGUUCAAAACAUUGCAUCUAAACAGAUUUUUGCACGAUGGCAAGCUAUUUUAAGUGUUUUUUAUUUUGAUAUUGAAUUUAUUAAAGGUGAUACAAAUUCUAUUCCUGAUUUUCUAACCAGAGAAUUUCUUCAAAGCAGAUAAUGCCGCCAAAAAGAAAGGAUAAAGGUAAAGCUGUUCUCAAAGACUCUGAAUCUAAAUCCAUCUCCUCUGAAGACCAAGUAAAACAAUGGAUGUCAUCCAUUACAAAAUCCCCUGAGCUCAUGCUCGCUUUGCAAAGCCUCUCUCAAAGCCAAAUUUCUCCAAAAGAAGAAGAAGUAGAAAAGCCUAUUUCAAAAGAAAUUACAAAACCUUCUUCUCAAAAUGUUGUUGUUUCUGGUGAAAGUUCAUAUUCCCAAAUUGUUCUUUCCAAACCAACACUUUCAAUGAAAACCUCCGAUUGGUUUGAUAAAACUCACUUCCAAAAUAUUUUAUCGAUGGAAGAUGGUUUUUACCAUUCUUAUCCUUUUCAAGCAAUUUCAAAGUUUUUCCCCAAAGGCUAGUUUUUUAAACCAUGGAAUUUAACAAAACCCCAGUCUUACUAUCAAAGUAUUUUAGAAGCUACUGAGUCUGUAAAAUUUAAACAUUUCUUUCUCAGUGACGCUCAUUCUGAGCCGGCCUAUUCCACGGCCACUAUUCUAAAAGUCUUGAGCCCAAACCAGUGGGGUGACCAACUCCACAAAUUUAAAUCUUUUCCUUCAAAUUUCUUAAUGCGUUUACCACACUGUUUAUCCUAUACCUAUUGGGAUUACCAACAAGCCUGGUACAACACAUUUUUCAUCCAAAACCCUAAAAAAUCACACUCUUGGUUAUUUUUCUUUAAUUCAAAAAUAACCGUUCAAAGCCUCCCAAAUUGGUUUCAACAUUGGUGGAACUUCUUUGGUCCAAUUCCCCAAAUCCUAACUCCAAAUGCCACCCAUUGUUUAAACCUUUUCAAAGCCCAUUAUAUCCCUUCCGCAUCGGAGAAAAGGUUUCCUCCCUUUCUCUGUUUUUGUACAAAUUUCUUCCUUCCAUGGGUAUGGAUGUGGAACCUUAGGCUUCAUACCCAGGACACCCAACUCAUCCUACAAAGAACAUUCAAAGUAAAAUGGUGGUCAAAGUUUGAUGAACAGACUAAACUUACGGACACUCUAAUCUGUAAUUGGCUCUGCUCUCAAGGCUUCCUACAACCAACAUUAACCAACCCUAAAGCCCAGCAUACCUUCCUCACCCAAAAAUCCGAAGCCCAAUCUCUUUUGGCAAGCGCCAAAUCUGAAGAAGAAUAUUUCAAAGUUAUGGAGCAACUUCUCUCCACCAGAUCAAAGUCCUCAGUAGCAGACACUUCUGAAGAUGAUGAUGAUGAUGAAGAAGAACCAUUUAUUUCUCUUGGAGAUGAGAAUGAAGACGAUUGUUUUGGAAUCUUAUCUCCAUUAAAGCAUUGUAAAUAAUUGCAAUUUAUUUAAAAAAAAAAAGAAGAGUAAAUACUUAUUUUGUUCGUAUUUUUUGCACAGUCAGGUGGUCCCAUGGACACAAGUGAGAGCGCACAUGUCUCUUCACCCGAAUUUAUUUAAAGUUUGUAAAAUUAGAAAACACUGUAUGCUCCAAAGACUACUGUUUCAAGCAGCUCCGCUCCCGCUACAGUUCAAAGCCACUGCUCCACCACUGUUUAAAGUCUCAUUGUAUAUAAAAACCCGGAGGAAGACUUAGACUCCACAGGUUUUUCAUUUUAGAGAUUUCAAAGCUUCUCUCUAGCUUCUCUCUCUCUCUCUUCUCUCUCUCUCUCGAGACAAAAGAAGUUUUCUGUAUUCAAGGAAUUUUCUAUAAUCGGUUAAGUUCCUUGUUUUCAGAAUCUUUCUGGAAUCUCUCUUGUAAUCUCUUAAAGCUGUUAGAUCAAAAGCAUUAAAGCAAAACAUGUAUGUUUAAUUUUCGGAUGUAAUUUAAAUUUCUGCAAUUUAUUUUAAAGCAAUUUAAUUUAUGCAAUUUCAUUUAUGUAAUUUAAAUUUCAGCAAUUUACUUUAAAGCAUUUUCUUUUCAAAGCAUGAUAGCAGACUGAUCUGUAUCAGAUCUACCAUACAAAUUGUACAUUCCUCUGAGGCAACGAGACCAGAUCUCAAUCCUCAGUUGUAUUCUUUCUCUUCUCCCUCCUUUCCUUCAGAGCACCAUUUCCGGGAACCGGAUCUGGUACUGUGUAUGCACCCAAGCCUUUAGUUGUAUGUUGUUGCUAGGCUUGAUUAAAGAACUUAACAAUUAUUUGGUAAAUAAAUCUGGUAUAUAGGCUGGAAACUAGAACGUGCGGAAUAUUGAUCUGUUCUAAGUCAGAUUUGGUUCCAAAGGCAGACCUAGCUCUGCAUCGAUCUAGAUACAACGCCACGUACCUUUAUUAAAAUCUGACCAACCACGAUCUAAAGCAAUUAUAAUUUAAAGCUGGUAAUUUGUUUUAAAAUUUGGACAAAGCCGAUCCAUUACAAGCAUUGUUUAAUUUGAAGUUUUUAAUUAUUGAUUCCAACGAAAGCACAUCCAUCCUUCGAUCCUAUUUCCUUUUGGUAUAUAUAUAUAUAUAUAUAUAUAUUGCGAAUUCACGGAUUUCCGCGGAUUUAUAGAAGUAAAUCCAUAUCCAAUCCAUCGACUGCAUAUUUUAAAAUUUUUAAUCCAUAUCCAAUCCAUUAAUCCACGGAUCGGAUUUAUACGGAUCAGAUUGAGCGAAUCAGACAAAUUAAGCGGAUCGAAUUGGAUUCUGCACACCCCUACCUGGAAGUCAUUAUUCCAAAGCAACAUAAUUUAUAUGUGUAAUUUCAUGCUUAGUACAUCUUUCUCCAGUUAAAUCAAUCAGCAAAAUGUCACAAUCCUCCAUUGAAUAUCAUAGAACUACAUAACGCAUGAUCAUGAGCAAAUCUAGUCAUACCAUGACCAAUAUCAGUACUAAACUAAAAAUUAAAUCAUCUGAAAAAUUGCAACAUAAAACCAGGAUAAUUAGAGUGCUCAUCAAAUAACCCAAAUUGUAGCUUCCCUAAUCAAACAAACAUAAUAAAAAAUUUUGAAAUACAAUUUUUUUAAUCAAAGAUGCACAUUGACACCAGAUAAAAUUGAGCAGAGAAGCUAAUGCUGCCCUACAAGUUAAUAUGGUCCUCCUUUAGCAAGGUUCAAAUAGGAAGGACCAUAGUAAAAAUAAGAGGAAAUAAUUUACUUAAUCUACAAAUCCUAUAAUGUAGUUGCAAGUAGAAUAACUCCAAUCUGAAACAUCAAAUGUAUAAGAUUCUCAAGGCAAAAGCGGCUUUAGCUAUUAAAAUUUCGCAUUCUCAUGCUUUAAUAGCUCAAAUCCACUUUAGCUUGAUCAGCAACUUAUUCCAAAAUGCACAGCUUCACCAUAUUAUGGUAGAUCAUACCUUUAAAGAACCCUUGACUGAACCCCGGCCUAUAAUGAACACCCUACAUUCUGUCACGGCUUCAACUCUUUUGAGGAAGUUCCCACGCGGUCCCAAAAUUCGGCCAUGAGAUAUUAAAUACAUGAAUACCCUUUAAAUCGAAAAGGAAAGUUUAAACUUACAUUUGGAUAUUUAUCCACAGGAACAUCAAGUCUAACCUCUUUACAACAAGUGUGGUUGGAAUUCCAGGAAUACCUUGUCACCCAUUGAAGGAGUUUGAAAAGGGGCCAUUUUUUGAAUAUGCCCAUUUUCCUGAAUCAAGGCAUGUAAUGGUAUAAGAAUUCCUUUCUUUUAUACUUCAAAACUUAUCAUCAAAUCCAAAACAGCACAUGAAGCUCAGACUUGAUGAAAUAAUCAAAAGCCCUCUAAAAGGUGAUGUGCAAGAGCCAAAACCGAAAGCUCAGUCAUUUAAACCAUAGCAUUCAGCUAUGAGCAAUAAUAACUUGAUCUUAAACAUGGAUGUAACACAAAUUUAUCUUCAUCUGACAGCUAGACAUACGAACUGUAGACCGUAUUGGUAGGAGCUUAACAUACAAGGCAAGUUCAAAGAACAUUUUUCUUUUAUACCCAAAAAAGAAAUUGCUAAACUAGAAGAUACUCACAGUUGAUUAGAGAAUGAGUACAUCAAUUUAGUGUGACAAUUUAUUUUAGGUAUACCAUAUGAUUCCAACCUUUGUUACACUAAAAGAUGGUCAUCCCAUCAUUAAUAGAAACAUAACAAUUAGAAGAAAAGCAUACAUUCAGAAUUCCAAGAAAUUACAAUAUAAAAUUUUCUGGCAUUAAUUUCACAAUUACAGGAUAAAAAAUACAUGGCACGUAUAAAACCAUGAACAACCAUUAUUAGCUCAGUUUGCAUUGUAGACAAACCCUACAAAUCCAUUGGUCUCCUGUUUGGCUGAACUAAUGACCUAAAUGGACUGUCACGGUCAAACCUUUCAUGAUCAACAAAACUUGGAUUCAAACCUUUCAUGGUCAGCAAAACUUGGAUUGUAACCUGUUAUUUGUCUGAUUAGGUAUACCAUGUAAUAUAUUCAACGUAAUCCAGGUAAUAACUAAUCGUUUUACAAAUGUCAAUGACAAAUAAAGAUCCUAAUUUUUUCAAAAACUGCAUAGGCAGCGCUCAUGCCGCCACACGAGGCCUCAUAGUCCAGGUAAUUGCUCAUGCUGUUGCCUGCCAAAGAACCAUGAAGAGGGCAAACUGCAAGGAACCUUUGCCAGGUUGGUUAGGAAGGGCUUCAAUAGAGUGACAUCUCAGUAGCUCAAUUCAUGUACCCCUAGCUGUACAUGUAAGAAGAAAUGCUCUUCCAAAUAACAUAUUGAUACCAGAUCUACUAUUGUUUCUUCAGAACUUGUUAGGAAAGGUUACUAGCAGAUAAGUUAGAUGCAUAUACAUACUGCUAAAGGAAAUUGAACAGCUCCUUACAUAAUUGGUGUAACUUCUUAUACAAACAAGAUCCCUUCCCGGCAAUAGAUAGACAUCAAUAUUCAGAUACUCAAGAAAUUAUAAGGGUGUUGAAUGUUAGAAACUUUACUUCCUCCCAACGUAAGCUCCCAGUUUAGACAGAUCAGGAUUCCAAAAUGAUAGCUCAGAUGAUCCGAUACAAACAUGAGACUUCCAGGGGCCCAUUUUAUGACAGGAGGCUCUGUAUGAAAACUCAUCCAACUUGCAACCCUGACAAGAAAAAUAAACAAAAACAAACAAUGUUUAUAUAAUAACAAUACCAACGUCAAAAGAAUAUAGUAUUUGGAUAUAGAACUCAUUACGCAAACUGGUGCUCAAGGUACUUGCUCAAAUGUAGAAUCAAAAGCAUUGUUGGUUUGCCCAGAAGACUGUGAAUACUAUGACUGGGUCAGUGUAGGGGAAAUAACAUCCCUUUGAAUUCUAAGCAUUCAAAAGGCACGAGAAUCAAGGAAUUUUGCUUAUCAAACCUCUUUCCCGCUCCUUGCACUCCAAGCAUAUACACUACCAUCACCAGAACCUUCCAAAACCCAAGAAAGUAAAAUUAGCACAGAGAGUGCAACUAAUGAGAGGUGCUUGGCCACACUAGGUAG
rnacentral:lncRNA from 1 species